ACACCUGCAUGUGUUAUACAUUGAUGUUUUAAACAGAGAGAGAUCCUAUCCUAGGAAGAGUACCUAUGCAAGAAAGGAUGCAUAUACAAAUAAGUGGAUUAGUCCACGAAAUAAGUAUUAAUACCAUUAAGACAGCAUGAGCAAAAUUUUAAAACAAGAACCUCACAACCCAAUUGAUCCUGCAGCUACAUGAAUGAUUGUAACCUAAAGUUUCUUCCAUUGCGUAAAUAACAGAAGAUGAGAAACUACAAAUAUGUGCUUGUCUUGGGCACAUGAUGACUCUGAAAACUGUAGUUUUAUGUUGCAAGUCAUCAGAAGAAUAGAUCCUGAUAGAAUUGGCAGUUGAAGCAUUUUGAACUUUUUCAAAAUAAUCCUAACUUAAUGCAGAAAUUAUACAUUACGAAAAAUAGAUGGAAAAGUGAAAUAUAAAAGCCCUAACAUGCAAUGCCACAAAGAAAUGCUCCAGAUCCUACCUCGGAAAAUAUGCCUAAACUUCCAUUCAACAUCAUGGAGAUCCCUGGCAAUAAGUUCCUGCGCUGGUGGCUGUAGCGAGAAAUCCUGCAGGAUACAAUAAAGGGGUUUAAAUAAAAAAUAUCAGCAACCAAAUACGGUCAAAUAAAAGAAUAGAACAGACAACAAGAGUUUGAGAAGGGAAAUACCAGUGGAGGAAAAACUUUCUCGGCAGCACGACGAGGAACAGAGAAGCCUCCAUGUGUACUUGUAUCACUCGCCGUCAAUGUCUUGCAAAAGUAAUUUGUGGGUUGCUUGCUUGGAAUUCCCAACUCCAUUGGAAGAAAUGUUUCUUUUUGCUCUUGCUGUGUGAGAAUGUGUGUGGUUUCAACAACAUUACAACUUAUUAUGUUAAGCUAAAACUCCAACAAAUUAAACCAAAAAAAGACCAAGAAGAAAAAGAAAAGAAUAAUUUACUGGCGUCAAAGGCUGUAAUGUCAUUUGGGCAUAUACUUCAUCUGUCUCCACAUCUGCCUGAAAUCCAAUGCUUAAUCAAUUCCAUUUGUGUUCCAAUUUUUAACUCUUUUUUCUUUCUUUCUUCUAGAAGAAAUAAACAAGUAAGAGUGACGUAGCUGAAUCAAAAUUCACAAAGACAAAGGGAACCCACAUGCAUUGUGACAUUGUGCAGCUGACAGAUCAACUGGGGCGGCAAGCUCGGGUAGUUUGGUAUGUGGGCAUCAACUUGUUUGUUAGUAGUGGCAGCAACCUGGUCACUGUGGCCCUGAGGGAAGUAAACAACACGAGUUCCAGGCGUUGGCAGGGAAACCAGAGGCCCUGCGCAUGCAUGCCAUAGCUCCGAAUUCAAGCACUUCUUUUCAGCUCCUCCGGCUGCUGUCAUUUUUAAGCUCAAUUUUAAUUUUUUUGUUUUUAUUCUCAAAAAGCAAUAACAAUGACAACAACAAUAGUAAUGAUUGAGAUUUGAGAAAAGUUAAACAUAGAAGUCAGAAAUAUAAUAAACAAAAGCAGAAUAUGAGGAAAUUUUAAAAUAGGGUUACCUUCAUGAUCCUGCUGACCCAACCCUGAUGUUGAAAGCUUCAUAUCAAUAUAACUAUCAAUAUCAACCUUAAGCCUUUCUCUAUCUAUAUAAAAACCAUAAUAGAAAACCCUAAUUUUACAGAACCAGCCAUAACCAUCAAAGAGAGAAAAUGAGCUCUACUGACAACUACUGCUACUUAUUGGCUUCAAGUCACCCCCUUUCUAGACCAUGCUCGACAGAAUUAAGAUCCUUUUUCCUACUUAGUCCCAAAUUGAAGCCCCAAAUGGAGGAAACCCCUCCCUCCAUAGAAACAUCAUGCUCUGCUCUAAGAGAUCGCCAUGGAAACAAGCAACAGCUGAAGCAGGAAGAAAGCUCUGAGAGACUACCCAAAGUGGUUGUUUUAGUAAAAAGCUUUUUCUUCCUCCUUUUCCGGUCUAUCACUGUCCAUUCGAUUCAAACCCCAAAGUGAGAGAAAGAGAAAAGGAAAGAGAGAGAAAGAAAGAAAGAGAAGAGAGGAAGAUUUUGCUUUGAAAGUUGAAACUCACAGUGAGAGAGAAGAAGAGAAAGAGAAAGAGUGAUGGUCUUUACUCUUUUCCCUCUUAUAAGGGUCCCGACCGAGCUGGACCUCAUACUAGAAGAGAGUCUGGGAGCGUUAUGGGAAAGCUCUAAUCUCGGCCGUCCACGGAUCCGUACUUUUUAAUCUUAACCGUCCACUCUGAGACUGAUGUGACAGCAGCCAUGUGCCACCAUACUUCAGUGGUCCUUGUCAGAGUACGGACUAUGUUUUAAAGUGUUACGUAAUAUUUAUAAAAAAAAUUCCUCAUCAUCGUAUUAUUCAUACUACAAUAAAAAAUCAUCAUACUAGAAAAGAAAAAUGACCCAUCCUACCCAACUCAAGGAAAAAAAAAUGUUAUGGGCGUUAUAUAUAUAUUUUUUAACAAGUGAUAUUCUAAUUGCUCUAAAUAUGUGAGAAAGGAAAUCGACUUCGGAUGCAAGAAAAACGCAUAUUUACUUUAAACAACUGAUCUAACUCACAUCAACUACAUUAUAACCUUUUUUGUUUGAACCUCAAGUUUGCGUGGCAUUUACCCAAGCACUUUGAGUAGAUAUCAAUUUGUGCGGCAUUUAUGUGAUUAUAUCGUCUUUUUAACUCAACUCUUUUUUUAUUUCUAAAAUUCCCAAGUAAUAUUGUUUGUCCUCAGCCCAACCUGGUCUCAACCUCAGCCCAGCCCAAAACUUCAGCCCCACUAACCGUUCAAGCUAUCCCACUCCCACUCUGCUUUAUUUUCUCUAUGUCUAUCUCUUCGUAUGCUCUCUGUUCCUCUCCAUCUUCCAACCCACCCAUCUUCUCCUUUCCUCCACGGUAUCCCCAAUCCCAAUCUUUAUCUUCUUCUCUAAUCUUCUCCAAUCCCCUACUAAUCCCAGGUUGGUUCUAAGUUUAAUUCUUGAUUCAUUCUUUGUACAUGAAGCUCACCAGAACAAUGGCAUUCAAAUCAGCUAUAGUGCAACCGAAAAACCCACCACACUUCAACCCCACAUUUUCUUGCUGCCUGAAACCAUCCUUUCAGUUCAGGGAGAAUCCACUGAAGGAUUUUGAAUUCAAUAUCAAAAGAAGAAUUGGGGCAAUAGCAGCAGUAAGUUGGGCACUAAUGGCGGCGAAAGAAGCAAUUUUUGUUGAAGCUGCAAAUGGAUUUGACUUGCAACUGGUAGCACCUGGUCAGACAAUUGAAGAGGCACGGAGUGGAAUCAAAGGGCAUGCACAAGCUCUGUUACAAGUGAAAGAGCUGAUAGAUUUAGAGUCAUGGAGAGAAGUACAAAUAGCUCUCAGGAAGAGCUCAUCGGUCUUGAAACAGGACAUAUAUACCCUAAUUCAAGCAAAACCUGCAAAUGAGAGGCCUCAACUGAGAAAACUUUAUUCUGACCUCUUCAACAAUGUGACCAGAGUAAGUUUUUGCCAUUUCCACCCAAUAAACAUAGGACUUGACAAAAUUAUUUCAAUUGACUUGACCAAGUUUUUUGUGCAUUGCAGCUUGAUUAUGCAGCUAGGGAUAAAGAUGCAUCAUAUAUCCGACAAUGCUAUGAGAACAUUGUUGCCGUUCUGAAUCAAAUGCUAUCUAGAAUAUAAAGUAUCAAGUAAUUGUUCCCUUCCUUAUUUUUCUUCCCUGCAAAUUAUAUGCAUCAGAAGAUGUUGUGUAGGAAAUUACAUGAAGCAUAGCCACUUAAGGUCGUCUGUUAACAACGAGUUAUUUUUCUUUAUGAGUAAGCUUUUGUGUCCUUCAUAGAAAUUGAUCAAUCUGCUGAAAGCACUUGUUACAACAGGAUCAUUAUUUUAUGAUGCAAUCCUCUUUCAUAAGGCUUCAUUUGCCGAAAUUGUAAAACCGUAAUUCUUUUGUUGAAUAUGAGUUUCUCGUUCUUGGAUGAAUGGUUCCUGUGGGUCAGACAGACACCAGAAUUGUAAGUUAUAACUGAGGGUUCUGUUCUGUGCAAGUCACCGUCUUCUACAUUGUAAUAUUUCUAGAUUACCUUAUAUAUAAUUAAACUAGAUCCCACAUAUUUUUAUUUCCUCUACACCAACUGGUACUUUCUUUCCAACGUUGAAAGAUAUCCGAAAUUUAAAUCCUCCACUCUCAAUAAAAAUAAAAAUAAAAUCCUCUACGCAUAGAGUCGUAUAUAAGAGAUCAGAAAAAUAGGCAUGCGUGUCCUCAAUUAUUCUGAAAAUUUCAAAGUUAUAAUAAGGCAGCAAUUUCAACCCUGCAGCUUGUUUGCUGUCUUCUAGCUUACCAGAGAAACACACCUGUGCGUCUUCAAUCUGCUGCUAGUAGUAUUCUGCUCUUAAUUUGUGUUGCUGUCUUCUAGCUAAUUGGCGAUUAAGCACUAUGUAAGCAUGGCGGAAAUUUUCCUUACUUUUGCUGCUGAGGGAAUACUGAAGAAGGUGGCUUCGCUUGCAGCUCAAGAAUUCAAUCUUGCCUGGGGAUUCAAAGCAGAGCUGACAAGGCUCAGUGAAUCUUUGAACAUGAUUCAAGAUAUCUUAAGUGAUGCUGUCGAGCAACCGCAAGGUCGGGGCAAGGCGGUAGAGGAGUGGGUGAAGAAACUUAAACAGAUAGCUUAUGAUGCUGAUGAUGUGUUGGAUGAGUUCAAAUAUGAAGAUCUUCGGAGUAAAGUAGGGCUCCGAAACCAAAUCCACAUAAAGGUAUUGAUCACCCUCCUAUCCCAGUGCUUUUCAUCUUAAAAUGGCACAUAAAAUUAAGAUCAUAAAUGCAUCCUUGGUAAAUCUGGAGAAUAGAGCAUUUGUUAUUGGAUUAGUUGCAAAAAAUGUUAUGGCUACAACGCAGUACGUCCCUCGUGGAAUUGUAGGGGACAGAGAAACCAACUCAUUCUUAGAUAAAGAUGAAAACAUCGUUGGAAGGAAGGAGGUUGUGUCAAGUAUAAUUACAACCUUGAUCAACUCCAAAAAUCUAGAAAAUGUUUCGAUUAUGGCCAUUGUUGGAAUGCCAGGCCUAGGAAAGGCAACUUUGGCUAACUCAGUUUACAAUGAAUUUGAGACAAAAUGACACUUUGAUAAGAAAAUAUGUCUCUGACACUUUUGACGUAAAUUCUAUAUUGAGUCGAAUGCUAGAAUCCCUUAACUCAACAAGGGUUGGGAUCACAAGUCAUGAUGCACUGCUUAAAAACCUUCAAGAAAAUUUGAAAGGAAAAUAUAUAUUCUUAUACUAGAUGAUGAGUUGCUUGACAAAACUUGAUUCAGCUCAGGGAAGCAACAUUAUUGUCACUAUACCAAAUAGUUAAUUCUAACCAAAUAGGAAUGUACUUGGAGACCAAGUAUCCACCACCUGUAUAAAUAUUCUAGUUCUAUGUGAAUACAAAUCAUCCAAUUUCAAACCUAAUUGAAUCAUGACAGUUUGUGUGAGUGUGCCUAACAAAUUAACUUCAUAUUAUUGUUCUUUCUCUGUUUUUUUUAUAGCUCUGUGAGAAUGCGAAGGUAAAAAGUCCCACAUUAGAAAGUUGAGAAACCUAGCAAGGGCUUAUAAGGAGUUGAGCUACUUCUCCCAUUGCCAAUUGGUUUUGGGGUGAAACCCCUUUGUUCCCUUUUCCAUCUGGCUGAACUGAAGAUGAUGCCUUCAAUUGUGGUGUCUCAACUGGAACACCAAGCUCAGCAAGCUCGCUUUAGCUGUAGGUUUGGGGGACGACGGUAACUCCAUGGUUCAGAUGACCUUAGGUCCAAUAUAUUUUCAAGGUUAGCUAGAAUAUCUGGUGAAGCACUAGCAGUAGCUUGUGAUGAUACCGUAAAUAUAUAGUCAAGGUUGCGUACGGCAAUGUCCUGCAAUAACAAACACAGCUUCAAUAAUUAAAUAAUUAAGUAGCAUGUAAACUACAAAUCUGCAAGAACUUGGAUCACAAGUCCCAUAAACAGAAGCAUGAGACAAUAUUCAAGACAAUAACCUGCCCUCCACUAUACUUUUAUCUUCCAAAAGAAGAUAAAGCAGACUGUAUUGGAGAUAUUGAUAACUAAGCCACAAAAACUUACUGGAAAAAAACAAAAACAAAUACACUCAAAGGCCACCCAGUAUCGGCAUAUACCACCUUAUAUAUUAGGCCCAAGAGUGGUGAUAUCCAGGUGACCCAACAACAGGAAUUAUAUAUAUAUAUAUAUAUAUAUAUAUAUACAGAGAGCUUCCAUUGAGGGAUCUCUCAAAUAAGUUUAUUUGAGGGACACCUCUUGUAGGCCCCACUACGGAUUGUAUUUCACUAAUCCAAACCGUCUAUUUUGUAGAUACUCAUUCAAAGAUCAUCUCUACAAAAAAUCACUUGAAUCCGAUAUCAUGUGACCACUCAAUUGAGUUAUUGAAAUUUUAGUACUUUUCUUAAAGCACCGUGUUCAUUGAUUUUGUAAGACACAAUUGGAUGUCGAAACGGUUUCCGAUUUGUCUAAUUUUUUGUAAGGAUGAUCUAUGAAUGAAUACCUAAAAAAUAGAUGGUUUGGAUUAUUGAGAAAAGAAUUGUAGGGUACUCUAAAGGGCGUCCCUCAAAUAAAAUUAUUUGAGGGAUCCCUCAAUAGAAGGGGACUGUAUAUAUAUAUAUAUAUAUAUAUAUAUGACGUGAGGUCCAAAAUCACAGAUUAUUAUGACGUGAGGUCCAAAAUUCCUGUUGUAUAAUAAGUUCACAACUCACCAAAACAUUGGAAAUACACAUAGGAAUGAAUGAUGGAACCCUAUCACACCAGAAUUGAGGCAAAUCUGGUAAAGCCCAUUCAGGUUAUUUUCACUAUCUUUCAGAAGUAUCUGUAACAGGGCAAAUCUCCAUCAAUCCUCUUCUUUUCAGUUUAUCUUUAUGCCCGUUCAUGCUCGUAUACAUUAUUCGAAGAAGCUUUUGGCAUAUGGCAUGUAUUGUGUGUGAAAUGCAUGAAGACAGGUAUACCCGAGCGGCUAUACUUGUUAAAUAGAAUAUUUUAACAGUAAAGCCGGUCGGCUAUACUUAAAAAUUAUAAUAUUAACAAUUUAAAAGUAUAGCCGCGCGGCUAUACGUUAGGAUGAGAAACAUCGAUAGUCAUUUUCCCUCCCUCCGGAAAUUGAAGAUUUUAAGGUGUGAUAAAUUGUCAAGCCUGCCGAGUGGUCCCGUCCGCGAAUUGAAUAUUACAGCUUGUGAUGAACUAUCGAGCCUACCGAGUGGGCAAGAAAACUUGACCUCUCUUCAGAAGUUGGAAAUAAGACAGGGUCUGACAUCCCUCCGCAAAUUGGAGAUUCAUAGGUGUGAUGGAUGUUAUCAUUGGCAGAUUCUACACCCCUCCAUGUCUUGAGGAGUUGUCUAUAAGCUACUGCAAAAAUACUGGAGUCUGUUCCAACUUUACAGGGAUGCGCAUCCCUCCAUGAAUUGAGAGUUUUCAAAUGUGAAGGAUUUGUAAGCAUACUGAGUGGCCUAGAAUCUUGUACUUGUCUUCGUUUUCUGCGUAUCCAGUUUGUCAAAAUUUCAGGAAUUUAUUGGAUGUGCUACAAAGCCCUGUAUCUCUUGAGGAGUUAAGAAUAACUGACUGUCCUUAUCUAGAGACUAUUCCCAGCUCAGACAACCUCAAAUCCCUCAGUCUGUUGUGGAUUGAAAAAUGUAAUGCAUGGAAGUCGUUCGCCUCUAAUAGACUGGACUCCUCCUAGUGCAUGUGUGGGACCCACUUGCUGUAUUAGAGAGGUGUUAACAAUGUAGUAAAUAAAUGUGGUAAAAAAGAAGCAAUAUAUUAUACACACACUUUACAAAAGCAUUUAGAAAGGUUUUAGUUGCUUACUAAGCUUUCUGUUAAAGAUUGACGUGUUGCUUUAUGGAGUCCUCAAAACCAAUUAAGGCAUGAGGUGGGAUAUGUUGGCAUGAGGUGUAAGCACAAUAGGUAUUCAUAAGGCUAUUUGGAAUGGCAGAUUAUUUUCAAGCCACUGAAGUAGUCUAGGAACCUAUAGACUAUCCUAUAGACUAGUUGUGUGGCACAAAAUUAAGUUUACAUCUAUAUCUUUGCCGACUUUAACUAUCUAUAAAUAGCACUACCUAGUAUUCCUUGUUUCAUAGGCAUGGCCGGGACCACACUAAGGGUUCCAGUGGGCUGUAGUCAAGCGUGAUUUUUUAAGGGAAAAAAAAACUUAUAUAUUUAACUUAUUUUUAAUAUUAGUUCAGUCAGUGGCGCUGUGCAGAUUACUUUAUUUUUAUUUUUAACAUUUAAGUAAAUGGAGUAAUAUAAAAAUAAAUAUUACUUAAGUUUACAAUGUAAGUAAGGAAGUACCCCCUAUUUGGAUUCAAAUAAAAAUACUAGAGAAUCAAAUUCCCACAAAAUCAAAAUAUGAAAAAUCGGUUUUAGUUCAAAAUACGAUUUAGGCUAAAAAUGAUAGCUCAUUCGCCUAUGAAUCAUAGGUUCUUCAAUUGCUUUAAUUUUCCUAAAAUCGUAGACAAAUUGGAGAAGCUCAAAGUGUUUGGACUUGCAACUGAGAGUUAUACAAUAGCUUUGAAUUUGAGGUAGGGGUUUUUUCUUGGGGAAGCUUUACAUAAAUUGAUUUAAUUAAAUAUUGUGAACACUAUAUUAUGCUUGGUAAUAUUAUUUGAUUAUUAUCCUUGAUAUUGGGUGUUUACAUGUUGUCAAUUAUCAUUAUAAUUUGAUUAAUAUUGACAUGUUCAUAUGUUAUCGGUGGUGGUUGGAAUUCUUGGGUUGAUAAAAAAAUUAUGGAAAAGAGGGUAAUGGGAAGGUUCUUUUGUGUAGUUGAGUCUGACCAUUGUAGGGACCAAGUUUAGGCGAGCCUGUGUGCUCAGUAGAUUUGGAAAUCGACGGUAUAAUUGUCGAUUGAGUGAUUUGGGCUAGGAGAUCAAUGGUGUAGACAAGAUGACUAGCAAAAGGGGAAUUAUGGGAUAAUUGAGAUGAGUGUUAGUUUAUCUGAAUCACAGUGGUAAAAUACCUACAUUAUAAAUCUCACUAAUCACAUAAGACAUAGGACCCCUACUGAGCAUGUAAUGCUCACCUCUUAUUGAAUCUAUUGCAGGUUUUGAAUCUGAAGUUUAGUUUGUGACGAGGAAACAAGAAGAACGAGUUGUGGAUAGUUUUGAAUGUUUUGUUGAAAGUUUGUUAUUUUCUUGUUAUUUUGCUUAUAAAAUUACAAUGUAAAUUACUUUGGUUUAAAUAGAAGUUUGUGUUCAAUCUUCAUGUUUCUUGAUAUUUAAAUUUUUAGUUUUAAUUUUUCUUUUACCUCACACUCCCAAAAAAUAAAUAAAAUAAUUGGGGUGUGACAUAUAUAUAUAUAUAGGCGAGGCUAUGUAAAUAUAAUGCAUUGCGUCAUGGAUGAUGUUGUCUUUUAACAUGUCUUGCCUCCAUUGGCCGCAACAUAUUAUAUAUAAGCUCACCUCCCGGUCUUCAUAUAUAAUGUGUGUGUUAAUUAGCAACUACCUUGUCCUUAAUGGUAGGUCAAGCUACGCAGGCACUGAAGAUGAAGCAAGGAUAUCUGGGUAUGGUAUUGCCAAUAACAAUUACAUCAAUAUGGUGGUGGAGUUGUCUGAUCAGAGGCGUUGAUGCAAGCCCACAGAUCAAUCUACUAAACAAGGGCUGCAGCCAAUACAAUGCCACAAACUUGCCUGACUUCUAUACUAAUCUCAAUGCCACUUUCUCAGACCUCAAAACACAGCUCAACAAAAACAGCACCCACUUUGCCACGGCACAGCAGGCCAGGGGUUCGGAUCCCGUCUACGCCAUGGUGCAGUGCAGGAACUACCUCUCCGCGGCUGACUGCGCUGCUUGCUUCGCUGCCGCGGUGUCCCAAAUUCGCAACUGCUCCGCUGCCAACGGUGCCCGUGUCAUCUACGACGGUUGCUUCCUCAGGUACACCCUGGUCUCUACUACUCUUCCAUGAUUUAGUUUUGUAUAUUUAUUUGUUUUCUAAACUAAAUGACAACUAGAUACACCCACUUGCUGGAAACAAAACACAAAUGCAUUAAUAUCUAUCACGUCUUGCUAUUUCUCAUUCAAAUUCAAUUAUUUCUCAUUCUAAUAAUUGCUUAACUAAAUGACAUUCGUGCCCUUAUUAUUUUCCAAAGUUUCCAUCUGCUCCACAUAAUAAUGCCUUACCCUUUCUAGAAUAUUGAACUAAAAAUCUAUGGCUCCUCACCCUAAUUGGCAGUCGGUGUCAUAAUUCAGAAAGUACAGAAUUAGAAGAAGUCAAAUAUACUUGGAACAUAUUGCAUCCUUCCUAGGGUCGUCGACGUUGUCGUGGCAGCCUAGCAUCUUUCCAAGUUGCUGCCAGCCACAUUUUUUAUGUACAGAGACACAAUAUCACCAAUAGAGCUAGAUAUUAGUGGGAUUGGCCUAAUCAGUAAACGGGUAUGGUGAUCGUUGACCAAAAACAAGUUCAAUCAUAACUUCAUUGAAUCAACACUAAGUAGUAGCUACAAAAUUUGAUAAUUGACUUCAAAGUCGUUAACAAAAAUAAUAGGGACAUGUUCUAACAUUAAUUCUCACAUGAUGAUGUGGGUCUUAUGAAAUUAUAAGAUUAUGAUGGAAACUAUAUGUAAGAAAAUUCGGAAAUUAAUUUACGAGGGAUAGUUUUUAGUCAUCAACUUUUUAUAAAUAGUCUUCCAUCCUCCAAGACAACAAUAUUCAUGUUACGCCUUAAUUGCACAUGAAAUGUAGCCAUUUUGCUAGUCUAGUCUAGCCUAGUCUAAUCCUCCCUAACAAACGAGGCCUAAGGUUAUGAAUUAAUGAUCCUUUAAAAAAUGUAAAUAAUAUUACUGGAGAAAUAAUUUCGAUAGCUUAGUCAAAGUUGCCGUCGAUGAUUAUUGUCGAUGAAGAUUGAUCAACAAAUUAAGAUACGGCAACCUAUAGACACAUAGAAAACGCUGACAAUAGAAACCAAACGUACUGCCAAAGUUAGUCACUUAUUUCUUUCUUUUUUAAACGAUAAUCCAAUAAGAAAAAUUUGGCAGUGGAAGAAAAAUAAACAUAGCGUGUUGCUAAAGUUAGUCACAUCGUUGUUAACUUUUGUCUGGUUGGUUUAGGUACGAGAGCGCUGGGUUCUUUGACCAGACUUCCCUUCCUGGUAAUGUAGGGCUUUGUAGCAAUAAAACUGCAUCACAAGCUACCGCAUUUAGUGCAGCUGCUGGAAAAUUGCUAGUGGAUCUCCAACUUGCAACUCCCAAGAUCAACGGUUUCUUUGCAGCAACUAAGAAUGAAGUUGUUAGUAGUGGUAGUGGAAAUGAAACAGUCUAUGGUGUGGCACAAUGUGCUGAGACAAUCAGCAAGACUGGUUGCCAAGAUUGCUUGAAUGUGGCAUACGCCAACCUUCAAAGCUGCCCGCCUGAUACGGAUGGCAGGGCCGUCGAUGCCGGGUGUUUCUUGAGGUACUCUAGUACUUCUUUCUUCCCUGACAACCAGACUACGAACAUAGUGUCCUUCUUAAAAACCGGUAAGAAUAAACUUUUAUCAUGUAGUCAUUAAAUUUGUUCAUUAAAUAAUGUGUCAUCGUUACAUGUAAACUUUUUAGAAAUAUAUAAGCUAGCUAGGCUUUACGUGAAUCCGAAUUUAGAUACAUGAAGUAUUGUUAUCUACUACAUCAUUUGGUGAACAAAUUUGAUGGUCCUAACAAUUUUAUGCGUACGAGUAAAGUACUUUGUCUUUAAUUUGGAAGUACCCGAAAGCAUAAUGUUUUUCAUAUAUUAUCUGGCAGGAGGCAAUUCAAGAAAGAAAGCCAUCAUUAUUGGAGUCGUAGUUGGAGGUGUAGGUCUUCUUAUUCUCAUUGUUGGAGUUUUACUCUAUUUUAAACUUUCAAGAAAGCCCGAGGCUGCUCGUAGAGGUAUUCUUCUGCCACAACCACAGAAUUCGAAGUUGCAUUUCCUCUUACAUAUAUACUAUUAUUCAAUUAGCUCCUGCUCUAACCAUGUUUACGUAUAUAUAUAAACAUAAAAAAAUUGCUCGUACAUGUCUUCAAUUGUUUAAAUUUACUCAUUUUUAGGUGAUAUUUUGGGUGCAACCGAGUUGCAAGGACCAAUGAAUUACAAAUAUAAAGAUUUGAAGUCAGCAACCAAAAACUUCAGUGAAGAAAACAAACUUGGAGAAGGAGGAUUUGGGGACGUCUAUAAGGUAAAUUAUAUGCUAAUUAAAGAGCUCUAAGAUAAUUUAGUUCAGUUCAGUUCAGUACGGUCGAAUAUGGUGUACUCCUUUUUGACAUGCAUAAAGUUUUGAAAAAAAUGGGAAAGUUGCAUUGUCAAGCUUUUGAUUAUCCAUGGGCAUAUUUCAUUUUAUUGCUCAAAAUAUAAUCCCUAAUGUUCAUUUACAACUACAUGAUUGGACAGGGUACUCUAAACAACGGAAAAAUAGUUGCAGUUAAAAAACUAGCAAUUCUCCAAUCCGACAGGGCAAAGGCAAAUUUCAUAAACGAAGUGAAGCUGAUAAGUAACGUUCAUCACCGGAAUCUCAUUCGUCUUCUUGGAUGUUGUAGCAAAGGACCAGAGUUACUUCUCAUAUAUGAAUACAUGGCAAACAACAGCCUCGACAGAUUCAUAUUUGGUAAUUUUAGGCUUCUUUGUUCAGCUAUACCUCUAAAUGUAUGCUUACAUAUACAUUUUAUUGUUUUAUUUGUUCAUCUAAAGAUCUGUUUUUUUUCUUCUUCUUCCAUGGGAAAUAGGUCCAAAAAGAGGCUCUCUCAACUGGAAACAGCUAAAUGACAUAAUCCUGGGUACAGCUAGGGGUCUUGCCUAUUUACAUGAGGAGUUUCAUGUAUGCAUCAUACAUAGAGAUAUAAAAACCAGCAAUAUUCUUUUGGAUGAUAGUUUCCAGCCAAAAAUUGCAGAUUUUGGGCUGGCAAGGCUUCUACCAGAUGAUCAGACUCAUCUUAGUACCAGAUUUGCUGGAACAUUGUAAGUUAAAGUACUUCAAUUCCCACAGGCAUCAACCGCUGCUGGAGAUCUAUAUGAUCAUUACUCUUGUACAAUGUUUAUACCGAUCUUUUGUUUUGACCUACUUGCGGUUCUAUUCGCACUCAAAAAGUGAUAUGAAUCUACUAUAUACAUGGCCGGUACACUAGGGUGACUCCACUAAUUUGAUCUUGUGUGACACUGACAGGGGAUACACAGCACCUGAAUAUGCAAUUCAUGGACAAUUGUCAGAAAAGGUGGAUACAUAUAGUUAUGGUGUGGUUGUCCUUGAAAUCAUAAGUGGCCAAAAGAGCAGUGAAAUCAAAUCUGAUGCUAUGGGUGAAUUUCUACUUGAAAAGGUAACUUCCAAACUCUAUAUAUAAUUCUUCCCUGAGAUUUCUAUUCUGCUUAAUUACUUUAGAAUUGUGACAUGUUUUAUUUUAUUUUAUUUCUUUUCACAUUAAUGAUUAGGCAUGGAAACUGUAUGAGAAUGGCAAGCACGUGGAGCUGGUGGAUCCAAAUUUGGAUCCAAAUGAAUACAAACCAGAAGAUGUAAAGAAGAUUAUAGAAAUUGCUCUGAUGUGCACUCAACCAUCAGCUGCUCAAAGGCCUACAAUGUCUGAAGUUAUAGUUCUACUUAAAAGCACUAGCUCCUUGGAGAAUAGGGCGCUCACUAGGCCUGUUUUUGUUGAUUCUGAUAAGAGAGUGAAGGGAGACACAUCAACCUCUACUGCUUCCUCCACAUCCAACGCCACCGUAUCGGUUUCUCAAGUUUCAGGUCGCUAAGUGCUUAAUUAAAGAAGUAUAUUUCAACUCUUGUACUUAAAAUUUGGAAGUUUCCUUUCAAUGUUUAGUUUCAAAGCAAAGACCUUUUUUUUUUAUGUCUACUAGGAUUGUUAACAACAGUGAUUUCACACUCCUUUUUCUUUGUUUGAAUUCCUCUUGGUUUUUCAUGUAAAGCACAAAUGCUAGUUGUAUGCCCCAGAGCCAAACAUUUGAUGUACUUAAAUCUUUAGUAUUCAAUAAUACUGCAUAACUGUUGGUAUUUACAUGAAUGGUUCAUAAAAUUGAAGUGGAGAAGAAACUAUCUUAAGAGUUGAGAAUGAGUUUGGGUGGCUUGAGUGAAAAAACUUUAUCCAUCAACACAAGGAGAUGGUGAAGGCAUCUUAUUAUGGUGGGAUCAUUUGCAUCCUCCGGAGCCUUUUUUUUUUUUUUCGAAAUACGGCCAGAUUUUAAUCAUUAAACUAAGAAUGUAAACGCUAGAUCUGAAAGCAGAUUCAAGGAUUUCCAUAAAAAGCAUAAUCAACAUUACGUAGUUACAAACAUACAAGAUCCAUCCACAAUUGUUAUAUAUACAGCAGAAUCAGAGCAUCAUUGUUCCCUCACAGAUACACACAUCACCUUAACAUAUGCUUUUAUUCUUUUAUUGAAUUACACGGAGUUUCUGACUAUGUUUCUUUUUCUUUUAUUCUCUUAUUUGUUUAUGGAAUUACAUAUAUUACUUUGAAGCAGCAGACCCGGUAAAGGGUGCCUAGAAUGACACUUGAAUAUCAAGCAAUGUCAUCAACUGAGAAAUAAGCUCUGGUUGGCCAUGCCACGCUGCUGCGGUAACCAGAUUUCCAUCAGUGACACAACGAUCUAUUGGAUCCGCUUCCACAAAUGUCCCCCCUGACGAAACCACACGAGCCUUAAUCCCUGGGUAUCCAGUACAUUUCUUCCCCUGAAAUAUAGCCAAUUGAACCAAUUAUAUGACAUGAUAAAAAGUGCCUAAUCGGUUAAUAAGUACAUUAACCACUAAUCAAAAGAAACAGAAAAAAAUAUCAUCUCCUUUGCGAUUUUAAAGAGCACUCACCUCCCUCUUCCCCAUAGUUAUUUACAAUUGAGAGGUUAAUAGGUCACAACAGAUCAGCUCAACAGAACCAAAAUACAAAGCACUACCACUAUGUUUUUUUCUUAUACCUGCAGAACACCAGCAGCAACUAAAAUUUCCAGGCCAUGGCAGAUGGAUGCAACUGGUUUCCUGGCUUCCAUAAAUUGUUUCACUAGUACAAUAACAUCCUCCUUUAGUGCCAAAAACUCUGGAGCUUUACCUCCAGGGAGUACAAGAGCGUCAUAACUUGAGGCAUCUAUGGAUUCAAAGUCAGCUGUUAAAACAAAAUUAUGUCCCCGGAUCUCACUGUAGGUUUGGCCCCCUUCAAGAUCACGGAUAGCAGUUGGGCAGGUAUCACCGGCUUUCUUCUUGGGGCAAACCACAUCAACAUGGCAUCCUAGAACUUUGAGGGUCUGAUAAGGCACAGUUACCUCAUAAUCUUCCGCGUAGUUCUACAAAUAUUGGGAAGGGGAGCAAUUAAAUGAUGAUGAUUAGUAACUAACAGUUUAAUCAUUGGCUAUAUUUUGUCCCAUAUUUGUCAUUGCAAUAUAAAAGAAACAGAAAAGAAAGCUUACUCCAAUGAUGAUGAGGACCCUUCUCUCUGAAGCACAUAUGUUGCCUCCUAGUGCCUUGAGAAAAAGCCCAAUGAACUCAGGAUUGCCAUAAUAUGUGACCCCAGUAGUUAAAUUAUCAUCAGCAACACACACUGACAAUGUAUCGGGUUCUACCCAGUGAGCACCAGCAGCAACCAAUCCAGGUUUCAUAGUUGAAACCGCGGUGCAUUUGCGACCUUUAACAGCGCCUGCAGGUGCUAAGACCAACAGCCCAUGGCAAAUAGCAGCAAUUGGCUUUCUGGAGUCAGAAAAUUUUCUCGCCAAUUCUACAACGGAUGCCUUCAUAGCAAGAUGUUCAGGAGAUCGUCCUCCUGGUAUAACUAGACCAUCAUAUUUGUCAAAUUCGAUGUCAUCAAAUGUUGCAUUCAGUGUGAAAUUGUGACCACGAGAUUCUUUAUUAGCCUGUAACCAAAAAGGUACACGAAAGAAAACCAAACACAACACACACAUUAAAACAAGAGUAAUGGUUAGGGGAAUUCAAGCUUCUUUGUCUUGCUUGUCUCUCAAACUCAAACUCAUCAGAGGUUGUUUUCCAACAACUGUGUUCAAUAUUAAAUAUAUAAAACAUAUUCCUCUUGUUUACAAAUAAAAAAGAACAGGAAAGACAGGAAAGACAGAGUUUGACCUGGUCAGUGGACUCUACUUGAAUGGUUAUGGCAGUGGCGCAGAUAUCACCAGCUUUCUUGACAGGAGAAACUGCAUCAACAGAGACUCCAAAUGCCUGCAGUGCUUGAAAUGGGACCAUUGCCUCGUAAUCUUCCAUGUAGUCCCCGCACAGUAACAACACCCUCCUCUGCACCUCGCCUUUCGGAUUCCCCAUUUCUUUUCUUAUUUCCUUCUUUAGUUUCUUUCUUCUUUUUCACACAGAGAGAGUUUUCAGAGAGAUUUUUCAGAGAGAAAGAGAGAGGGAGAGAGUCUGAAUACAAGAAGGUAGGUUAUAGCUUGAGCUGCUCCGCUUUGCUUACUUAAAUACUCACAAAAGCGUUUUUGGAGGUUUGUGGAGUCAGCUCGAUACGGUCGCUCGCAAUUUGAGCAACACAUCGCAGUCAGUUAUCGUGGCAUCUCUCUAUUCGCCGCUUCUUUUCAGUUCGGAUAACUAUUCUAUUAGUUUCGAGCCUAUCACCGUCUCCAUGUUUGAUACGUUUUUUUGUUGUCUUCUUUACCGACCAAGUGAGUCUAAAUUAUUGAAACUUGAGUUUGUUCUCUUCACGGACCAAGUGGGUCUAAAUUAUUGGAGGAAGAUUGAAACUUGAGUUUGUUCUCUUCACGGACCAAGUGAGUCUAAAUUAUUGGAGGAUGAUUAAAACUUGCAAAGAGGCGGAUUUAUUCUCUUAUUGUGAAUACAAAUAAUGGUCUAAAUUAUUAGGGAAGUAUUCUAACUUGAGUGCAAAGAGCACAAAUUUAAGUGCAAAGGAGUGGACUCACUGUCUUAUUACGAGUGCAAAUGAUAAUCUAAAUUAUUAGAGAAAUAUUUAAAUUAUAUAGUGCAAAGAAGCGUACUCACUGUCUUAUUGUGAAUAUUCAAAUAUUCGAGCUCAAUGCUUCCUUUUCGAUUGAAAAAAAGAAGAAGCUCAAUGCUUCCAAGCCUAUACUAUAGAAAAGCUCUUUAGAGUCGUCAUCUUCUUCUUCUUGCCUUCAUUGUAGCACGUGUGUGGCCCAAUAGAAAAGCUCAAUGCUUCCAAGCAGGACCGGUCUUGAGAUUUUGAAGGCCCUGUGCAAAACCUUAAAUUGGGGCCUCACAUAAGCUAACACAAACUUACACCAUUAUGUAAUGCCAUACAAUAAAUUUUUUUUUUUUUUCAAGUGAUCAAAGUACCCCUACUCCCAAGGAAAAAAUUGAAAUUUCACAAAAGAAUUAAAUUGGAUUAAAUUGAUUACAUUGAGUCAGAGAUGUUACACCUUUUGAAUAAUCACCAUGAUUGUGACGAUGAGUCUUUGUCAUCAUAGGUCAUACUCAGAUAUUAAAUAUUUUUUAACACCUAAUUUAUUUUGUAUCAAUAUUCCAAGAACAUCAUUAAUUCGAUGCAAUUAUUUUGGUUGACUUAGUUGGAUGCAUUAUUUUUGCGAAAUUGAAUAUCUUAGCAUAAUUAUUGACUAAUUCAUUGUGAUCGGGUAUUUAUUAUUUCCGUUUGUGGUUGUGAAAGUAGAUGGGAUAUUGAAUGUUGGUGUUGACAUCGAACAAGCCUUUAACACAAGCAGAUUUUGAAGUCGAGUCCUGAAUAGAAGUUGAGGCCCUACAAACCAACACAACUAGAAACGUCUUUGUGUCAACAAUUUGCUCACUCUGUAUAUAUAUAACAUUUGUUAUACAUAUAGAGUGCUGCUAUUUCCACCCACUUGUCCUAUUUUCUCACCCACUAUGUAAAUUUGAAAAAUUAAAAUCCUACUUUUCCACCCAACAUUAUUCCUAAAAAACCCUUUAAUUAUUAAUUCGACCAAACACCAUCAACUCCAAGUUAAAAACAUAAAAAUUUUAAUCCAAAAAAAAAAAAAACAUUUUUCAUCUUCUUCAUGUGUUUUCAACAUCACGACCUUACCCUACCAUAUUAAUAUUCUCAUAAACCCCUUAGCAGUACUGGUGGCUUCACGACCACGACACCACCACCACAACAACAUACAACCAACAAGACUACAAUGGAUUUUUAAUUGAAGUGAUGUUAUAUGGAAUAAGGACCCGUAUGUGGGUUAAUCAGACUAAAAAAUCUUUAAAAUGGAAUAAAAUUAUAGGACAAUUUGGCCUCUAUUAUCAACACCUACCAACCCUGACACAAUAUUAAAGGUGGAGUUGAGAAUUUGAUUUGAAUUUUUUUUUAAAAACUUUUCAAAUGAUUGAGAUGGGUAGAUCAAUGCUCGCUGAAUUUGUUGAGGCCAGGAAGAUGGAAAGAAUAUGGAGAGUAAAAGAAAAAAUUUAUUUUCUUUUUAAAAUUUGUUUUAUUUUUAGGGUUUUAGAAGUCAUUUUACAUAGGGAUAAAUUUGUCUUUAAAUUUUUUAAAAUAAGGUGGGUGGAAAAAUAUGAGGUGGGUGAAAAUAGCUGUACUCUACAUAUAUUAUACACAUGAAAAAAAAUUGGGGCCCCUAAAAAAUUAAGGGCCCUGUGCCGUGGCACCACUUGCACACCCUCAGGACCACCCCUGCUUCUAAGCUAAUGUCCCUAUACUAUAUUAAAGCUCUUUAGAGUCCUCAUCUUCCUCUUGCCUUCAUUGUAGCACGUGUGUGGCCCAAUAGAAAAGCUAAUGUCCCUAUACUAUAAGGACCAUGCGGAUAAAUAAAUGUAAUGUUUAUCUCUGACAGGUCAUGCUUUUUGAGCCGUGAUAUUUUUGGAAUAGCGUUCGCGUGCAUUUUACCUGGACUGCCAUGUUGAUUUUCACCAGAGCAGCAAAGCUGCUUGCUUUGUGUUAUGAGGUCUGGUUUUGUUAACAAACUAUAUUGCUUGACCUAGAAGAAAAUGCAAUAUCAUGUGGAUCCUCAUUUCGCAGUUGCAUGAGGAUGGUUGUGAAAAUACAAGAGCUAAUUCUGGACAACAUGAUAUUUGUGGGAGCGAUUUCUUCCCACGAGAAUAUUCAAUUGAAAGAUUUCUCUUUCAUCUUCGCCGCCCCUUUCUCAUUGCAAAAUAGAUCGAAACAAGAGGACCACACUCGUGAGGUGUUGGCCAAAAGCCCUCAGAUGCCUAAGUUAGUUCAAUUGAUUCGUAGAGAAAACAAUAGCUAAAUAGGGUACGGAGAUAUAUAUAUAUGUAAGGUGAAAACCGGAUGGCCGGAGCCGUGAGUGGUGGUCGGAGCCUUGUGUAAAAGGAAGAGAGAGUAUGGCGGCUAAGGUUUGUGAGGGAUAAUUUCUGCAGAGUUUCAGUAAGAAUUUAGACGUACCUAAACCCUUGUACGUAGCCAUUUAUUUACAGGGGCCUCAGAGGCUAGGGUUUUAGAGGAAUAAUUCCGCAUAUGGAAAUGAAUUAUUCCUCCCUGAUUUGGCGAGAUUGGCUUAAUUAGGGAUUUGAAUGUAGGAAUCAAAUCAAUCCCAAUUAAAUUAGCAACUCUGGUUGGCCAUGCCACGCUGCUGCGGUAACCAGAUUUACAUCAGUGACACAACGAUCUAUUGGAUUCGCUUCCGCAAACGUCCCCCCUGACACAACCACAUGAGCCUUAAUCCCUGGGUAUCCAGUAAAUUUCUUCCCCUGAAAUAUAGCCAAUUAAACCAAUUAUGUCAUGUUAAAAAGUGCCUAAUCAAGAAAUAAGUACAUUAACCACUAAUCAAAAGAAACAGAAAAAAUAUUAUCUCGUUUGCGAUUUUAAAGAGUACUCACCUCCUUCUUCCCAAUAGUUAUUUACAAUUGAGAGGUUAAUAGGUCACAACAGAUCAGCUCAACAGAACCGAAAUACAAAGCACUAGAUGUAACCUUUUUUACUUCCUUUUCAAGUUCAAUCGAUAAAGUAUUUCAAUCUGUUUUACUUUAUCUUUAAUAAGUAGCAUUAAAACUGGAAGCAUUAUAUUAAUGUUUUAGUGACAAACGUUUAACCACUAAAAUGCAGGUAGGAUAUAUGUUUUUUCUUUAAGACCAUACCUGCAGAACACCAGCAGCAACUAAAAUUUCCAGGCCAUGGCAGAUGGAUGCAAUUGGUUUCCUGGCUUCCAUAAAUUGUUUCGCUAGUACAAUAACAUCCUCAUUUAGUGACAAAACCUCUGGAUCUUUUCCUCCAGGGAGUACAAGAGCGUCGUAACUUGAGGCAUCUACGGAUUCAAAGUCAGCUGUUAAAACAAAAUUUUGUCCCUGCGUUUCACUGCAGGUUUGGGCCCCUUCAAGAUCACGGAUAGCAGUUGGGCAGGUAUCACCGGCUUUCUUCUUGGGGCAAACCACAUCAACAUGGCAUCCUAGAACUUUAAGGGUCUGAUAAGGCACAGUUACCUCAUAAUCUUCCACGUAGUCCUACAAAUAUUACAAAUAUUGGGGAGGGGAGCAAUUAAAUGAUAAUGAUUAGUAUCUAACAGUUUGAUCAUUGGCUAGAAGCCUAAAACCAUGAACUUGUCGUGGCGAAACUGGUAAAGCCGACUCGGGCUUUCUCCCCUUUCUCUUUUAAUAAUAUUAAGGUUGGUUGUCACUUGAACUUGAGCAUACUAUUUUGUCCUAUAUAUGUCAUUGCAAUAUUAAAGAAAAAGAAAAGAAACCUUACUCCACAGAUGAUGAGGACCCUUCUCCCAGAACCAGAUAUGUUGCCUCCUAGUGCCUUGAGAAAAAGCCUAAUGAACUCAGGAUUGCCAUAAUACGUGACCCCAGUAACUAUAUUAUCAUCAACAACGCCCACUGACAAUGUAUCGGGUUCUACCCAGUGAGCACCAGCAGCAACCAAUCCAGGUUUCACAGUUGGAAACGCUGUGCACUUGCGACCUUUAACAGCGCCUGCAGCUGCUAAGACCAACUGCCCAUGGCAAAUAGCAGCAAUUGGCUUUCUGGAGUCAGAAAAUUUUCUCACCAAUUCUACAACCGAUGCAUUCAUAGCAAGAUGUUCAGGAGAUCGUCCUCCUGGUAUAAGUAGACCAUCAUAUUCGUCAAAUUCAAUCUCAUCAAAUGUUGCAUUCAGUGUGAAAUUGUGACCACGAGAUUCGGUAUAAGCCUGUAACCCAAAAAGGUACGUACGUCCGUACAGAAAACCAAACCAAACACACACAUUAAAACAGGAGUAAGGGGAUACAAAAUAAAUAAAUGAACAGGAAAGACAGAGUUUGACCCGGUCAGUGGACUCCACUUUAAUGGUUAUGGCUGUGGCGCAGAUAUCACCCGCUUUCUUGCCAGGAGAAACUGCAUCAACAGAGACUCCAAAUGCCUGCAGUGCUUGAAAUGGGACCAUUGCCUCGUAAUCUUCCAUGUAGUCCCCGCACAGUAACAACACCCUCCUCUGCUCCUCGCCUUUCGGAUUUCCCAUUUCUUUUCUUAUUUCCUUCUUUAGUUUCUUUCUUGCUUUUUCUUUCUUCUUUCUUCUUUCUUCUUUUUCAGAGAGAGAGAUGGUCUAAUAAAGGAAGGAAGGCCUGCUUUAAAUACUAAUACUCACACAAGCGUUUUUGGAGGUUUGUGGAGUCAGCUAGACACGUCGCAGUUAGUUAUCGUGGCAUCUCUUUCUAUUCCUCUCUUCUUUUCAGUUCGGAUAACUAUUCAAUGAGUUUCGAGCCAAGUUUGAUAUUCUCUGUUGUCUUAUAAUUAUUCGAGGAAGAUUCAAACUUGUAAUGUUUAUCUCUAACAGGCAUGGACAAUAAAUGUAAUGUUUAUCUCUAACAGGUAUGGAUAGUUUCGAAUAGCGUGCGCGUUGAUUGUACCUCGACUGCCAUGUUGAUUUUCACCAACGCAGCAAAGCUGCUUGCUUGGUGUUAUGAGGUCUGGUUUUGUCAACAAACUAUAUUAAUUGACCCAAAAGAAAAUGCAAUAUAAUGUGGAUCCUCAUUUCGCAGUGACAGGAUGGUUGUGAAAUACAGGCUAACUUUGGGCAACAUGAUAUUCAAAAGAAAAUUCAAUAUCUUGUCGAUCCUCAUUUUGCAGUUACAGGAUGGUUGUGAAAGUAUAAGCUAACUCUGGACAACACGAUAUUCAAAAGAAAAUGCAAUAUCUUGUCGAUCCUCAUUUCCCAGUUGCAGGAUGGUUGUGAAAGUAUAAGCUAAUUCUAGACAACUGAUAUUCAUUCAGGUAAAACUUCGAGGUGUACGAUGAGAGAGAGAGAAACCAAGGGGGCCGAUGACUAAUAAAGCAUAAGUAGUAUAAUACAAGCUUCAUCCACAACCAAACUUGCAUGGAACAUGGCAUAUACAUAUCGAGACCAGAAUCAUUUGUUCCCUCAUAUAUACAAACGUCACCUUAACAUAACACAACAUACAUGCCUUAUUCUUUCAUGAAUUACAUAUAGUACAUGCAAGCAGCUGACCCAAUAAACAGCAAAUGAUACUCGAAUAUCAAGCAAUGUCAUCAACUGAGAAAUGAACUCUGGGUUGCCCAGUCCAAAUUUCCAUCUGUGAAGCAAUGAUCUAUUGGAUCAGGUUCCAGCCAUGUUGCUCUUGACAAAACCGCAUUAAGCUUCACCGCUGGAUACGCAGUACAUUUCUUUCCCUAAAAUGAAGCAUACCACCAAAACAUUGAAAAUACACAUAGGAAUGAAUGAUGGAACCCUAUCACACCAGAAUUGUGGCAAAUCUGGUGAAGCCUAUUCAGGUUAUUUUCACUAUAUAUCUUUCAGAAGUAUCUGUAAUGGGGCAAAUCUCCAUCAAUUCUCUUCUUUUCACUUUAUCUUUAUGCCCAUUCAUGCAUGUACAUAUUAUAGGAAGAAGUUUUUGACAUAUGGCAUGUAUUGUGUGUCAAAUGUAUACCGAUUCAUGAAGACAGGUUCAACAGCACAUACACCAUUUUGACCUUAUUCAUUUAUUUUUGUUUAUUCUGGGUUACUGCAAUUUGAAUCACAUUAAAAAACAAAUACUGAACAGUGAUAUAUUCAAUAUUGAUUGGCAUCACAACUUCAUAUUUCUCAUUGCACUACGAAGGAAAAUAAAAAUUACCCCACAGAGAAACAGGAUCCUCCUAUCUGAACCAGUUAUGUUACUUCCUAUAGUGCCUUCAAAAAAGACUAAUGAACUCAGGAAGGCCUUCAUAUGUAGCCCCAGUUAUUAUAUUACCAUCAACAACACACGCCACCAUGGUCACGGGCUCCACCCAAUAAGCACCUGCAGGCUGCAGCAACAAGUACAGGUCUGACAGCUGGGAAGGCCGUUAUAUUUUAAAGGCAUCGCGGCGGAGCUAUACUCUAUAAUCAAAAUAGAAAAUCUAAAACGUAUAGCCGUUCGGCUAUACUCUAUAAAUAUAACUCCAUAAAUAGAAUAUCAUAAACAUAUAGCCGCGCGGCUAUAUGCGAUAAAUAGAAUAUUUCAAACGUAUAGCCGAUUGGCUGUACCCUAAAAUAGAACAUUUUAAAAGUAUAGCCGAUCGGCUGUACUCUAUUAGAAGAUCUUCAAAAAAUACAGAAAACCCAAAAACAUUUUAAAACAAAGGGGGACCAGAAAGACAUAUAUAGCAUUUGAAGAUUUGUAAAUUAAACACAGAUAAGAUUAUUUUCACUUAGAGACGAAGGCACUAAUGCAAUUUUGUUUAUUGAAUAUGGUGUACGCAGUGACGUUGGAGCCAAGAAUUUGUUCACGCUGUCUUUUCCCCAGAACUCAAAGCUCAAUACAGGUCGGUUCUCUAGCUCAUAAUGAAUGAGCAAAGCACUCUAACAAAACUCCUAACAUGUGUUCUUGUUUGAGCUUACUUUAGUCUCGCUGUCCACACAACCUAGAAACUAUGACCUACGGAUUGCUAUUUGUCAAUCUAAUAGAGUGGCUCUAAUCAACAGUAAAACUUAAUUCAUUUUGUCUAUUAUUAACGCUACCAACCACUGGCUGAUGCAAAAACCUAAACUUGUAAACUUGACAAACUUAUUUCCAGUCCCAACAUAUUCCAAAUUUUAGAGGAGGCAGCAUAAUCCCAUAUGUGAGAAUUGUAAGCACUUCAAUCUUUGAGACAAAUUUCUUGUUUUGGGUUUACAAAUUCAAGUGAAGUAAGCAUUCAAUCUUCAAUCCAAUUGAGUGUGCUUGAUUACAGAGCAUGGAAAGACCAAUUGACAGUGCUCAAAUGAUGUAAUGAGGCUAAAGAAUAAAUUUUUAUCAUAUAAUCAUUAAAUAUGUUCACUAAAAGAUGUGUCAUCGUUAUAUGUAAAAUUUUUAGAAAUAUAUAAACUAGCUAGGAUUUACGUGAAUUCGAAUUUGAAUACAUGAAAUAUUAUUACCUACUACAUCAUUUGAUGAACAGAUUUGAUGUUCCUAACAAUUCUAUGCGUACUAGUAAAGUACUUUGUCUUUAAUUUGGAAGUACCCGAAAGCAUAAUGUUUUUCAUAUAUUAUCUGGCAGGAGGCAAUUCAAGAAAAAAAGCCAUCAUUAUUGGAGUCGUAGUUGGAGGUGUAGGUCUUUUUAUUCUCAUUGUUGGAGUUUUUCUCUAUUUUAAACUUUCAAGAAAGCCCGAGGCUGCAACAACCACAGAAUUCGAAGUUGCACUUCCUCUUGCAUAUAUACUAUUACAGUCAUGAUUUCUUGGAUUACAAGUACAAGGGUUUAAGAGAUUUGUGAUCACUCACCGUUGGAUGUAAAUUCAACGGUUCACUCACUCUUGCACUUCUUUUAAGAAAUUUUUUUGAACCAUUGGAUUAAUAUCUAACGGUGGGUGACCACAAUCUCUUGGACUCCUGUAUUCCAAGAGAUCGGAUUGUAUACUAUAAGUCCUGAUCUCUUAGACUACAAGAGUACAAGAGAUUUGUGGUCACUCACCGUUGGAUAUAAAUUCAACGGUUCACUCAUUAUUGCACUCCUUUUAAGAAACUUUUUUGAACCAUUGGGAUUAAUAUCCAACCGUAAGUGACCACAAUCUCUUGGACUCCUGUAGUCCAAGAAAUUUGUGGUCACUCACCGUUGGGAUGUAAAUUCAACGGUUCACUCACUCUUGCACUCCUUUUAAGAAACGUUUUUGAACCAUUGGAUUAAUAUCCAACAGUGGGUGACCACAAUCUCUUGGACUCCUGUAGUCCAAGAGAUCGGGACUGUAUACUAUUAGUCCUGAUCUCUUGGACUACAAGGGUCCAAGAGAUUUGUGGUCACUCACCGUUGGAUGUAAUUCAAUUAGCUCAUGCUCUAACCAUGUAUAUAUAUAAACAUAAAAAAUUUAAAAAAAUUUGGUAUUAGACAUAAUUAUCUUUACUAAUUAGUAUUCGAGAUAAACAAUAUUUAUGUUUUAGUUUUAAUACAUAGGAAUUGAAUUUUGUUUUGGAUUUGGACAAAGAGGAGGCCCAGAUUCAUUAGCCCACCUUAUAUUAAUCACUAAUUUUAAUUUAAAAACCUGACUCAAAUUCAUUGGUUUACCUUUUUUUUAAGAGUGCUACUAAACGAACCCUAACAUUAACUGAGUACACCCUAUGAUCUAAGUACACCCUGAUAUUUUAAUUUAAAUGUAAAAUUAACUAAGCACACCCUAUAGAACUACCAAAAAUAUCUCUGGUACACCAUAAUAUUUGUAGCAUUAUUUUAUAGUUGAUUUUUAGCUUGAUUUUUUUAAUAGUGUUUAUAAAUCUUUGACUUUUCAUAUGGAUUUAUGCUUCUACUAAAAUUGUUGACACUUUUUUUGCAAUUUCAAGUUCUUGCAAUCACCACCUCUUUCGUUAAUAAUGAUUUUUUUAUGCAUGUUUCAGUUAUAUACUACUAUGCUACUGUGAAAUUUAUUUGUUCUCAACGAAGUUAAAAACAAGCUAAACAAAUAGAGACACUUUCGCAAAAGACACCUCGUUUGUGAUAAAUUCGUUUUUGUAGUCUAAAACACAUUGUUUAUUGAUGUCGGUGUCUUGCUUAGAUACAUCUUCUAGAUGCUGUAAAAAAAAAAACCUCAUAUUUGUCAUUUUUCGGUACACAUGCUUUAGCCUAAACCAAAAAAAAAAAUCAAAGUUAAUACCUCUUUUGAUGACUUCCUCAAAAUAUAUGAAGCAUCCAUUCCAAAAUUUCAAAAGUAACCCAACUUGCAAAUCUGCAUAAAAACAUAAGAGAAAAACAAUAAGAAAGGUGCAUGAGUGGCAAACGAAAGUCACUGCAAACUUCAUCAAAUUGGCCCUAGUAGUACUAAUUAAGAUAUUUUUAAUCAUACACGCUCACAAGCCAGAAAAACUAAGUCCUAAAAGAGGGAUGAAGAUGCUGCCACCACAAUUUUCAUUCAUGUUGUUAGUGAACUAGGCAAAAGUAAUAUGCAUAAAUUCUAUUUUUACAGUAUAUAAGUCAAUUCACCAUAAUAUUUUUUUGACAACUUAUUGGAUUGUCAGGAAUUCAAUGAUCAAUCAGGCCUUCACAUAAUCUCCACCGCUGCACUUCCUUUUGGACCUUGAGAAGAAGCAGAUUUGAGCCCAAGUCUUCUUCUGCUUAGCAGGUUGUGCUUUAACUUCUCUUUUCACGACAAGCUCAAUCAUGUAUUGAACAACAGCCUAAGAUUAUAUUUGCUCCAAACCAUUCUGACUCGCAGAUCACAAAGAUGAGAACCAAAUAAUCUCUUGAGUAGGGUUGAAUACGAUUAGUAGGGUGUACUUAUUAAAAUUAUAUUUGUUUCACAAUUUCAUAUAUCAUUUUUGGUCAUUUUAUAUUAGAGUAAAUCAGUAAUUCAAUAUAUGCUUUUGUAGUAGGGUGUACUCAGUUAAUUUUAGGGUUCGUUUAGCAGCACUCUUUUUUAAUCAUAUCAGAUCUGCUAUCAUCAAUCCAAGAUCAAGAGACCGAUCUGCGAUGCAAUUCUCAACCAUCUCCCUCCUCUACCCAACCCCCCCCCCCCAACCCCCCAAAAAAAAGGUUUGGGAAAGUCCCAAAAACUAAAAAACAGAUUUCUUCAGAUACAAAAAAAUUUAAAAAAAGAGGAGAGGAUAUGAAAGACGCAGAAAAUCGNNNNNNNNNNNNNNNNNNNNNNNNNNNNNNNNNNNNNNNNNNNNNNNNNNNNNNNNNNNNNNNNNNNNNNNNNNNNNNNNNNNNNNNNNNNNNNNNNNNNNNNNNNNNNNNNNNNNNNNNNNNNNNNNNNNNNNNNNNNNNNNNNNNNNNNNNNNNNNNNNNNNNNNNNNNNNNNNNNNNNNNNNNNNNNNNNNNNNNNNNNNNNNNNNNNNNNNNNNNNNNNNNNNNNNNNNNNNNNNNNNNNNNNNNNNNNNNNNNNNNNNNNNNNNNNNNNNNNNNNNNNNNNNNNNNNNNNNNNNNNNNNNNNNNNNNNNNNNNNNNNNNNNNNNNNNNNNNNNNNNNNNNNNNNNNNNNNNNNNNNNNNNNNNNNNNNNNNNNNNNNNNNNNNNNNNNNNNNNNNNNNNNNNNNNNNNNNNNNNNNNNNNNNNNNNNNNNNNNNNNNNNNNNNNNNNNNNNNNNNNNNNNNNNNNNNNNNNNNNNNNNNNNNNNNNNNNNNNNNNNNNNNNNNNNNNNNNNNNNNNNNNNNNNNNNNNNNNNNNNNNNNNNNNNNNNNNNNNNNNNNNNNNNNNNNNNNNNNNNNNNNNNNNNNNNNNNNNNNNNNNNNNNNNNNNNNNNNNNNNNNNNNNNNNNNNNNNNNNNNNNNNNNNNNNNNNNNNNNNNNNNNNNNNNNNNNNNNNNNNNNNNNNNNNNNNNNNNNNNNNNNNNNNNNNNNNNNNNNNNNNNNNNNNNNNNNNNNNNNNNNNNNNNNNNNNNNNNNNNNNNNNNNNNNNNNNNNNNNNNNNNNNNNNNNNNNNNNNNNNNNNNNNNNNNNNNNNNNNNNNNNNNNNNNNNNNNNNNNNNNNNNNNNNNNNNNNNNNNNNNNNNNNNNNNNNNNNNNNNNNNNNNNNNNNNNNNNNNNNNNNNNNNNNNNNNNNNNNNNNNNNNNNNNNNNNNNNNNNNNNNNNNNNNNNNNNNNNNNNNNNNNNNNNNNNNNNNNNNNNNNNNNNNNNNNNNNNNNNNNNNNNNNNNNNNNNNNNNNNNNNNNNNNNNNNNNNNNNNNNNNNNNNNNNNNNNNNNNNNNNNNNNNNNNNNNNNNNNNNNNNNNNNNNNNNNNNNNNNNNNNNNNNNNNNNNNNNNNNNNNNNNNNNNNNNNNNNNNNNNNNNNNNNNNNNNNNNNNNNNNNNNNNNNNNNNNNNNNNNNNNNNNNNNNNNNNNNNNNNNNNNNNNNNNNNNNNNNNNNNNNNNNNNNNNNNNNNNNNNNNNNNNNNNNNNNNNNNNNNNNNNNNNCCCCCCCCCCCCCCCCCCCAAAUAACACUGUUCGGACCAUCCUCAACACCCCAACACACGUCGCCCUCAAGUCCGAAGAACUUAUAAGAAUGGAGCAGGAAUUGAUAGUCCGCGAAAUCGAAAUGCGGAAAGCCAAAGAGGAUCUCAACCGUCGGAUUCACAAUGAUCAGGUCGCGAGGGAGAUCAUGAAGAUUCCAUAGGACGAGUGGCAAGAGUCUGGCCAACUCUUCGCCAAACCCUUCGGUGUAGGCUCCUCCUCAUCGUCGUCGACGAAGAGGGUCAAGAGUGAAAGAGUGUUCUAUCAGAUUGGUCAAAAAAUAAUACUUCAUUUAUCUUAAUAUAUAACAAAUAGGAAGGUUAUAUAUACAAAGCCUAGGAAACUAUUCUAGGAAAGUAAUUAUGUUCCUAUAAUCUUGCAUAAUCAAAUAGUUGACUUAGACUAAUUAGGAAUGUACAGCUCAUUGACACUCCCCCUCAAGUUGGAGCAUAUAUGUCGUCAAUGCCCAACUUGCUAAAUGAGCUGUGAAAUACCCUGCCUGUGACUGCUUUGGUAAGGACAUCUGCAAGUUGAUCUUCGGAUUUAACAAAUGAUACCUUAAUGAUCUUUGCCUCGAGCUUCUCCUUGAUGAAAUGUCUGUCAACUUCAACAUGCUUGGUUCUAUCAUGUUGCACUGGAUUAUGUGCAAUGUCUAUUGCAGCUUUGUUGUCACAAUUCAGUUGCAUGGCAUGUUUGGGUUUGAACCCCAAUUCCUCCAACAAAUUCCUUAUCCAGAGUAGCUCACAUACUCCGUGCGCCAUACCUCGAUAUUCUACUUCAGCACUUGAUCUUGACACUACUUUCUGUUUUUUACUUCGCCAAGAUACUAGAUUGCCUCCUACAAAGGUAAAGUAUCCAGAUGUAGAUCGCAUGUCAGUAACAGAGCCCGCCCAGUCUGCAUCAGUGUGACCCUCAACAUCUAGAUGACCAUGUCGUGCGAACAUCAAUCCUCUUCCAGUAGAUGACUUCAAGUAUCUCAAAAUUCGGUUUACCGCAUCCAUGUGGGCUUCACUUGGUGCAUGCAUGAACUGACUCACCAUACUUACAGCAUAUGCUAUAUCAGAUCUAGUGUGUCCUAGAUAGAUUAACUUACCCACAAGGCGUUGAUAUCUUUCUUUGUUGGUGGGUACUUGAUCAGGAUAUUCACCAAGCUGAUGAUUCAACUCCAUUGGCGUAUCUGCUGGUUUGCUGGCUAACAUUCCAGUGUCAGUCAAAAUGUCAAGGAUAUAUUUCCGUUGUGAUAGAAAUAUUCCUUGUUCUGAACGAGCCACUUUGAUGCCUAGGAAAUACUUCAGAGCACCAAGAUCUUUCAUUUCAAACUCACUUGCCAAGUGGUGCUGCAAUGCUGCCUUUUUCACUAGGUCAUUCCCGGUAACUACCAUGUCAUCAACAUAUACAAUAAGGGCAGUGACAUUACCUUUCUUAUGUUUCAAGAAAAGAGUAUGAUCUGAGUUACUUUGCUUGUAUCCAAAAUCCUUCAUUGAUUUGCUGAACUUGUCAAACCAUGCUCUGGGUGACUGCUUCAAGCCAUAAAGAGACUUUCUCAGUUUACACACCAUGUUGCUAGUAUUGGGCCCCAUCUUGCAUCCUGGAGGGGAAUCCAUAUAGACUUUUUCUUCUAGGUCGCCGUGCAGGAAGGCAUUUUUGACAUCAAACUGGUGUAAUGGCCAGUUUAGGUUUGCUGCCAGAGAAAAAAGUACUUGAAUUGUGUUUAUCUUGGCUACAGGGGCAAAUGUUUCCCUAUAGUCAAUCCCAUAAGUCUGAGUAUAACCUUUCGCCACCAAUCUUGCUUUGUAUCGUUCAAUGGUGCCAUCUGCCUUGAAUUUUAAUGUAUAUAUCCAUCUACAACCCACUGUUCUCUUUCCUUUGGGAAGGAUAGUCAUCUUCCAAGUGGAAUUCUUCUGGAGGGCCUCCAUUUCAUCAUUCAUCGCUUGAGUCCACUUGGGAUCUUUCAGAGCUUCCUACACAUUACUUGGAAUAGAUACAGUGGAUAAUUGACAUACAAAUGAUGCACAUGACGGAGACAACCUAUGUAGGGACACAUGAUUAGCAAUAGGGUAUUUAACUUUUGUUUUUGGGUCCGGGUCAUACUGUUGUCUAGGAAUCCCUCUAGUGGUACGAAUAGGUAACUGAUAACCUGUGUUUCCUGUAUGACUCGACUCAUGUAAAGUACUUAAGUUGGAGUUUAAAUGCUCAGUUACCUGCGGGGAAUCUUCAGGACCUGAUUGGAUGAUUGGUGAUGGUACUGUAGUUGGAGGGAAAUUAUCUGAACCAUCAUCUGGAGUUUCUAGUAACUCUUGAUCUUGUUGCACUACUGUAGCUGGUUGCUCGGAUACUGACUGCUCUAAAAUAGUUUGUUGAAUUUGGAUGCUCUGAGUAUCUUCUGCAAAGAUAGAGCUCUCCCCCUGCAGAGGAUGCUCAGAAACUCCCCCUGAGUAAUAGAACUCACUCUCGUGGAAAGUCGCAUCUGCGGUAACAUGCAUGGUCUGAGUGGGAUGAUGGAAACACUUAUAGCCCUUCUGAGUGUCAGCAUAACCCACAAAGACACAACGCAGUGCACACGGAUCAAGCUUGCCACGCUGAUGUGGAUACACCUGAACAUAAGCAACACAACCAAAGAGACGUGGUUCGAGAUUUGGUGUGGAUGGCAUGGUGAGGAGAGUGGUCAAUGUCUGAAAUGGAGUUUGAUACUGAAGAGUGCUGGAUGGGGUUUUAUUAAUGAGGUAAGCAGCAAAACAAAGAACCUCCCCCCAAAAAUGAUGAGGCAUACGGGCCUCAAAUAAAGAGGCACGAACAACCUCCAAGAGAUGACAAUUCUUACGCUCUGCGACGCCAUUCUGUUGUGGUGUAUAGGCACAUGUGGUUGAUGAACAAUUCCAUGUUGACUUAAAAAAAUUAUAUAGGUCUUGGUUGACAUACUCUCCUCCAUUGUCAGAUCGAAGCAUGGUGAUUUUCUUGUCAAACUGAGUAGCAACAUAUUGAUAAAAUAACUUGAAUUUGGCGGUGACUUUACUUUUCUGCUUUAAGGGAAAAACCCAGGUCAUCCGGGUGCAAUCAUCAAUAAACGUCACAAACCACUUAAAACCGCUAAUAGUAGGAACUCGUGAUGGUCCCCAAACAUCAGAAUGGACAAUCAUGAAAGGCAAAGAACUUUUAUUCAAUCUUAAUGGGUAAGAAAUACGAUGACUUUUGGCCAAAAUGCAAGUUUCACAAUGAAAGUCUGAUUCAGCAAACUGGGAAAAUAAAUCUGGAAAUAAAAGUUUCAGAUGACCAAAAGAAGCAUGCCCUAAUCGUCUAUGCCAUAGCCAAAUUUUCUUCAUCCUGAUAGACUCAUCUCCUCUCACAUGAUGUGUCUGACUCAAUCUUGUACUGCUGUCUUCUGUCAAGUCCAGAUAAUACAACUUUCCCCUCCUAGUACCACAUCCAAUCACGGUCCUGGUGAGAAGAUCCUGAAAUAGACAAUACAAUGGCCAAAAACACAUAGUACAAUUAAGGGAAUCAAUGAUUUGAGGAACAUAUAACAAGUCAUAGUCGAGUGAAGGGACAACUAAGACAUGAUCAAGACUUAAUGAAGAUGUAAGAGAUAAAGACCCUUCUCCCAUAACUUGGGAGGUGGUUCCAUUGGCACUGGUAAUAUGUGUUUGGCUUGAUGGUUUGGUAGAGUGCAACCCAGUAAAACUAGAUGUCAUGUGAUCAGUAGCGCCAGUGUCAAUAAUUCAUGAUCUAUUACAAAUAAGUGAAGAUGUGCAAGAGGUACCUGAGGUGGCCAAGGCCUUGGAGCCAGAUGUACCUGAUGGAGGUUCUGAUGCAGUCUCCUUGGAUGACUGAGCGGAUGCAAAUGAGGCUCUGGUAGAAUCCUUUUUUCGCCCUUUGUGGACCCAUCCUUCUGGAUAACCAAUGAUCUCAUAACAGCCCUUAAUUGUGUGGUUAUCUAAACCACAUUUGGUACACUUCAUUGGAGGCCAGUUACAAGUAGGGUCGACACUAUAGUUGUUCGGCCGAGAUUGUUUGGACCUCGCAGUAGCCAAGGCCGUGGCUUCAGAGGUUACACCAACUUCAGACAUGGUUCCCUGUCGGUUACUUUCUCUUUUAAUAUGUGCAUAUGCGGCCUCCAAUUCGGGUUUUGGCUCCAUCCGCAAAAUCUCUCCUCGGAUUUGAUCGAAAUUAUUGUCCAAACCUGCAAGAAAUAUAUAAACUCGGAGACGAUCAACCUCUUUGCGUCUAGUCUCAAUGUCUUUCGGAUGCUCCAUGGUGCUUGGACUUAAUUGAUCAAGCUCCUGAAAAAUCUCAGUGAGCUCACUGUAAUAUUUGGCAACUGAUGCGCCAGCUUGCUUCAUUAUUAAUGACCAUCUGUGAAGGUCAUAAAUCUUGGCUUCAUCAGCACCAUUUGAAUAGGUUUGCUUGAUUGCGGCCCAAACUUGCUUUGCUGUGUCAUAACGAAUAAAUCGUUUAAUCUGAUUAGGUUGCAUGGCGUCGAACAACCAACUCUUGACUUGGCAAUCCGAUGCAUGCCAUUUAUUAAAUGUGGGAUCUGUGUCUGUAGGUUGGGCAAUAUCACCGGUCAAGUGGCCAUGUUUUUCUCGCCCAGCUAUCUUCAUCUCUAUGAUUUGAUGCCAUAGAGAAUAAUUAUUCUCAUCCGAUUUGAUUCCUGCGGAGAAGUUGGAGGUGUCACUCUGUAAAGUGACGAUUUGUGUGGUAGUUUUGGAGCCUCCCGACACCAAGGAUUGAUUGGUGUUUGCUGACCCGUCAUCGUUGGCCAUGAUAUUGGCUGACAACCAAUGAAAAAAGGACAAAAAAGAAAUAUCAAGUUGAGGAAAAGCAAGUGAACGGUGGACAAAGGCAAUAAGAAAUAUUGGGUUGAAAGGGAAAAAAAGAACAAGGGGAACGGUUUGAAUGGGUCUGUGAGUGGAUCUGUGAGUGGAAAGUGAUUUGCAAUAUUGCAAAACGUGAUUUGACUAGAGGAAAGGUUUGAAUGGGUUUGUAAGAUGGAAUAUGGGUGGUAUUGGUGCUGGGUUUGUGAGAUGGAAUAUUGCUUUUGGUGCUGGUGCUGGUGCUGCGUACUAGAUGGAAUAUUGCAAAACAGUGAUUUGAGAUGGAAUAUGUGACAGGACCCACCCCGGAAUUUCCACAAAACCGGGGCGAAUCCAGUCUUUGUUCCGACAUCACCCCGAUGUCGGGCCCACUUACUAGAAACCGAGACUUCCUGCCGAAAUUUCGGCAGAGUCUCCCUUAUGAAUUGGACAAACCAACAAAAUUCAACCUGCAUAAAAAUAUAGAAUAAUCCCAACCAGCAGCAUGCUUUACAGCGAAUAAACAGUUUACAACAAAAUGGCCUCCGGCCUCACAAUUCAGACCCUAACAGGGCGAUAACAGAGCAUGUCUAAGAACUUCAAUUUCAACAAAACAGAGUACAAAGGAAAUAACAGGAAGAAAGAGUCCUACGAUGACUCAAGGCUCAAAAGCUCACGAUCCGGCUCUGCUGCGGAGCUCAGUCAACUACUGGCUGGGGGGCGCAAAACAGAAAAUUGUGAGUGGACAAAAAUAAAUUCAGUUCGGUGCAAACCAACGUAAUAUAACCCCACCGUUUAGAAAACCAUGCAAGAAAUACCAUGCAUCUCAAAACCGUCAUACACAAGUAUAUAUAUAUAUAUAUAUAUCAAAACAAAUCAAUACCAAAUGCCAAGUCCAAAAUUCAUAAAGAACACUUUACAAAACCCACCAUCCAAAAACUUAUAAAUCCCGCAACCAAACUCUCGAAAGCGUACCCAUUGGCACGACCGGCAAGGAAGUAUCCACACCGAGAAACAAGAAUGAAUGAAUAGAUAUAUAAUUAUAUAAUAUAAGAGAUAUAUGUAUAUAUAGUAUAAAUAUAACCAUCACCUAGUUGUACCGGGGAAACAAUCCAACCGGGGGAUUGUUUGACUAGUCACCCUGGCAGAGUCCUCGUGAUGAGUCCUCAAUCCACCAUGUGACUAGGGAACGAGCCGUUUAACUGAGGGACCAACUCUCAGCCAGAACGUACAGUCGAUAACCUCAAAACCCGUACGUCUGUGAACAGUCCUACGCGUGCAGACUACCCAAUUAAGGGUCUACAGCAACAUCCCGUCAAGGAUGCCCCGGGUCCCGACAAUUCCAAGUAUCUCAAGUCUCCGUAUCCAAGUUCCACAUCCGGGGAGGUACAUAGGGUAGUGCUUACCGCACACCAAACUGACAUUCUAUACUCACCACUUUCCACAAUCUCAUCUCAACAACCCAAGUACCUCACACAUAACCAAAUAUAUAUAUAUAAAUCCCCAAAAUCCAUAUAUUCAUACUCAAGAUACUCAAAUACGUCAAAACCCAAAAUAUAUUUUCAGUGCCUCAUAAAAAUAUCACUUUCAACAAUUUCAUAAAUAAUAUAUUCAAAAUACCAUUUAAAACAUCAUGCAUAAUAUUUCCCAAAAUCCAUAUAUAAAAUAUACUUUCAAUACCCAAUUAUACCAAACCCACAAUAUUUUACCAAAGCGCUUAUAAAAACAUCAAGCUCAACUCAUGAAUAUAAUAUAUUCAAUAAAUCAUUAAAAACAUUAUGCACAAAUGUUUCAUCAAUAAAACCAUGCAUAAGAUUUGAAAACAAGAUCCACUCACAAGUAGUCCCACGCUGCUUGACCCUGAGAGGGUCCCGCCUGCUGCGUAUGCGUGGUCGGAGUACCUCACCCGUCUGAAAUAGUGAUCGGAGGAGAGAGAACGGGCGACUGGAAGUUCAGACGAGAAUCGGCCUGAAAUCUGUGUUUUUCGGCGACGAGGAGGCGGCUGGCGGCUGGAGAUGGGUCGGGGAACGUCGGCGAGGUCUGGCCGGUUGUUUUGGGUCCGGUCUCGGGGCUGGCCGUGGCCUGUGGCGGCGGCUCCGCGUCUGCAAAUCGGAGAAGGAGGAAGAGGGACGCGGGAGAGAGAGAGAAUCGGGAGAAAGAGAGAGAAAGAGAGAUAAAACUGAAAAAUCUGAUUUUUACUCUAUCCCUUUUCGAAAUAUUUACAAGUUUGCCACUGACACUAUUUUGCCCGUAACUUUUUCGUUACAACUCCGAUUCAAGCCUACCGCGUGUCUACGAAUUCGUCUCAGUACCACCUACCCAGAAAUACCAGUUACUGCCCCAAACACUUUUUGGGCAAGAAAAUGACCAAUUUACCCCUACCCUGAGGGUAAAUUCGUAAAUUCACUUAAAUAAUUUAAAAUAGGAAUUAAAUUUAGAGUCGGGGUGUUGCAAUAUGGGCUGGUGCUGGGUCUGUAUGACGGCUGUUGCUGCGGAAGCGAUUAGGGUUAGGGCAAGAGACAGUCAAGAUUGACUGCUCUGAUACCAUAUCAGAUUGGUCAAAAAAUAAUACUUCAUUUAUCUUAAUAUAUAACAAAUAGGAAGGUUAUAUAUACAGAGCCUAGAAAACUAUUCUAGGAAAGUAAUUAUGUUCCUAUAAUCUUGCAUAAUUAAAUAGUUGACUUACACUAAUUAGGAAUGUACAGCUCAUUGACAUGUUCAGGCUCUACUUCAAGGGUUUGGUGAGCGACGCAAUGGUUGGAAAUGAGAGAAUGGUGCUGGCUGGGGUUGGGGUUGCUCUAUGCGACUCCAGGGAUAAUUUGGUGUUCGAGGUUUGGAAACCCCUGAUUGGGAAUGGGAUGAGCAAGAAUGGUGCCCUGUUGAAAGCCUUGAUUGAAGGACUUAAUGCUGCUCUUGCUCUGGACUUGAAGCGCAUCACCUUUUUCUGUGAGAAUUUUCCCAUUUUUUUAGUUUGUGAGUUGCUAUCUCUUCUCUGUCUCGUUUCAGUCUAUUGAUGAAAAUUAAUUAGGCUAAUUGUGGGUUUUGCAUUUUAAUAUAACGACAUAUAUGGUUAUGGACGCUGUGGUUUACACUGACCAUGAAAGAGACUCUUGUGAAAGAGGUCUAAAGGAAUGGAACUUAUUAUUAUAUUAGUGUAUACGAUGUUGUAGGUUUUGUUAAUUAAUAUUUUUUUUCUUGGAACAAUAAUGAACUUUCAAUUUUCAGAUAUACUUCAUGAAAUUUGAUAGGGCAAAUCGUAUAUCAUCCAUUGUGGACAAAGAGAUGCAUUCGCUUUGAGAAAUUUUACUUGUGUCUUCUCAACAUUUGCUAAAUUAGUUUGCUAUCUUGUAUUUAAAUUGACCAUUAGAGAAAGUCUUGUGAACAAGGUCUAAAAUAAUGGAGUUUAUUAUGACAUUUAUGUGUGCAAUGUUGUAGUAUUUGUGUUGAAACCAAGAAUAUUGGAUGUACUAGUCACUGUGCUACGGUCUAUUUACACCCAUGAAUAGAGCUUGUUGAAUUUCUGACAUUAUAUUUUAUGUAUGAAGGUUAAUGGUAAAUGGCAAGCAAAGAACUACCCAAGAGCAAGAGAACUCAAAAUUGGACUUUCGAAAACUGCAUUGCAGUUCAGAAAUUGCAUUGCAGUUUUUAUUUAAUUACAAUUGAAUUUUUGCUCUUUCUUUGGUCUUCAACCUCACGAAUUUGAAGAGUAGAGGCUACCCAAAUGAGGAAUUGGGGAAAGAGAAAAGUAGAACUACCCAAGAGCAAGAUAACUCAAAAUUAGACUUUUGGAAACUGCAUUGUGGAUUUAGAAACUGCAUUGCAGUUUUAGAAACAGCAUUACAGUUUUCUUUUAAUUACAAUUUGAUUUUUAUUCUUUUCUUGGCCUUCAACCUCAUCAAUUUGAAGAGUAGAGGCUACCCAAAUGAGGAAUUGAGUGGGCAAGAGAAGAUUAGAACUACCCAAGAGCAAGGGAACUCAAAAUUGGUCUUUUGGAAACUGCAUUGCAGUUUUCAUUUAAUUACAAUUUGAUUUUUUGUUCUUUCCUUGGCCUUCAACCUCACCAAUUUAAUUACAAUUUGAUUUGUGUUCUUUCCUUGUUUUUUUUAAACAUAAUUGAUAUCUACCUUGUAUUUUUAUUGCAGUUUCUGUUUUUAUUUUCAGUUUUUGUGUGAAUAUGUGUUGAAAUGAUUUUUUUUUUUUUUUUUAAACUGUUGAUUGUUGUUAUAAAUAUUGUAUAACUGAAUAAAUAUUACAAAAUCAAGUUUGGUGUAGUGGUUUGUGAGUGAGCCUUCCUCCUUUGAGGGUCAAGGUUCAAGUCCCUUCAAUGACACAAAAUAUUUUUUUUAAAGGUGAAUAAAGGGCAAUGGAGUUGGUCCCCUACAGACGGUGGCAGGUGGUGGCCCGCAACGGUGGCUUGCAGCGGGAGUCCGGUGGUGGUGGCCGGCGAAGGGUGGCUGGAGGCGGGAGUCCGGUGGUGGGAGCCCGGCGGUGGUGGCCAACGAAGGGUUGCCGGAGGCGGUAGUCUGACGGUGGCCUAAGGCGGUGACGGCUGCGGUGGCCGGCGGUGGUGGCUAUAUAUGGACAUGUGGCAUAGUAUGCUUGCCUUAGAAGGAGUGGCAUUGUGUGCAAUUGCAAUUUUUUUUAAGGGAGCUUUAGGUGAUAUAUUGGGUGCAACCGAGUUGCAAGGCCAAGGACCAUUGAAUUACAAAAAUAAAGAUUUGACGGCGGCAACAAAAAACUUCAGUGAAGAAAAAAAACUUGGAGGAGGAGGAUUCGAGGGCAUCUACAGGGUAAAUUAUGUGCUAAAGAGCUCUAAAAUAAUUUAUGUCAGUUCAGUUUAGCACGGUCGAAUAUGGUGUACUCUUUUUUUACAUAAAUAAAGUUUUAAAAAACUGGGAAAAUUGCAUUGUCAAGCUUUUGAUUAUCCAUGCAUAAUGUUCAUUUACAAUUACAUGGUUGGUCAGGGUACUCUAAACAAUGGAAAAGUACGUAGUUGCAGUUAAAAAACUAGCAAUUCUCCAAUCUGACAGGGCAAAGGCGAAUUUCGUAAACGAGGUGAAGCUGAUAUGUAACGUUCAUCACCGGAAUCUCAUUCUUCUUGGAUGUUGUAGCAAAGGACCGUAAUUGCUUCUCAUAUAUGAAUACAUGGCAAACAACAGCCUCUACAGAUUCAUAUUUGGUAAUAAUUUUCGGCUUUUCAGCUCAGCUACCUCUAAAUGCAUGCCUCUCAACUGGAAACAACUAAAUGACAUAAUCCUGGGUACAGCGGGGUCUGGCCUAUUUACAUGAGAAGUUUCAUGAGAUGUAAAAACCAGCAAUGUUAUUUUGGAUGAUAAUUUCCAGCCACCAGAUCUGCCGGAACAUUGUAAGUUAAAGUACUUUCCCACAGGCAUAACCCCUGAUUGAGAUCUAUAUGAUCAUUACUCUUCUACAAUAUUUAUACCGAUAUUGUGUUUUGCCCUACUUAUCUUUCUAUCCGCACACAAAAAGUGUUAUGAAUCUACUACAUACAUCUUGUGUAGCUUCUCACAUUCCAGGAUCGACUCUGCCGUAGCACGAUAUUGUCCGUUUUGGGCCCCCUUCUCUGCCCUCACGGUUUUAUUUCUGAAAACUCACGAGCAACUUUUCAGUGGACCUCCUAUCCUGGGAUUGCUCUAACCCCCAACUCGCUUAACUUCGAAGUUCCCAUGACUCCGAAGCCAGUGAACUCCCAAAAAACCUCGUACUAGAUAGAAGCAGGCAUGUAUAUAUAAGGCACAUCAUCCUCUCUCCGUUGAUCGAUAUGGGAUAUUACAUAGCCGAAGAGGAGUACAUCACCAUCAUGGUGAUGCUCUAUAGUGUUUCUCUCUGUGGAAGUGUUUCUCACUUCUGUUUUAGCCUAUCUGAGCAAUGGUGCUCACGGCACCUCCUACCAAGCCUUCUUUAAAUAACCAAAGAAUUUGGUCCAACAGACACAAAACAUUAAUGCACUGAAAAAGCACAACCACCAGCAUUGGAAAAGAAGCCAGCCGCUCCUCUUUCUCAUGUCCUUGGUGCAGCACAGUGGGGCACACCUGCCCACACAUCUCCUGCUGCCAACGAAGUCCCUCUUUAUGCAUAGCUCAAGUUUGGCUUCUCAAAGAACCCAAGAGCCAAAAGUAAUAGCAAUAAUACAAAGCCUAUUCUACCUCUCUUUUUCUCUCUCUCUCUCAUGAAAAACAUCUCUCAUGAAAAACAAAUGUUAGCUUGUUUGAUGCAUUCAUUUCAUUGUUUUAAGUUUUAGAAAAGUGACACAUACCAUGAGAAAGUGAAAGAAUGUCCAAAAGAUAAAGUUAGAGAGAAAUUGCUAUCAAAGCUUUUUCACAAAGUUAGGACACACAUGCCCACCAAGUUGGAUUCCAAUUGCCUUAGGUGUAGAUCACCCAAGUGCUGGAACCCACUCCAUCUGUGUCUCCAGCCUUUUAACAAAGAUGGCAUGUGCCGUCGUUUCCCCAUUUGAAAAACCCAAGGCAUGACAAAUAAAUGAAGAAAGCUAGCAAACAAACAAUGAUAAAGUAGCCCUUACACAAUUAACAAUACAAUUUGGGCCAAUUUUCAACAGUGAAGGCAUCUUAUUACGGUGGGAUCAUUUGCAUCCUCGGAGCCUUUCUUUUUCGAAAUAAGGAUAGAUUUUAAUCAUUAAACUAGGAAUGUAAACGCUAGAUCUGAAAGCAGAUUCAAGGAUUUCCGUAAAAAUCAUAAUCAACAUUACGUAGUUACAAACAUACAAAAUCCAUCCACAAUUCGUACAGAUACAGCAGAAUUACACGGAGUUUCUGGCUAUGCUUCUUUUUCUUUUAUUCUCUUAUUCGUUUAUGGAAUUCCAUAUAUUACUUGGAAGCAGCUGACCUGGUAAAGGGUGCCUAGAAUGAUACUCGAAUAUCAAGCAAUGUCAUCAACUGAGAAAUAAGCUCUGGUUGGCCAUGCCACGCUGCUGCGGUAACCAGAUUUCCAUCAGUGACACAACGAUCUAUUGGAUCCGCUUCCACAAACGUCCCCCCUGACGAAACCACACGAGCCUUAAUCCCUGGGUAUCCAGUACAUUUCUUCCCCUGAAAUAUAGCCAAUUGAACCAAUUAUAUGACAUGCUAAAAAGUGCCUAAUCCGUUAAUAAGUACAUUAACCACUAAUCAAAAGAAACAGAAAAAAUAUCAUCUCCUUUGCGAUUUUAAAGAGUACUCACCUCCCUCUUCCCCAUAGUUAUUUACAAUUGAGAGGUUAAUAGGUCACAGCAGAUCAGCUCAACAGAACCAAAAUACAAAGCACUACCACUAACUAUGUUUUUUUCUUUAAGAACCAUACCUGCAGAACACCAGCAGCAACUAAAAUUUCCAGGCCAUGGCAGAUGGAUGCAACUGGUUUCCUGGCUUCCAUAAAUUUUUUCACUAGUACAAUAACAUCCUCCUUUAGUGCCAAAAACUCUGGAGCUUUACCUCCAGGGAGUACAAGAGCGUCAUAACUUGAGGCAUCUAUGGAUUCAAAGUCAGCUGUUAAAACAAAAUUAUGUCCCCGGAUCUCACUGUAGGUUUGGCCCCCUUCAAGAUCACGGAUAGCAGUUGGGCAGGUAUCACCGGCUUUCUUCUUGGGGCAAACCACAUCAACAUGGCAUCCUAGAACUUUGAGGGUCUGAUAAGGCACAGUUACCUCAUAAUCUUCCGCGUAGUUCUACAAAUAUUGGGAAGGGGAGCAAUUAAAUGAUGAUGAUUAGUAACUAACAGUUUAAUCAUUGGCUAUAUUUUGUCCCAUAUUUGUCAUUGCAAUAUAAAAGAAACAGAAAAGAAAGCUUACUCCAAUGAUGAUGAGGACCCUUCUCUCUGAAGCACAUAUUUUGCCUCCCAGUGCCUUGAGAAAAAGCCCAAUGAACUCAGGAUUGCCAUAAUAUGUGACCCCAGUAAUUAAAUUAUCAUCAGCAACACACACUGACAAUGUAUCGGGUUCUACCCAGUGAGCACCAGCAGCAACCAAUCCAGGUUUCAUAGUUGAAACCGCUGUGCACUUGCGACCUUUAACAGCGGCUGCAGCUGCUAAGACCAACUGCCCAUGGCAAAUAGCAGCAAUUGGCUUUCUGGAGUCGGAAAAUUUUCUCACCAAUUCUACAACCGAUGCAUUCAUAGCAAGAUGUUCAGGAGAUCGUCCUCCUGGUAUAACUAGACCAUCAUAUUCCUCAAAUUCAAUCUCAUCAAAUGUUGCAUUCAGUGUGAAAUUGUGACCACGAGAUUCGCUAUUAGCCUGUAACCAAAAAGGUACAGAAAACCAAACACAACACACACAUCAAAACAAGAGUAAGGGUUAGGUGAAUUCAAGCUUCUUUCUUUGUCCUGAUCAGAGGAGGUUCAAAAUAAAUUAAUUAACAGGAAAGACAGGGUGUCACCUCAUCAGUGGUCUCUACUUGAAUGGUUAUGGCAGUGGCGCAGAUAUCACCAGCUUUCUUGCCAGGAGAAACUGCAUCAACAGCGACUCCAAAUGCCUGCAGUGCUUGAAAUGGGACCAUUGCCUCGUAAUCUUCCAUGUAGUCCCCGCACAGUAACAACACCCUCCUCCUCCGCUCCUCGCCUUUUGGAUUCCCCAUUUCUUUUCUUAUUUCCUUCUUUAGUUUCUUGCUUUUACUCUCUUCUUUUUCACAGAGAGAGAGAGAGACAGAGAGAGAGAAAGAGACUGAAAGUUUGAGAGUCUGAAGACAAGGUAGGUGAUAGCUAGCGCUGCUCUGCUUUGCUUGCUUAAUAGUAAUAUAUUAAUACUCACGAAAGCGUUUCUGGAGGUUUCUGGAGUCAGCUAGACACGUCGCACUCAAUUUGAGCGACACGUCGCACUCAAUUAUUGUAGCAUCUCCCUAUUCCUCUCUUCGUUUCUGGAGGUUUCGCGCCAUUACCAACAAUAUCCAAGUUUGAUUAUUUGAGGAAGUGACAAGUCUAAAUUAUUUGAGGAAAGAUUCACCAACACCGACCAAGUGAUAAGUCUAAAUUAUUUAAGGAAAGAUUCAACCUGAGUGCAAAGUCAAUGCUUCCAAGCUAAUGUCCCGAAAGAGAGAUGGAUAAUGUAAUGUUCAUCUCUAACAGGUCCUAAAAUCAUAGAGUUUGAUAUCUUGCUUCUCCCAAAAAGACGGUUGAUUUCGUUUUGAGUAGCGCUCGCGUUGAUUUUAUCUUGACUGCCAGAUUUUUCACCAGAGCAGCAAAGCUGCUUGCUUUCUGUUAUGAGGUCUGGUUUUGUCAACAAACUAUAUUGCUUGACCCAAAAGAAAAUGCAAUAUCAUGUCAAUCCUCAUUUUGCAGUUGCAAGAGGACGGUUGUGAAAAUACAAGCUAACUCUGGACAACAUGAUAUUCAUUCAGGUAAACCUUCAAGGUGUACGGUGAGAGAGAUUGCGACCAAAAAUCACUGUGUCCUGCUAAAGCAUAAGUAGUAUAAUACAAGCUUCAUCCACAACCAAACUUGCAAGGAACAUGGCAUAUACAUAUCAAAACCAUGUCACUUAUUCCCUCAUAUAUACAAACGUCACCUUAACAUAACACAACAUACAUGCCUUAUUCUUUCAUGAAUUACAUAUAGUACAUGCAAGCAGCAGACCCAGUAAACAGCAACUAGAAUGAUACUCGAAUAUCAAGCAAUGUCAUCAACUGAGAAAUGAACUCUGGGUGGCCCAGCCACGCUGCUCCAGUAACCAAAUUUCCAUCCGUGAAGCAACGAAAUAUUGGAUCAGGUUCCAGCCAUGUUGCUCCUGACAAAACCACAUUAAGCUUCACUGCUGGAUACGCAGUACAUUUCUUUCCCUAAAAUUUAGCCAGUUAACAACAAUUAGGACAUGAUUAAAAAAAGUUCAUAAUGUGAAAAUAUGUAAAUCAACCCUCAAUCAGAAGAAUCAGCAAAAGGCAAACAGAUUACAACUUCAAGUGGGUUUCUUUUUUACCUUGUCGUAAAAUACUCACUCAGUAAAUCAACCCUCUUACAAAAUUGAUGAUACUCCCAACUCCUCCUAACACCUUCUGAAAAACUGAAACUGCCUAGCUCAGCCAAGCCUUUUGGUUUUCCUUACUAGGUAAUUUCUUGUUUUAUCCCAUUCUUAAACCAUUCCAUCUAGCAUAGAUUUUUACUGCUUCAUAUAUUCCUUCAGAGAAUUUUGCAUUACAGUACACACCUUCCGACUUUUAUAUUACAGCACAAAUGUUCAUGCACCAACUGGCAAGCUUGCUCAUCAACACCCACAACAGAACAAACAUCUAAAUUUACAAUCAACUACAUAGAUAGUGAGUAAAAGAACAAAUAAAUCCACAGAUUAUUUGUAUUGUCUUUUUGGUUAAACAUGUUUAACUUCCCACACAAAAAAUUAAUUUUACUCUAGCAUUUUAGUUGAUGUUAAAAAGCGUAAGAAGUUAAAAUUUUAUGUAAUCUACAUUAUAUCUACCACGGAAAUGCUAUAAUGAGGGGUUGUGGGUGAGGGGUUCAAUACCACUAUCCAAUAAUAUAAAGGAAAUUUUGAACUUGAAACUUUUUUAAUGGUUGGAUGGUUGGAUUGAACCCCUCACUCAAACCCCCCACGCAGAUCCCUCUCAUUGUAGCAUCUCCCAUAUCUACCAUAUCAUGCUUGGACUUUAAAAUUCCAAAAUUUAUAAUCUCGAUUUUGUGAUAUGAUUUUGGAUUGUUGAUGAGGAUUUUGCUUCCUUGUUUGUGUGCCUAACAAAUUAACUUUAUAUUAUUGUUUCUGCAUUUUGUACAUUUCAACUCAUUUAGUUUCAGAAAUCAACUUGGACUUUAGAUUGAACUUCUGGACAGCAUGGGACUGAUCCCAACAACAUGGGACCCAUCCCUAUUAAAAGAUGAGCUAUAUAUACAAUAAAACUACACUGCCACAUAAACAGGGAUUACAGCUUCACUUCGUUUCAGUUGAACCACAUGGAAUUAUAGAAAGUCAGCAAUAUUUUUAACAAUAUCAAUACUAUGUUUGACGACGCAACGAAUUGAAACAAUAUGAAAAUAGUCGGAUGUGAUUGAGAAACUUAAAGAAUAUGGACCAAAUUGAAAUUCAGAUCAAAUUUCUGGAAACAAAAGAGUAGCCUGGCUGAAAGGGAGUAACCUUACCUGUAGAACACCAGCAGCAGCUAAAAUCUGCUGACCGUGGCAGAUGGAUGCAAUUGGUUUCCUGGCUUCCACAAUUUGCUUCACUAAUGCAAUAACAUUCUCAUCCAAUGCCAAAUAUUAUGGGGCUCGACCUCCAGGGAUUACAAGAGCAUCAUAACUUGAGACAUCUAGAGCUUCAAAGUCAGCUGUUAAAGUGAAAUUAUGGCCCGGCUUCUCACUGUAGGUUUGGUCACCUUCAAAAUCAUGGACAGCAGUUGCACAGAUUUCACCAGCUUUCUUCUUGGGACAAACUGAAUCAGCAUGGCAUCCUAGAGCUUGAAGAGACUGAAAAGGCACAAUUACCUCAUAAUCUUCCAUGAAGUCCUACAAAUGUUGAGGGAGAGAAAGUGAAUGAUGCUUAGUAACUGUGAGAAGUAUAAAAUUUUGAUCAUUGACUAGAAUAAUACGUAGAUAACAAUUAGUUCAUAAACAAAAGACACGCAGCUUUAACGUUCUUGUCAAGGGGUUUACUAGAUUUACAGUGGAUUAAAACACGUAGCCAAACUUGAUUUAUGGACCAUCUUAUCACUAUUGAUAUUGACAAGUAAAAUAAUAUUUUGAAUUUGGUGGGCUUUAAAGGUUUGUCAAGUAGCCAAUCUUGAUUUAUGGACCAUCUUAUCACUGUUAAAUAACCAGCUUACAAAACGUGGUGGGCUUCAAGGUUUGUCAAGUUGUAUAACUUUUGGCAUUGCAGGUAGAGAAGUUUAGGUAUGCUUCAAAGGAUUUGGUUUUAAAGAGAAAACAAACAACUGGUUUCAAGAAAUAGGUUCUUAUGAAAUCUGACAGCAACUAAUUUAUGAGUCUAAGGCAGUAGUAGCAUUUCGAAUUUGGAGACCUAAUUGGCUUGGGUAUUGGAGGUAUUCAGUUUUGGGGGAAGGGGGAAAUUGAAAUUCUUCAGUAGUCAACUUUCCGGAAAAUUAAAGUAAAGGAGUCUUUUAAAAUUCAUAAAGGAUGUAGUUGUCUAUGUAUCAUGUUUAGAAUCCAUAAUUCAAACAACUUGAAAAAUGACCAGUAUUCAUGUUUGGAUUUACUUUCACAAGUUCACAACUUACACAAAUGACCUAACAAACAAGUAUUCCAAUGGGCAACGGACCCAGGUAGGCAGACCAAUGAAGCAUACCACCAAAACCUUGAAAAAACACACAUAGGAAUGAAUGAAUGAACCCUAUCACACCAGAAAUGUGGCAAAUCUGGUAAAGCCUAUUCAGGUUACUUUCACUAUCUUUCAGAAGUAUCUGUAAAAGGGCAAAUCUCCAUCAAUUCUCUACAGUUUAUCUUUAUGCCCAUUCAUGCAUGUAUAUAUUAUACGAAGAAGUUUUUGACAUAUGGGCAUGUAUUGUGUGUCAAAUGUAUACGCUUCAUGAAGACAGGUUCAAGAGCACAUACACCAUUUUCACCUUAUUCAUUCAUUUUUGUUUAUUCUGGGUUACUGCAAUUUGAAUCAUAAUGCACAUUAACUUCAGCAGAAUAUUUUGCCAUGAACAAUGCACAUUAAAAAAAAAAAAAUACUGGACAGUGAUAAUCACGAUAAUAUAUAUACUCAAUAUUGAUCGGCAUCACAAUUUCAUAUUUCUCAUUGCACUACGAAGGAAAAUAAAACUUACCCCACAGAGAAACAGGAUCCUCCUAUCUGAACCAGUUAUGUUACCUCCUAGUGCCUUCACAAAAAGCCUAAUGAACUCAGGAUGGCCUUCAUAUGUAGCCCCAGUAAUUAUAUUACCAUCAACAACACACGCCAACAUGGUCUCGGGUUCCACCCAAUAAGCACCUGCAGCAACAAGUACAGGUCUGACAGCUGGGAAGGCCGUACACUUCCUACCUUUAACCGAGCCUGCAGCUGCUAGGACAAGUUGCCCAUGGCAAAUCGAAGCAAUUGGCUUUCCGGAAUCAGAAAACUUUCUCACCAAUUCUAAAACCGAUGCAUCCAAAGCAAGAUAUUCAGGUGCCCGUCCUCCUGGUAUUAUUAAUCCAUCAUAUUUGUUAAAUUCAAUGUCAUCAAAUGUUGCAUUCAGUGCGAAAUUGUGACCACGUGAUUCAGAAUAAGUCUGCAACCAAAGAAAAAAAAUACAGAAAACCAAAAAACAUAUUAAAACAAAGGGGGACCAGAAAGACAUAUAUAUAGCAUUUGAAGAUUUGUAAAUUAACCACAGAUCACGAUUCAGCAAACCUAGGUAGCGCAUUAUCAGAGUAUUUUCACUUAGAGACGAGGGCACUAAUGCAAUUUUGUUUAUUGAAUAUGGUGUACGCGGUGACGUUGGAGCCAAAAAUUUGUUCACGCUGUCUUGUCCCCCAGAACUCAAGCUCAAUACAGGUCGGUUCUCUAGCUAGCUCAUAAUGAAUGAGCAAGCACUCUAACAGAACUCCUAACAUGUGUUCUUGUUUGAGCUUACUUUAGUCUCGCUGUCCACACAACCCAGAACUAUAACCUACGGAUUGCUAUUUGUCAAUCUAAUAGAGUGGCUCUAAUCAACAAUAAAGCUUAUUCAUUUUGUCUUUAAUUAAGGCUACCAACGAUUGGCUGAUGCAAAAAACUAAACUUGAAAGCGUGAUGUUCGUUCGUAAACUUGACAAACUAAUUUCCAGUCCCAACAGAUUCCAAAUUUUAGAGGAGGCAACAUAAUCCCAUAUGUGAGAAUUGUAAGCACUUCAAUCUUUGAGACAAAUUUCUUGUUUUGGGUUUACAAAUUCAAGUGAAGUAAGCAUUCAGUCUUCAAUAUAAUUGAGUGUGCUUAAUGAGGCUAAAGAAAACGUUUUUCAUUAAAAAUAAACAAAGGAAAAGGCAAAAGAAGCAGAGGUGGGUAACCUGGUGAGCAGGAGAAAGUUGAUGAAUGGCUGUGCGGCAGAUAUCACCAGCUUUCUUGCCAGGACAGACAGCAUCAACGGACACUCCAUAUGCCUGCAGUGCUUGAAAUGGAACCAUCGCCUCGUAGUCUUCCACGUAGUCCCCCAAUACCAACAACACCCUGCGUUCGCCUUUCGCCAUUUUCUUGUGUUUAAUUUCUUGGAAUUUCAGAGAGAGAGAGAGAGAGAGAGGAAGGGGUGACAGAGAAUUUCGGCGGACUAAACUCUCGGAUAAAGAAACAGAAUCUCAUGGCUUUCGGCUCUACUCAAUAAAUAGAAUAUGUUGAGAGUAUAGCCGAGCGGCUAUACGUGGCUAUAUACUGUAUAAGUAAAAUAUGUUAAUAGUAGAAUAACAGUACAGCCGAGCGGCUAUAUUAUGUAAAUAGAUUAUUCUACACGUAUGGGCGCCGGGCUGUACUAUAUAAAUAGGAUAUAUGUAACAGUAUAGCCGGGCUGCUAUACUAUAUGAAUAGAAUAUCUAAACGUAUAGCCGCCCGGCUAUACGCUAUAAAUGGAAUAUUUUAAAACUUAUAGCCGAUCGACUAUACUAUAUACAUAGAAUAUUUUAAACCGUACCACGGUCCCGGCCACCACCCUCUACCUAGAUCCAUCAUCGCAAUCACCAUCUUCUUCGUCAUUGUCAUCAUCGUCGUAAAAUUCCGAAGACUUAUCGUCUGAUCCCAAAACUGGAUGAAAUUUCAAAGAGUUGUGGGAGAAAUUCAUAGCUGGGUUUGUUGUUGUUGUUUUGCUGAUAGUAAAACUCGAGUCUCCAAAUUGGCUGUGGCCUCCUAUUUUCCCUUCCAUUACACCGUGUCUCAAGUUUUUCACCAUUGAUGAUCGUUCUUGCUUUUUUCUUUCACUUACCACACCCUUCUCUUUUCUUUCCAUAUCUCUCUCUCUCUCUGAAUUUCUAAACGCACACAGACCGUAAUACAAUAAAGUAACAGCAAUAAUACAACGCCUAUUCUACCUCUCUCUCUCUCUCUCUCUCUCUCUCUCUCUCAUGAAAAACAAAUGUUAGUUUGUUUGAUGCAUUAAUUGCAUUGUUUUAAGUUUUAGAAAAGUGACACAUAUCAUGAGAAAAAGAGAGAAUGUCCAAAAGAGAAAGUUAGAGAAAAAAUUGCUAUCAAAGCUUUUUCACAAAGUUAGACACACACGCCCACCAAGUUGGAUUGCAAUUGCUUUAGGUGUAGAUCACUCUAAUGCUGGAACCCACUCCAUGUGUGUAUCCAGCCUUUUAGAGCAUCUCCACCUAUAAGGGCUAAGGCAAGGGCAAGUAAGGGCUGCCACUAUUCAUGUGAAUAGUGGCAGCCUUGCCUUUUUUGGUUCCACCCCAAAAGGCUAUGGCAAGGGCAAGAAAAAAAAAAAAGGAUAUGCAACAAAAUAUAAAUUUGUUAUGUAUUUUAUAGGGAAAGUGAAUAAAAUUGUUAUGUAUUUAUAGGGAAAACAUCCAUAAUUUUUUGGUAUUUUUUUAAAAAAAAUUUUGAUUUUGAUUUUUUCAUUUUUUUCAAUUUUUUUGACUCGCUGACGUCAGCGUGACAUCACCACUGACAUCAGCGCCCUAGGGCUGAAGCCCAGGCAAAAUCUGCCCUUGGGCUUGCCCAGGCUGGUGGACCCAGGGCUUGCCCGGGCUGCAGGUCGUGCGCUGGAGGGUCUUUUGGGCUGGCAGUGGGCCUUUUGCCCAGGUCGUGCGCUGGAGGGUCUAUAUGAUCAUUACUCUUCUACAAUAUUUAUACCGGUAUUCUGUUUUGCUCUACUUACCGUUCUAUCCGCACACAAAAAUUGUUAUGAAUCUACUACAUACAUCUUGUGUAGCCGAAGAGGACUAGUAUAUCUCCACCACCAUGGUGAUGCUCUCUAGUGUUUCUCUCUAUGGUGAAGUGUCUCUCACUUCUGUUUUAGCCUAUCUGGGCAAUGGUGCUCACGGCACCUCCUACUAAGCCUUCUUUAAAUAACCAAAGAAUUUGGUCCAGCAGCUGCAUGCAUGAAAAAACCGUGCAAGUUGUCUGAGCACCUUCAAAGUCCUCCACAAGACACAGAACAUUAAUGCACCGAAAAAGCACAACCACCAGCAUUCGCAAAGAAGCCAGCCGCUCCUCUUUCUCAUGUCCUUGGUGCAGCACAGUGGGGCACACCUGCACACACAUCUCCUGCUGUCAACCGAAGUCCCUCUUUAUGCAUAGCCCAAGUUGGCUUCUCAAAGAACCCAAGCCAAAAGUAAUAGCAAUAAUACAAAGCCUACUCUCUCUCUCUCUCUCUCUCUCACGGGUACACAGACCAACAAUGUGGCCAAUAAACGAAGGAAAAUGCUGGCAACCUUAUCUCCGACCUUAUUUUUGGACAUUUUCCCUUUUCCUCAUGACAUAUGUCACAUCCCAUACACUUGUAAACAAUGACAUUAAUACAUUAAACAAACUACCUUUUGUUUUCGAAGUUUACCCUUAUUAAAUGUAUUGUCUUUCAAUUUAUCCAAAUUUUUUUACAACUCUCUUACUAUAUUUAAAAAAUUAAAAAAAUUCAGUUAAAAAAAAAAAAAACAUGUCUAUUUUUUUAGAUUGGAAAACGUUUUUUUUUUUUUUAACACAAGAAUGACCUCAAAAAAAAAAAAUCAACGAAAGAAAGAUUGUUUUUUUAUACGGACAAAAGACAUCCUUCUAAAGAAGUCUGUAGUCAAAGGAAGUUCAUUGAUUGGAUUUUCAAACCAUUAAUUCGGUAAGUUUGAUUAUUGAUUUUUUUUUCAAGACCAUUAAUUAGGUAAGUCUUAUUUGGAGUCUUUCAGAAAAGGAAAAAAAAAACAAACGUUUUUUCUUAUUUAAUUUUUUAAGUCUUAUUUGAAUGUCUCCUUAUUCCCUUUGGAGUCUUAAAAAAAAGACUUUUUCUCAAUUAAUUUUUGAACAAGGCGAUAAGAAAAUUGUAAAAAAUUUAGAUAAGAAAUUUAAAGAAAUAUUAAAAUCAAUACGUUUAAUAAGGGCUGAUUUGAAAAACAAAUGUUAGCUUGUUUGAUGCAUUAAUUGCAUUGUUUUAAGUUUUAAAAAAGUGACACAUAUCAUGAGAAAGAGAGAGAAUGUCCAAAAGAGAAGGUUAGAGAAAAAGUAGCUAUCAAAGCUUUUUCACAAAGUUAGACACACACGCCCACCAAGUUGGAUUCCAAUUGCUUUAGGUGUAGAUCACUCUAGUGCUGGAACCCACUCCAUGUGUGUCUCCAGCCUUUUAACAAAGAUGGCACGUGCCGUCAUUUCCCCAUUUGAAAACCCACGGUAUGACAAAUGAAGAAAGCUAGCAAACAAACAAGGAUAAAGUAGCCUUUACACAAUUAACAAUACAAUUUGGGCCAAUUUUCAACAGUGAAGGCAUCUUAUUGCAUUCUCCGGAGCCUUUCUUUUUCGAAAUAAGGAUAGAUUUUAAUUUAAACGCUAGAUCUGAAAGCAGAUUCAAUGAUUUCCAUAAAAAUCAUAAUCAACAUUACGUAGUUACAAACAUACAAGAUCCAUCCACAAUUGGUACAUAUAGAGCAGAAUCCGAGCAUCAUUGUUCCCUCACAGAUACACACAACACCUUCACAUAUGCUCUUAUUCUUUUAUUGAAUUACACGGAGUUUCUGGCUAUGCUUCUUUUUCUUUUAUUCUCUUAUUCGUUUAUGGAAUUCCAUAUAUUACUUGGAAGCAGCAGACCCGGUAAAGGGUGCCUAGAAUGAUACUCGAAUAUCAAGCAAUGUCAUCAACUGAGAAAUAAGCUCUGGUUGGCCAUGCCACGCUGCUGCGGUAACCAGAUUUCCAUCAGUGACACAACGAUCUAUUGGAUCCGCUUCCACAAACGUCCCUCCUGACGAAACCACACGAGCCUUAAUCCCUGGGUAUCCAGUACAUUUCUUCCCCUGAAAUAUAGCCAAUUGAACCAAUUAUAUGACAUGCUAAAAAGUGCCUAAUCAGUUAAUAAGUACAUUAACCACUAAUCAAAAGAAACAGAAAAAAUAUCAUCUCCUUUGCGAUUUUAAAGAGUACUCACCUCCCUCUUCCCCAUAGUUAUUUACAAUUGAGAGGUUAAUAGGUCACAACAGAUCAGCUCAACAGAACCAAAAUACAAAGCACUACCACUAACUAUGUUUUUUUCUUUAAGAACCAUACCUGCAGAACACCAGCAGCAACUAAAAUUUCCAGGCCAUGGCAGAUGGAUGCAACUGGUUUCCCGGCUUCCAUAAAUUGUUUCACUAGUACAAUAACAUCCUCCUUUAGUGCCAAAAACUCUGGAGCUUUACCUCCAGGGAGUACAAGAGCGUCAUAACUUGAGGCAUCUAUGGAUUCAAAGUCAGCUGUUAAAACAAAAUUAUGUCCCCGGAUCUCACUGUAGGUUUGGCCCCCUUCAAGAUCACGGAUAGCAGUUGGGCAGGUAUCACCGGCUUUCUUCUUGGGGCAAACCACAUCAACAUGGCAUCCUAGAACUUUGAGGGUCUGAUAAGGCACAGUUACCUCAUAAUCUUCCGCGUAGUUCUACAAAUAUUGGGGAGGGGAGCAAUUACAUGAUGAUGAUUAGUAACUAACAGUUUAAUCAUUGGCUAUAUUUUGUCCCAUAUUUGUCAUUGCAAUAUAAAAGAAACAGAAAAGAAAGCUUACUCCAAUGAUGAUGAGGACCCUUCUCUCUGAAGCACAUAUGUUGCCUCCUAGUGCCUUGAGAAAAAGCCUAAUGAACUCAGGAUUGCCAUAAUAUGUGACCCCAGUAAUUAAAUUAUCAUCAGCAACACACACUGACAAUGUAUCGGGUUCUACCCAGUGAGCACCAGCAGCAACCAAUCCAGGUUUCAUAGUUGAAACCGCGGUGCAUUUGCGACCUUUAACAGCGCCUGCAGGUGCUAAGACCAACAGCCCAUGGCAAAUAGCAGCAAUUGGCUUUCUGCAGUCAGAAAAUUUUCUCGCCAAUUCUACAACGGAUGCCUUCAUAGCAAGAUGUUCAGGAGAUCGUCCUCCUGGUAUAACUAGACCAUCAUAUUUGUCAAUUUCGAUGUCAUCAAAUGUUGCAUUCAGUGUGAAAUUGUGACCACGAGAUUCUUUAUUAGCCUGUAACCAAAAAGGUACACGAAAGAAAACCAAACACAACACACACAUUAAAACAAGAGUAAUGGUUAGGUGAAUUCAAGCUUCUUUGUCUUGCUUGUCUCUCAAACUCAAACUCAAACUCAAACUCAUCAGAGGUUGUUUUCCAACAACUGUGUUCAAUAUUAAACAUAUAAAAUAUAUUCCUCUUGUUUACAAAUAAAAAAGAACAGGAAAGACAGGAAAGACAGAGUUUGACCUGGUCAGUGGACUCUACUUGAAUGGUUAUGGCAGUGGCGCAGAUAUCACCAGCUUUCUUGACAGGAGAAACUGCAUCAACAGAGACUCCAAAUGCCUGCAGUGCUUGAAAUGGGACCAUUGCCUCGUAAUCUUCCAUGUAGUCCCCGCACAGUAACAACACCCUCCUCUGCACCUCGCCUUUCGGAUUCCCCAUUUCUUUUCUUAUUUCCUUCUUUAGUUUCUUUCUUCUUUUUCAGAGAGAGAGAGUUUUCAGAGAGAUUUUUCACACAGAGAGAGAGAGAGAGAGAGAGGGAGAGAGUCUGAAUACAAGAAGGUAGGUUAUAGUUUGAGCUGCUCCGCUUUGCUUACUUAAAUACUCACAAAAGCGUUUUUGGAGGUUUGUGGAGUCAGCUCGAUACGGUCGCACGCAACUUGAGCAACACAUCGCAGUCAGUUAUCGUGGCAUCUCUCUAUUCGCCGCUUCUUUUCAGUUCGGAUAACUAUUCUAUUAGUUUCGAGCCUAUCACCGUCUCCAUGUUUGAUACGUUUUUUUGUUGUCUUCUUUACCGACCAAGUGAGUCUAAAUUAUUGAAACUUGAGUUCGUUCUCUUCACGGACCAAGUGGGUCUAAAUUAUUGGAGGAAGAUUGAAACUUGAGUUUGUUCUCUUCACGGACCAAGUGAGUCUAAAUUAUUGGAGGAUAAUUAAAACUUGAGUGCAAAGAGGCGAAUUUAUUCCCUUAUUGUGAAUACAAGUAAUGGUCUAAAUUAUUAGAGAAGUAUUCUAACUUGAGUGCAAAGAGCACAAAUUUAAGUGCAAAUGAGUGUACUUACUGUCUUAUUACGAAUGCAAAUGAUAGUCUAAAUUAUUAGAGAAAUAUUCAAAUUAUAGUGAAAAGAAGCGUACUCACUGUCUUAUUGUGAAUAUUCGAAUAUUCGAGCUCAAUGCUUCCUUUUCGAUUGAAAAAAAGAAGCUCAAUGCUUCCAAGCUAAUGUCCCUAUACUAUACAAAAGCUCUUUAGAGUCGUCAUCAUCUUCUUCUUGCCUUCAUUGUAGCACGUGUGUGGCCUAAUAGAAAAGUUCUUUAGAGUCCUCAUCUUCCUCUUGCCUUCAUUGUAGCACGUGUGUGGCCCAAUAGAAAAGCUAAUGUCCCUAUACUAUAAGUAGGGGUGGGCAUCAAUCCGGCCGAUCCGACCAAACCGGCCGAACUAAACCGUAUUUUCCAGUUUGGUUUGGUUUUGACUUUAAAAAGUCAACAGUUUUAAAAUCCGAACCAAACAGGAGUAAUUUGGUUCAGCUGCAGUUUUAAGUUUUAAAAAACUGUGUUAAUCCGAACCGAACCGUUUAAAUAUUAAUUAAUUAUAUAUAUAUUAAUUUACAUGUGUCAAUGGUUGAGUGGCUACUUAGAAGUGUUAGUGUACACCCAGCCACAUUGAAUUGGACUCCAACCCAUCUAUUUUCAGACUCAACGCAUUCCAGAGUUGUCUUCCUUACGCAGCCUCCCUCACUCAACCACUUCAACCCUAGAAAAGCCACCAUUGAUUUGAACCACCACAACCUCCACUGCUUCAAUCAAACCCAUUCUCACAUAGCAAAAAUCUCUUUGGCGUCGCACCUCCAUCGUCAUCGGUGCACAGCCAUCGUCAUCGUCGCACGGCCAGAGUCAUCGUCGCACAGCCAUCGUCAUCCCUGCACAGCAGCGUCAUCGUCGAACACCAGCGUCAUCGUCACACACCAGCAUCAUCGUCGCACAGUUGAUUGAUGUUCGAGAAGCCCAAGAAGUGUAUGUUCUAAUAUUUAAUUUCUAAUUAUCUACAUAUUUUUCUUUUGAUGGAUGUUCUGAUUUCAAUUUCUUGGAAUGAACUUUUAGUUGUGGGUUUAUCUAUAUAUAUGAUCAUAUUAUAUUGAGAAGUUCAAAUUUGAAAGUUAGCAAUUAACUUCUGAGUCUCAAUUCCAAAUAACACAGCAGCAGAGGAUUUAAUUAAUUACCUUCCACCAUAACCUCUUUCCAUAACAACCACGCCUCCAUUGCCAAAGUUAUUCAGCCUCUCAAAUUGCUCCACUGUCCAUAACCUCAAAUUGCCUCUAUAAGGACCAUGCGGAUAAAUAAAUGUAAUGUUUAUCUCUAACAGGUCAUGCUUUUUGAGCCGUGAUAGUUUUGGAAUAGCGUUCGAGUGCAUUUUACCUGGACUGCCAUGUUGAUUUUCACCAGAGCAGCAAAGCUGCUUGCUUUGUGUUAUGAGGUCUAGUUUUGUCAACAAACUAUAUUGCUUGACCUAGAAGAAAAUGCAAUAUCAUGUGGAUCCUUAUUUCGCAGUUGCAGGAGGAUGGUUGUGAAAAUACUAGAGCUAAUUCUGGACAACAUGAUAUUUGUGGGGGCGAUUUCUUCCCACGAGAAUAUUCAAUUGAAAGAUUCCUCUUUCAUCUUCGUCGCCCCUUUCUCCUUGCAAAAUAGAUCGAAACAACAGGACCACACUCGUGAGGUGUUGGCCAAAAGCCAUGAGAUGCCCAAGUUAGUUCAAUUGAUUCGUAGAGAAAACAAUAGCUAAAUAGGGUAUAGAGAUAUAUAUGUAAGGUGUAAACCGGGUGGCCGGAGCCGUGAGUGUUGGUCGGAGCCUUGUGUAAAAGGGAGAGAGGGUAUGGCGGCUAGGGUUUGUGAGGGAUAGGCAGUGUCCCUCUUACAAAAUUGAUGACACUCCUAACUCUUCCUAACAAAUUCUGAAAAACUGAAACUGCCUAGCUCCACCAAGCCUUUUGGUUUUCCUUACUAGGUAAUUUCUUCUUUUACCCCAUUCCCGGGAACUUGUCCUCCUUGGCUCAUUGAAUGUUCGUUAUGUCUCCACCCAUACUCAGCCAAACAUUUGAUGUACUUUAAAUCUUUAGUAUUCAAUAAUACAGCAUAACUGUUGAUAUUUACAUGAAUGGUUCAUAAAACUGAAGUGGAGAAGAAACUAUCUUAAGAGUUGAGAAUGAGUUUGGGUGGCUUGAGUGAAAAAACUUUAUCCAUCAACACAAGGAGAUGGUGAAGGCAUCUUAUUAUGGUGGGAUCAUUUGCAUCCUCCGGAGCCUUUUUUUUUCAAAAUACGGCCAGAUUUUAAUCAUUAAACUAAGAAUGUAAACGCUAGAUCCGAAAGCAGAUUCAAGGAUUUCCAUAAAAAGCAUAAUCAACAUUACGUAGUUAAAAACAUACAAGAUCCAUCCACAAUUGUUACAUAUACAGCAGAAUCAGAGCAUCAUUGUUCCCUCACAGAUGCACACAUCACCUUAACAUAUGCUUUUAUUCUUUUAUUGAAUUACACGGAGUUUCUGACUAUGUUUCUUUUUCUUUUUUUACUCUUAUUCGUUUAUGGAAUAACAUAUAUUACUUGGAAGCAGCUGAACUGGUUACGUUUGCUUAAAAUGAUACUCGAAUAUCAAGCAAUGUCAUCAACUGAGAAAUAAGCUCUGGUUGGCCAUGCCACGCUGCUGCGGUAACCAGAUUUACAUCAGUGACACAACGAUCUAUUGGAUUCGCUUCCGCAAACGUCCCCCCUGACACAACCACAUGAGCCUUAAUCCCUGGGUAUCCAGUAAAUUUCUUCCCCUGAAAUAUAGCCAAUUAAACCAAUUAUGUCAUGUUAAAAAGUGCCUAAUCAAGAAAUAAGUACAUUAACCACUAAUCAAAAGAAACAGAAAAAAUAUUAUCUCGUUUGCGAUUUUAAAGAGUACUCACCUCCUUCUUCCCAAUAGUUAUUUACAAUUGAGAGGUUAAUAGGUCACAACAGAUCAGCUCAACAGAACCGAAAUACAAAGCACUAGAUGUAACCUUUUUUACUUCCUUUUCAAGUUCAAUCGAUAAAGUAUUUCAAUCUGUUUUACUUUAUCUUUAAUAAGUAGCAUUAAAACUGGAAGCAUNNNNNNNNNNNNNNNNNNNNNNNNNNNNNNNNNNNNNNNNNNNNNNNNNNNNNNNNNNNNNNNNNNNNNNNNNNNNNNNNNNNNNNNNNNNNNNNNNNNNNNNNNNNNNNNNNNNNNAGAUGGAUGCAAUUGGUUUCCUGGCUUCCAUAAAUUGUUUCGCUAGUACAAUAACAUCCUCAUUUAGUGCCAAAACCUCUGGAUCUUUUCCUCCAGGGAGUACAAGAGCGUCGUAACUUGAGGCAUCUACGGAUUCAAAGUCAGCUGUUAAAACAAAAUUUUGUCCCUGCGUUUCACUGCAGGUUUGGGCCCCUUCAAGAUCACGGAUAGCAGUUGGGCAGGGAUCACCGGCUUUCUUCUUGGGGCAAACCACAUCAACAUGGCAUCCUAGAACUUUAAGGGUCUGAUAAGGCACAGUUACCUCAUAAUCUUCCACGUAGUCCUACAAAUAUUACAAAUAUUGGGGAGGGGAGCAAUUAAAUGAUAAUGAUUAGUAUCUAACAGUUUGAUCAUUGGCUAGAAGCCUAAAACCAUGAACUUGUCGUGGCGAAACUGGUAAAGCCGACUCGGGCUUUCUCCCCUUUCUCUUUUAAUAAUAUUAAGGUUGGUUGUCACUUGAACUUGAGCAUACUAUUUUGUCCUAUAUAUGUCAUUGCAAUAUUAAAGAAAAAGAAAAGAAACCUUACUCCACAGAUGAUGAGGACCCUUCUCCCAGAACCAGAUAUGUUGCCUCCUAGUGCCUUGAGAAAAAGCCUAAUGAACUCAGGAUUGCCAUAAUACGUGACCCCAGUAACUAUAUUAUCAUCAACAACGCCCACUGACAAUGUAUCGGGUUCUACCCAGUGAGCACCAGCAGCAACCAAUCCAGGUUUUACAGUUGGAAACGCUGUGCACUUGCGACCUUUAACAGACUGCCCAUGACAAAUAGCAGCAAUUGGCUUUCUGGAGUCAGAAAAUUUUCUCACCAAUUCUACAACCGAUGCAUUCAUAGCAAGAUGUUCAGGAGAUCGUCCUCCUGGUAUAAGUAGACCAUCAUAUUCGUCAAAUUCAAUCUCAUCAAAUGUUGCAUUCAGUGUUGUUUGUGCAAAUAAUCUCACGGGAGAAUAUUCGCCCAAGAUUCCUUCGUCUUCUCCGCCUCUCUUUCUCCUUGCAAAACAGAUUGGAGUAAAAGGACCACACCCGGGGGGUGUUGGCCAAAGGCCCUCCGAUGCCUAAGUUAGGUAAGGGAAUUGAAGGAAAACCGGGUGGCCGGAGCCGUGUGUGGUGGCCGGAGCCUUGUGUGAGAGAGAGAAAGAGAGGAGGUGCCUAGGGUUUUUGAGAAAUAAUUUAUGCAGAGUUUCAGUAGGAAUUUAGACGUACCUCAUCCUUGUGUGUAACCAGGUAUUUAUAGUGGCCUUUGGAGAGGUAGGUGGGGUUGGUGUAGUUGGUGUGGUUGGUGGGGUUGGUGCAUUUAGGGAUUAUGGAUGAACCGAAUCCCUAAUUAAAUUGGGGAUCAAGUAACCCCCAAUUUGAUUAGGUAAUUCCCAAUUAGGUUAGGUAACUCCUAAUUAGGUCAAAUAAUUCCCAAAUUGAUUGGCCUAAUUAAUUGACCUAGGGUUUUGGUUUAAUUAGGUUCCCACAAAUGCCCCCCAGCUUCUGCAUGGCGCGUGGUGGCAUGUAAGAGAUGUAAAUUAUCCGUUGGGCUGUCCAGCUGUAACUGGGCUUCCUUCGUGGACAUGGGCUCCCGCGUAGAGGAGGUGUUUGACUUGCCAAUUUUAUGAACUCCCAGGUUGGAAAGAAUUUGUGAUUCCUUGUAGGUCAAGGAAUUUUCAUUCUUAUAAAUGUAGGGCUCCUCCAAUUUAUUCUUCACAUCCAAAAUCCAUUCUGAUUUUAUUAGUGAGAGAGAGUAAACUUUGGAGAAUUUUUUCCUUCUUCUUGAGCUCUUGUCUUCAUCGCACACCCAAGGUAAUUUAGACUUGAGUUAUAUAUAUAUAUAUAUAUUUUGUUCCAAUUUCCCGCAGCUUGGCUCAUGCUUCUAGCUGAUGUGGGGAGCUGAAAGGGAGGUCAGCAGGCUUGGGACUGUACAUUUUGGGCUCGAGCAUGGAGGUCCAAGGGCUAUGGGUUCUUGCUGGAGCAAACUGGCUGCAGCUGAGGCAAGGAAGGGUUAGGCCUGGCUCACGGUUGGGCUGCGCGCGGAAAGCCCAAGGCGCUGGGCUUCGAGCAAUGGCCUGAAGGCGCUGCUGGGCAGAGGCGACGGGCCACCUACGCUGGGCUUCGUCUGAUUGGGCUAAGGUGAGAGCUGGAGCUGGCCUGCGCGAUCUGGGCUGGAGACGAUGGGUCACGCGUGCUGGGCUGCGAGCUGGAGCUGGUCAUCUGGGCUGAAGGUGAUGGGCCACGCGUGCUGGGCUGCGAGCUGGAGCUAGUCAUCUGGGCCUCCGUGCUGGGUUGCGAGCUGGGCUGCCUUCUGUUUUUUUUUUUUUUUUUUUUUGGCAUUCUAACAUGUAAAAUUAUUUUAUUAUUAUUUUUUUUUUCAGCUGCUCAACGACCAUGUCUUCUGAAGGAAAGAGCCGAUCACCAAACUCAAGAGUGCCUUUGUACCUGUGGGGCGGUUCUCAAGUUCCCAAAGAGAAGUUUGUGGCCAAUUUGCACCGUGUCACCAACGAGGCCCAGUUCAAAACGUGGCGUGCCCUUUUCGACUCUGCUAUACCCAAGGAUGUACAUGUCAAGUUGGCAGAGCCCUCAUCUGACAGUAUACCUCGUGUGGACCCGAACAAUCCAGGCGCCAGGAUUAUCACGUUCCGCCCCUUCUAUUUCUCGCUGGGUUUCACGUUUCCGUUGUCGAAAUUUUUCAGGGAGGUGUUCUGCGCCAUGGAAUGUGCCCCGAGCCAGUGUACUCCGAAUGUUUAUCGGGCGGUCAUCUGCUUUGAAAAUUUGAGCCGCUUCUUCAAGUUGGAUUUGACCGUGAAGGAGUUCUUCUACUUCUUUGAGGUGAGACACUUCGAGAAAUAUGCCCAACUCCGCGCAUGCGAACCCAAGUUGUUUGAUAGUCUGAGUCAGGGCGAUCAUGUGUGGAGCAAGGAUGUGCUAGAGGUUAGUGGCAGAUGGGAAGGAGAGGUUGGCGACGGUCCGCUCGUUCCUCUCACCUACUGUGAUGGUAAGUUGCAUCCCUCUGAUCUGCUACUAUUUUCCAUGGGAUUCCUUAGUGUGUCUGACUAACUUUUGUCUUAUGCUUGCAGAUGAUGCCAUUCGAAAGAAGCUUGUUCUCGACCCGGACAUGACGAAGGUUCGACAAGCUUUGAGCAUCCCUGCUAAGUUUCGUGAAUGGCGCUGGUUGCUGAGCGAACACCGGAAGAAAGUCAGUGGCCUGCCCCCUGCUGAAGAUAUUGAAAGGUGGAAGUCGCGCUGCUUGAAACUAAGUGACUUGCCAGUUGAGCAGGAGUCAUCGACUGAGUCCCCCGAGGGUGGGAAAACGUGCAGCAGCUCUGCUCGGGAUAAAGUUGCAGUUUCCCGAUCAGUAGAUACAUCUCCACAGCGACAGCAGCCGAGAUUUUCUCUUGCCACGAACAAGUCUUCCACAAGGGAGGUCUCGCCUGCUCAGAAAGCCCAUAUGGGAAUUGUUCCUACUCCAUCUGCCGGGAUCAGCAAGAAGGCCAAUGGCAUGCAGGAGGUUCGGGAAAUUCUGCUCAAGUCCUUGCCCGUACCGCCUAAGACCCGUGAUCUGCCAUGCAAGGAAACUGCUGGGAAGCAAGGUUUGGGUCGUCCGUGCCGAUCUGGGAAUCAAGCUGAGAGGACCGUACCUCUGCCUUGCAACCAUGACUCAUCUGUGGGGCCACGAGCAGUCAAGCGCGGGGCUGACUCAAUGUUACAAGCUGCAGUCAAAAGAGCUAAAGAGUCGUCUGCUCGAGCGAAGAGUCCUCCAAUCGCGCGAACUGCUGGUCCGGGAAUUGGUGAUGGCUCUGCUGGGGGGAGCCCGUGUCUGAUCUGCUGAAAACAGGCUUUCUGUCAAGUCCGUCUGCUUGCGCUCAGCUGGCUGAUCACGUGUAUCGAGCCUGCGACCUUUGUGCUUUUUCGAACCUUCCUUUGGAUAAGCAAGAAGAAGCUGCUAUGUAUCAUCUUCAAAAAGGAAUGGUUUUUGCUGUUGGGGCCAUGCGGAACUCGCGUGAUGUUACCCCCUCUUCUGCCCUGCUUGACGAGCUGGUGAAGAAGAAUGCCGACUUGACUGGCAAGCUCUCGAGCGAGCGGAUUCGCCAUGAUGCGAUGAUUUCCGAGAUGAAGGAGAGUUUGUCCGUGCUCAAGAGUUCUGUUGGCCAAAAGGAUGGUGAACUCAAGUCUCUUGCUGCUACCCUGCUCGAACGUAAAGAAGCCUACUUCUGCCUCGAACACAAGCAUGCUGCUUUGGCCCAGGAUCGUGACAAACUGCUGGUCAAGUUUGACACCCUUGUGGAAGCCACGGAGGCAUCCAAACUGGAGAUUGCUGCUAACGCGUACAAGCUGGGAUACCUGGAUUGCCAGAAUGGUGUUUCUCCUUGCUGCUCUCUCGAAGAUGAUGAUGGUGAGCAGACUGGUCUUGACCUGCCCCCCGCUCAGAGUGAGCAGGUGGAUGUUGUGGAUGCAGAAGCAGCGGUAAUUGAGGAAGAUAAAUGCCAAGGUGGGUCAACUGAUGAGGCUAAGGCGGAUGCGAAGGAGCAGGCAGCCGAGGCGGUUGAGCCAGUUGUGCCCGUUGGGUAGAAUGAGGCUGUUGCCAGCGCAGUUGAGGAUGUGAUCGGCUGAGGGUCACCUGCUGAAGUUCCUUAGCAGUUGUAGUCCAUUUUUGCUAUUUUUGAACUUUGUUAUUUUUCUUUCAAUAAGUGGUCUUUGGUUGACCAUCUUACUUCUUGUUGAACUUGGCUGAUUGGCCGCUUUGUUAUUGAAUUUUCAAUUGUUUUUCAAACUUCAAUUCUCUUUGUAUCUUGUAAGUGUGCGUCUGGAGACAUAGCACUUGAAAGACAUAGCACUUGAAAAAAGACUCCAUUGAGUUUGUGCUCCGGGGAGCAGCUCGUCUGCAAUGGAGGUAAGGCUUGUCGCCUGUGAGCGUAUGUCGGGGACAUAGCUCUUAAAAAAGACUCCAUUGAGUUCGUGCUCCGGGGAGCAGCUCGUCUGCAAUGGAGGUAAGGCUUGUCGCCUGUGAGCAUAUGUCAGGGACAUAGCUCUUAAAAAAGACUCCAUUGAGUUCGUGCUCCGGGGAGCAGCUUGUCUGUGAUGGAGGUAAGGCUUGUCGCCUGUGAGCGUAUGUCGGGGACAUAGCUCUUAAAAAGGACUCCAUUGAGUUCGUGCUCCGGAGAGCAGCUUGUCUGCAAUGGAGGUAAGGCUUGUCGCCUUUGUGUAUAUGUUUGUGGGACAUAAAGCUCGAAAAAAGUACUUCAUUGAAAAGCUUGCUUUUGUAUUGAUGUUGAUGUGAAUACAUCGCUUUAUUGAAUAAAGGAAAUUAAUAACAUAGGUAACAUCAAAAGCAGUUUGCCUUUAAUAGAAGUAUGAGAGGCUCGUUGUCUGCUAGGAGUCGAGCUGGUAAGCGAAGAGCUUCAUGGAUAGUAUCUCCGAAGGUGGUGGGCAUUCCACUGUCUUGGAAUUUCCUUCCCUUCUAGAGUGUCGAGGGUGUAACUUCCUCUGCCCCCAGACGGCUGAUCAUGUAGGGGCCUUCCCAAUUUGGCUUCAUCUUCUUUGAUCCUUGCCUUGGUGAUGUGAUAAAAGUCUUUCUGAGCACAAGGUGCCUUUUCUCGUUCUUCUUCGAGCAGGUCAAGGUUAAUUCUCAUCUGCCUGCAGUUUUGAUCAAGACUGCCCACUUCAAUGCUCAUGGAAGGGACUGUGAUGUGUGGGGGAAUGAUUGCCUCCGUCCCAUAAGCCAAGGAAAACGGUGUUUCUCCGGUCGAUCUCCUUUUGGUUGUGCGAUAAGCCCAUAGAACUCCUGGCAGCUCGUCGACCCAUUUUCCUUCUGUGCCUUCCAGUCUUUUCUUUAGGCAGUCCAGCACGAUUUUGUUGGAUGCCUCUGCUUGACCAUUGCCUUGCGGGUAUCUGGGAGUUGACAGGUGCUGCUUGAUGCCAUACUUCGCAAAAAAUGCAGUGAUCUGCCUGCCCACGAACUGUGUACCAUUGUCAGUAACUAUCGAUUGCGGGCAACCAAAUCUGCAGAUGAUGUUCUUCCAGAUGAAACGUUCAACGUCAGCUUCCUUGGUAGAAGACAAAGCCUCGGCCUCGAUCCAUUUAGUGAAGUAAUCAGUGGCAACGAUCAUCAUCUCUUUAUUGGCAGGUGCUGUCGGCAUAGGUCCCACCAAGUCAAUGGCCCACUGCAUGAACGGCCAUGGGCUGUUCUGCGGAUGGUAUUCCUCAGCUGGCAAGCCAGGGACUGGCUUGUACCGUUGGCAUCGAUCACAUCUUCGAGCAUACUCCGUGGAAUCUUUACGCAUGGUAGGCCAGAAAUAGCCGAUGCUGAGAGCCUUCUGAGCAAGCGACCUGCCUCCAGCGUGAUUUCCACAUUCGCCGUCGUGUAUUUUGCAGAGAACCUCGAGCGUUUGCGGGUACUUGAUGCAAGUGAGAUGAGGCCCGUAGUAUGAUCUGCGGAUAAGCGUGUCGCCUUUCAUGUAAUAUCUUGCAGCCUUCUGCUUGAUUUUUCUGGCCUCGGACUUGUCUUGGGGCAAGUUUUCAUUCACUAGGUAGUCGAUGAUGGGUUCUUGCCAGCUAGGAUCCUCGUCGAUUUGCAUCAGGUCUGGUUGUUCUGCCUCUUCUAUGCUAGGCUGAUCAAGGUGCUCGACCGGGAUGGAGCGUCUGAAUUGGGUAUCCAGUGCUGAUCCUAAGCUUGCCAGUGCAUCUGCGUGUGCGUUCUCUGCUCGGGGCACCUGCUGGAUGGUGAAGGUGGAAAAUGCCUUCAACAGCUCUUGGACUUUGUCAAGGUACAAGAUCAUCCUUGGGUGCUUCGCCAUGUAUUCUCCUGAGGCUUGACUUGUGAUCAGCUGGGAAUCUGAGUAGAUGGCCAGCUUCUUGAUUGAUAGCUCCUUUGCCAGGCGCAAGCCAGCGAGCAAUGCCUCGUACUCUGCCUCGUUAUUUGAAGCUGGGAAGCCAAGUGUGAUAGCUUUCUCUAACAGGGUUCCAUCUGGAGUGACGAUGACGACACCUGCUCCAGCUCCUUUCUGGUUCGACGCUCCAUCUACGCGUAGCUGCCACAUGUCUCUGGGUUGGUCAGGUUCCGCGGAGGUCUUGUCUGCUCUCGAACUUUCCUUCUUUUUGCUGACCAGCUUCUCUUCUUCGGCUGAUGGUGUGUACUCUGCAACAAAGUCUGCUAAGGCCUGGGCUUUUAUAGCAGUCUUUGGCCGGUAGAGGAGGUCGUAUUGGCUUAGUUCUAUCGCCCACUUCAUAAGCCGCUGAGAAGCAUCAGGGCUGUGGAGGAUUGAUCUUAAAGGAAAGUCAGUCAUAACGAUGACUCGGUGAGCUUGGUAAUAAGGCCGCAGCUUUCGCGCGGAAACGACAAGGGCCAAAAUGAGCUUCUCCAAUUUUGGGUAGCGAGUCUCUGCAUCGAGGAGAGCUUUUGACGUAUAGAAUAUCGGAUGUUGGGCCCCAAGUUCUUCUCGGAUGAGAGCUGAGCUGAUGGCUGAGUCGGACACUGCCAGGUACACGAACAAGUCUUCACCAGGAACGGGCUUCGAGAGCAGGGGAGGUGAAGUAAGGUAGGUCUUUAGACUCUGGAAAGCUACUUCGCACUCCUCGUCCCACUUGUCUUUUUGCCCCUUCUUCAAAGCUUUGAAGAAUGGUCUGCACUUGUCGGUAGACUUUGAGAGGAAUCGGUUGAGAGCUGCUGCUCUGCCCGUCAGACUUUGUAUUUCUUUCACCGUGGAAGGUGACUUCAUCUCGAGGAUGCCUUUAAUUUGGCAUGGGUGUGCCUCGAUACCUCGUUGUGUGAUACACCGAACGUGCAUUUACUUGGAUUCAGCUUCAUGCGGUAUUGGCGGAGCAGGCUGAAUGCCUCGGUGAGGUUUUUGAGGUGGUCUCCACGCUUGGGGGCUUUGACCAGCAUAUCAUCCACGUAGACUUCCAUGGUUCUGCCGAUCUGCUCCUUGAAAAUCUUAUUCACGAGCCUUUGGUAUGUUGCUCCAGCGUUCUUCAACCCGAAGGGCAUGACCUUGUAGCAGUAGGUUCCUCUCUCAAUGAUGAAAGAGGUCUUCGCCUUGUCAUCGUCGUACAUCAUAAUUUGAUUAUAGCCUGAGUAGGCAUCCAUGAAGCUGAGCAGCUGGUUGCCGGAAGUUGAAUCCACGAGCUGGUCGAUCCUCGGCAAUGGGAAGUUGUCUUUAGGGCAUGCUUUGUUGAGGUCGGUAUAAUCGACGCACACUCUCCAUUUUCCCUUUUCUUGUUUUGCCACCAAAACGACGUUGGCCAGCCAUUCUGAGUAUGAGACUUCUUCAAUAAAUCCGGCUGCUAGAAGCUUGUCGAUCUCGGCUUCAAUGAUCGCGACUCGCUCGGGAGCGAAGUUACGUCUCUUCUGCACCACGGGCUUGCUGGCAGGGUUGACAUGGAGGCGGUGGCAGAUGAUGUUUGGGUCGAUGUCGGGCAUGUCAGAUGGUGACCACGCGAACAUGUCUUUGUUGUUUUGGAGGAAGGUGGUAAGCUCCACCUUCUCGUCUGGGCUUAGGCGCGAGCCGAUCCGCGCUUUCUUAUCUGGCUGGUUAGGAUCGAGGGGUACUAACUCGACGUCUUCCUCAGGCUUCCAACCCUCUUCAAGGGAGCCUUCCGGGCGGAUUCCCUCCUCUCGAUCCUUCUUGUUUGGAUUCUAGCACGAGCCGAUCUGUGCUUCUUUGUCUGGCUGGCCAAGAUCAGGGGGUACUAACUCAACGUCAUCCUCAGACUUCCAACCCUUUUCAGGGGAGUCUUCCGGGCGGAUUCCCUCGCCUUGAUCCUGGCUCAUUAAUUGCUAUUGUGAGGUAACAGCUCCCUUCUCGUUCGAGCUUGCUUGUCUGCUGGGAGCACUUCGUGCCUCGUUGGCAGCUUGCAUUACUGGUGUGAACUGCAUCUGCUUGCUCUUCUUGAGUCCGUGAGCUGUGCAUCUUCUUGCCAUGGCUUGGUCACUAUUGAUCUGCCCGAUUCCGCCUCCAGGGAUGGGGUAGCGAAUCUUCUGGUGUAGAGCAGAUGUGAUAGCCUCGAUCUUGCUGAUCCACGGUCGGCCCAGAAUUCCGUUGUACGGGGAGAUCUCGUCGAUGACCAUGAAGGUUUGUGUGCAGACUACUGGGGGCGAGUGGACGUCAAGGUCGAUCUGUCCAACAGUGAUUGAUGUGGCCCCAUUGAAGCCAGUGAGCGACCUUGCAAGUUUGCUAAUCUUGGGCUCCAAUCCCAUCUGUUGGAUGACAGAUAGUUGCAGGAUGUUGGCUGCGCUGCCCUCAUCCACAUGAACUCGCUCGAUCACAGCUUGUUCAAUCCGAAUGCACAUGACUAGGGCGUCAUUAUGCGGCAGGUCAAGCCCGAUCAAGUCUUUCUUCUGGAAACCAAUGAUGGGUGUAUCCACGAUAACUGGUACUCCUGUUGUGACUUGGGAGACAUAAGUCGCCUGCGCGAUCUUCCUCUUGCGCUCCUUGGUGGUCAACCCGGACUCCUGAGAGUCAGCUAGAAUGGUGUUGAUUCGAAUGACCUUUUGGGGAGGUUCCUUGGCAGCCGCAUCACGAUCCUCGAUCUGUUGGAUGGCCUUCUUUGCGACGAAUUCUGUGCAAUGACCUUCUCUGACCAGCUCCUCCAGAUGCCUUUUCCAAGCAUUGCAAUUGUUGGUGUAAUGACCGUGCUCCCCGUGGAAUGCGCAGUAUUUACUGGUGUCCCUCUUAGAGGGGUCUCCUUUCAUGGGUGGCGGUCUCCUCACCCACGGCUUGUCCUUCACUUGAGCCAGGAUCUGAUGAAUUGGGAUAGCGAACUCAGUAAAGGUCCCAAUUUCUGAGCUUCCCUCUCGGGGCCGCGAUCUGCGCUUAUCUCGGGCUUUUUGCUCGAACUGAUUGCUCUUUUGGCUUGCCUGCUUCGUCGGGUGUUCAACUUGCUUGCUAGCUUUCUUUGCGGCGAUUCGAUCAUCGUCCCAAAGUGCGUAGCGUUCUGCCGUCGCGAACACUUCUGCCAAGGUUUGACUUGGUGUUAUGGCCAGUUCCCGGUAUAGCUCGUGCUCGGUUGGCAAGCCCUUCUUGAAGGCUGAGGAUGCAACUUGGUCAUUGCAUCCUAUGAUGUUAGCCUUUUCAGCCUUAAACCGUCUCAGGUAGUCUCGUAGAGACUCGUCUGGCUUCUUGCGCAGGUUGAACAGAUGGUCCGCAUGCUUUCUGACCGUCUUGUAGGAGGUGUACUCCUUUGUGAAGAUGAAGGCCAACUCCUUGAAGUUUCCUAUCGACGCGGACGGUAGAGUGUGGAACCAGUCUUGAGCUGCUCCUCGCAGGGUCAUCGCGAACACUUUGCACAUCAGGGCAUCAUCUGCCUUGUACAGGAUCAUGGCGCUCUUGAAGUGCCUCAAAUGGCUCUCAGGGUCAAAGUCCCCCUUGAAUGGAGUGAUGGAUGGCGUUGUGAACCGCUUCGGUGGAGGAGCUCGUUCCACUUUGUCGGUAAAGGGCGAGCAGUCAACUCGAUCAAUUUCCUUAUGCAGGGCCUCCUCCGCGCUUCCUUUAAGUUGGAGAACUUGGAGUCGGUCAUUUACUAGCUUCUCGACGUCCUCUGCUCGCAGGACUGGAGUCUCAGGCCGGCGUCUUCGGUGCCUCGAGCGCGACCGGCUAACCUCUUCCUCGGUUCCCAAAGGUCGAUCCCCUUGGGUGUUCUGCCCGUGGGGCAGAUUAGAAGAUUGAGCUUGUGAGGAUUCCUCUACAUCUUGUCGCCACGUGUUGGUCCUCGAGCAGGUUGGUGGGCGUCGAUCAUCACCUUCUACCCGCAAGGAGGGUCGCUCAGGUCGACGUCUUUGGUGUCUCGAGCGUGACUGGCUAACUCCUUCCUCGAUUCCCAAGGGUCGAUCCCCUUGGGUGCCCUGCCCGUGGGGCAGAUUAGGAGAUUGGGCUUGGAAUGAUCCCUCUACAGCUUGCCGUCGCGUGUUGGCCCUCGAGCGGGUUGGUGGGCGUCGGUCGUUGCGUUCGUCACGCGACUGCUCACGAACUCGAGCUCCUUGUGGGCCCAAGCGGGCGUGGACAUUGGAUUGUGGGCCUAAGCGGGCGUGGACAUUAUUCUGUGGGCCUAGCCUCUCGAGCACAUUGGUCCUUGGUUCUAGCCCGAACGGCUCAGAGUACGGCUCGCGGCUGUCUGCGUCUCAUCUACUCGAUCUCGAUCUCGAUCUCUCCUCUGCCGGUUUGCCCUUGUCUGACCAGCUUGGGACCUCUCGAACUGCUCGCCGACAUGCUGGUGUGCCCUCAUCUCCUCGUCACGGGGUCCAAGGUUAAGGCCUUGAUUCAAGUUGAUCUGCCUGAGCAGCUGGCCAAUCAGGUUGUUCUGAUCAUCGACCUUCUGUGUGAGUUAAUCGACCCGUGAGUUAAGGUCCACCUGACUGCGCGGGUCAAGUAGAGUGAUGUGCAUCGGGCCCACGGCAAAUGGGCUAGGGCUCCAUUAGACGCGUACACAGGUGCAUAUGUCGAGUGUGAUAGCAGAGGAGGGAGAGAAUGGAUCUGCUCCAGGACUGGGAAGACGUCGGAGUAGCCAUGGGGCUGAGCAGCAAAUCCGGUAGUUGAGUGGUGUGGCUGCUGCUGUGCUACGACGGCAGGACAGCGGGGCAGAGCAGCUCCUGUAAUCGGCGCUGGCAACUGCAAGGCUGUGGAGGUCCCGAGGUCAUGGUCCGGCUGUUCUGCAAUUCCAGCAGCUGAAUGCGGCUGCAAAGCACUGGAGGACGACUGCAAGGCGUUGGCAGCCACGAUUCCGUGCGGUUGCAUUGAGGUUUCCACCACGAAACCAUGAGAUGGGCCCAUCGUGGUGGCGUUACUCUUCGUACGUCUUGUAUCAACCAUAGUUGUUUGAAAAAAUGUGUGAAAGAUGGAUUUAGAGCACGCUUUGAAUAUACCUCGUGCUCUCAAUGAAAGCACCAAUUUGUUUGUGCAAAUAAUCUCACGGGAGAAUAUUCGCCCAAGAUUCCUUCGUCUUCUCCGCCUCUCUUUCUCCCUGCAAAACAGAUCGGAGUAAAAGGACCACACCCGGGGGGUGUUGGCCAAAGGCCCUCCGAUGCCUAAGUUAGGUAAGGGAAUUCAAGGAAAACCGGGUGGCCGGAGCCUUGUGUGAGAGAGAGAAAGAGAGGAGGUGCCUAGGGUUUUUGAGAAAUAAUUUAUGCAGAGUUUCAGUAGGAAUUUAGACGUACCUCAUCCUUGUGUGUAACCAGGUAUUUAUAGUGGCCUUUGGAGAGGUAGGUGGGGUUGGUGUAGUUGGUGUGGUUGGUGGGGUUGGUGCAUUUAGGGAUUAUGGAUGAACCGAAUCCCUAAUUAAAUUGGGGAUCAAGUAACCCCCAAUUUGAUUAGGUAAUUCCCAAUUAGGUUAGGUAACUCCUAAUUAGGUCAAAUAAUUCCCAAAUUGAUUGGCCUAAUUAAUUGACCUAGGGUUUUGGUUUAAUUAGGUUCCCACAAGUGUGAAAUUGUGACCACGAGAUUCGGUAUAAGCUGUAACCCAAAAAGGUACGUAAGUACGUACAGAAAACCAAACCAAAUACACACGUUCAAACAGGAGUAAGGGGAUACAAAAUAAAUAAAUUAACAGGAAAGACAGAGUUUAACCUGGUCAGUGGACUCUACUUUAAUGGUUAUGGCAGUGGAGAAGAUAUCACCCGCUUUCUUGCCAGGAGAAACUGCAUCAACAGAGACUCCAAAUGCCUGCAGUGCUUGAAAUGGGACCACUGCCUCGUAAUCUUCCAUGCAGUCCCCGCACAGUAACACACCCUCCUCUGCUCCUCGCCUUUCGGAUUUCCCAUUUCUUUUUUUAUUUUCCUUCUUUAGUUUCUUUCUUGCUUUUUCUUUCUUCUAUCUUCUUUCUUCUUUAUCACAGAGGGAGGUGGUCUGAUAAAGGAAGGAAGGCCUGCUUUAAAUAUAAUACUCACACAAGCGUUUUUGGAGGUUUGUGGAGUCAGCUAGACACGUCGCAGUUAGUAAUCGUGGCAUCUCUCUCUAUUCCUCUUUUCUUUUCAGUUCGGAUAACUAUUGUAUUAGUUUCGAGCCAUAACCAUAUCCAAGUUUGAUAUUAUUUGUUGUCUUCUUCACCGACCAAGUGAGUCUAAAUAAUUCAAGGAAGAUUCAAACUUGUAAUGUUUAUCUCUAACAGGUAUGGAUAAUAAAUGUAAUGUUUAUCUCUGACAGGUAUGGAUAGUGUUGAAUAGCCUUCGCGUUGAUUUUACCUCGACUGCCAUGUUGAUUUUCACCAGCGCAGCAAAGCUGCUUGCUUUGUGUUAUGAGGUCUGGUUUUGUCAACAAACUAUAUUAAUUGACCCAAAAGAAAAUGCAAUAUAAUGUGGAUCCUCAUUUCGCAGUGACAGGAUAUGGUUGUGAAAUACAGGCUAACUUUGGACAACCUGAUAUUCAAAAGAAAAUUCAAUAUCUUGUCGAUCCUCAUUUUGCAGUUACAGGAUGGUUGUGAAAGUAUAAGCUAACUCUGGACAACACGAUAUUCAUUCAGGUAAAACUUCGAGGUGUACAGUGAGGGAGAUAGAAACCCUUGAGCUGAAAUCCUUGGCGCCGACGACUAAUAAAUCAUAGUGUCCUUCUUGUUGAUGUGUAACCCUUGAGUUGAAAUCCUUGGCGCCAAAGUUGUUUUUUAUUUGCAUUUUAUUUCUUUUUUAUAUGUUUAAACUCUGUUUGUAAUAUGAGCCAUUGGAUCAUAGUCCAAGUGGUCUCUUAUCUAGCCUAGGAUAUAAUCUGUCAGAUUGUGACAAGUGUAAUCAUCUCAUAGGCUGAUAGGAUCAAUUGUUAGGAUUAAAUCCCUGUGUAAAUUAGGUAGAGAAGAAUCUCUCUUCUCUCUCCUCUAACGGAUAUAUUGGUAUAGUGGAAAUGGAAGCAUAACAGCUCCUUUAGCAAUAUUGCAGCUCAAUAAUCUCUCCUAUCUUUCCAAAAUCUAAAAUCUCCAGAAAACUAGAACACUAAAACUAUGAACUCUAAUAUGGUAUCAGAGCUAGGUUGGAUUGCUUAAACUGGGCGUGAAUCUGUGAACAGAGAAUCGGACUCGAUUCGAGCUAUUUUUUGUUGUUGAGCUUAUUUGAAGAUCGAAGCUGUGAUUUCUUGAAUCCAAUGUCUAAUAUGGCAGGAUCGGGAACAGCUGAGCUUCACACACCAGUUUUCAAUGGAGAAAACUAUUAGUGUUUUGGAGCAUUAGGAUGAAAACCAUUCUGAAAUCUCGUGGAUUGUGGGAUCUGGUCUAGAAUGGGAUAGAUAAUUCAGAUCUGAAGAAGGAGAACGAGGAGGCUACGGUUACUGAGAAGUCCACUAUGGCUCAGAUUUUGAUGAAGGAUGCUCGCGCACUUGGAUUGAUUCAAAGUGCUGUCUCAGAUAAGCUAUCCCCAGAAUUGUGAACGAAGAGACCUCAAAGGGUGCCUGGGAUAUUCUGAAGCUGGAGUUCAGAGGCGAUAAACAAGUAAGAAAUGUCAACUUGCAAGGGUUGCGUAGAGAAUUUGAAUAUACUCAUAUGAAGGAUAGUGAAUCUCUAUCUGUAUAUCUUGUUAGAUUGUUUGAUAUGAAUAAUCAAAUGAAGAGUUAUGGUGAGGAAUUACCUAGAGAGAGAGUUGUGCAGAAAUUGUUGUUUAGUCUGCCGAAAUCAUAUGACUCUAUUUGCUCUGUGAUUGAACACUCUAAGGAUCUUGAAACUCUGGAAGUUCAAGAGGUGGUUGCCCCUUUGAAGAGCUUUGAGCUCAUAUUUGAUCGCCAUACUGAGAAUUCUAUAGAAAGGGCAUUUACUAGUCUGAAUAUUGAGGAAAAGAAUUCUAAGAGUGGAAAUUUUCCUGGAGAUCAAAAAUCUCAGAAAAACUGGAAGUCUAAUGAUGAAAACAAAACAGCUUGUAAACACUGUAAUAAGCUGCAUUAUGGCAAGUGUUGGUUUGAAGGGAAACCUAAAUGCCAUGGGUGUGGGAAAUUUGGGCAUAUGAUCAGAGAUUGCAGUGGGAAUAAAAAUGUACAUAAGGUGAAUUAUGCAAAUCAAGUUGAGGAAACUGGUACUUUGUACUAUGUGUGCAAUGCUGCAACAGAUGUGAAAGUGAAUUAUUCAUGGUACAUUGACAGUGGUUGUAGUAACCACAUGACAGGAGAUGAGGGACUUUUAGUCAAUAUUCAAAGGAACUUGACCUCUAAGGUGAAGAUGGGAACUGGAGAAGUAGUUCCAGUUGCAGGAAAAAGGACUCUUGUGAUAAAAACCAAGUUGGGUAAGAAGCACAUUCAAGAAGUAAUGCUUGUACCUGGUCUUGAAGAAAAUAUGCUUAGUGUUGGGAAAAUGAUUGAGGAUGGAUACUAUCUUGUGUUUGGAGGGAAUAUGGUGAAUAUUUAUGAUGAUUAGUCACGGAGAAAUCUAAUUGUGAAGGUUCAAAUGACCGAUAACUGAUGUUUUCCACUUACAAUGAUGCCUGCAAGUGAUUUGGCCUUAAAGGCAAGUGUUACACACUGCUUGCAGACAAGGCAUAAAAGAUUGGGGCACUUAAAAGAAAGAAGCAUAAAAUUGCUUGAGAAUCAAUGCAUCGUUCAUGGCUUACCUCAUUUGGAGCAGAUUUUAGUAGUAUGUGAAGGCUGCAUGCUAGGAAAGCAACACAGAGAUUCUUUCCUUUUGGAGUCCACUUGGAGAGCUACAAGUCCUUUGGAAUUGGUUCACACAGAUACCUGUGGACCAAUGAAGACUGAAUCCAUUUCUGAAAAUAGGUAUUUCUUGCUAUUUACAGAUGAUUGCACUAGAAUGUCAUGGGUGUAUUUCAUCAUAAACAAGUCAAGUGCAUUUGACUGUUUUAGAAAGUUCAAGGCUAUGACUGAGCUACAAAGUGGAUAUAAGAUAAAAGGCUUGAAGAGUGACAAGGGUGAAGAGUUUUUAUCCAGUGAAUUUUACAGGUUUUGUGAUGAAUUUGGAAUUCAAAGGCAGCUUAUUAUAGCAUACUCUCCUCAGCAAAAUGGAGUAGUUGAAAGAAAGAACAUGACAGUAGUGGACAUGGCAAAAUCUAUGCUGCAUGAGAAGGGUAUUUCUUAUGAAUUUUGGGUGGAAGCUGUAAAUACUACAGUCUAUCUACUGAAUAGAUGUCCCACCAAGUCUCUCAAGAAGGUAACACCAUUUGAAGCUUAUACUGGCAGAAAACCAGGAAUUGCACACUUAAAGAUUUUUGGAUCUCCUUGUCAUGUGCUCAUCCCUUCAGCAUUAAGGCAUAAACUUGAAGAAAAUAGCCACAAGUGUAUUUGUGUGGGUUAUGGACUCUGUGAAAAGGGGUACAUGCUAUUUGAUCCAAGCAUUAGAAAGGUUAUUCUGUCCAGAGAUGUGCAGUUUGAUGAGAAUGGCUCAUGGAAGAGGGAGAAUGCAAGUGCAUGAGAAAUGACAGUCCCUGUGCCUACUGAGAAUCAAAACUGUAAUCCAAGUCAAAGCUUGGGUACACCAAUGCAAAUGGAUGAAGGAAUCACACUACAGAAUGAACCAAGUCAAAGCUUGGAUACACCAACAUAAAUGGAUGAAGGUAUUACUCUGCAAGAUGAAGGAAUAAGUGAAAGUUCUCAAGCUAUUGAUCACACACCAAAGAAAUGGAGAAGUGUUAACGAAAUCAUGGCUCAAUGCAAUAUCUGCAUUGUGGAACCUGAAAGUUUUGAAGAAGCUAAUCUUGAUAAGUCAUGGAGAAAUGCAAUGAAGGCUGAGCUGGAAAUGAUUGAGAAAAAUAAUACAUGGAAACUAGAGACAAACCAUUUGGCAAGCCAAUUAUUGGUGUCAAGUGGGUCUUCAAAACUAAGCUAAAUCUGGAUGGAUCUGUGCAGAAAAACAAGGCCAGACUUAUGGCAAAAGGCUACUCUCAGAAGCCUGGAAUAGACUAUAAUGAGACGUUUGCUCUAGUAACAAGAUUGGAUAUUAUUAGAACGUUGAUAGCACUUGCUGCACAGAAGGAAUGGAAUCUAUAUCAACUGGAUGUAAAAUCUGCCUUUCUGAAUGAAGUGUUAAAGGAAGAGGUUUAUGUGGAGCAGCCACAGGGUUUUGUGAAGGAAAAUGAAGAAAUCAGAGUGUAUAAGUUGAACAAGGCCUUCUAUGGACUAAAGCAAGUCCCAAGAGCCUGGUAUGAUGAGAUAGACUCUUACUUCAACAAGGCAGGAUUCAAGAAAAGUCCUAGUGAAGCAACACUCUAUGUCAAAACUAGUGAAGAUUCAGGUAUUCUUAUUGUUUCACUCUAUGUGGAUGAUAUUGUCUAUACUAGAAGUUGCCCAAAGUUACUUGAAGAGUUCAAAAAUGAUAUGAUGCAACAUUAUGAAAUGACUGAUCUUGGACUACUCUACCAUUUUCUUAGCAUGGGAGUAGUACAAACAGAUAAACAUAUCUUUCUUCAUCAGAAGAAAUAUGCAUUGAAGGUGAUUGAAAAGUUUGGAUUGAAGGACUGCAAGUCUGUGGUAACUCCAUUAGUUGCAAAUGAAAGCCUGUGCAAGGAAGAUGGCAGUGAGGCAGCAAAUGAGAGUGAAUAUAGACAGAUUGUAGGUAGCCUGCUUUAUUUGACAGCUACAAGACUAGACAUAAUGUUUGCCUCUAGCUUGCUUGCUAGAUUCAUGCAUAAUCCAACUAGAAAACACAUGGGAACAGCCAAGAGGGUAUUAAGAUACAUUUAGGGCACACUUGAUUUUGGAAUUGAAUUUAUAAAAGGGAAGACAACUACCUUGAUAGGGUAUUGUGACAGUGACUGGGCAAGAAGUGAAGAUGAUAGAAGAAUUACUUCAGGAUAUGCAUUCACACUAGGAUAUGGUAUGUUCUCAUGGGCAUCAAUUAAACAAAACACAGUAGCUUUCUCCACUGCAGAGGCAGAAUAUGUUAGUGCUGCUGAAGAAACAUCACAAGCUAAAUGGCUAAGGUUCGUACUUGAAGAUUUUGAAGAGGAGCAAGUGGAAGGUACACCAAUUCUGUGUCAUAACACCUCUACCAUAGCAAUGGCAAAGAAUCCAGUUUUCCACCAGAAAACCAGACAUAUUAGCCUAAAGUUUCAUUUCAUUCGAGAAGCUAUUCAAGCAAAGGAGAUUGAACUAAUCUACUGGAAAACAGAAGAUCAUAUUGCAGACAUCCUAACCAAGGCUUUGUCCAAGGAUCGUUUUGUGUAUCUCAGAGAUCUACUUGGUGUGAAAUCAGUCAAAGGGUUAUAGAAGGGAGUGUUGAUGUGUAACCCUUGAGCUGAAAUCCUUGGCGCCAAAGUUGUUUUUUGUUUGCAUUUGAUUUCUUUUUUAUAUGUUUAAACUUUGUUUGUAAUAUGAGCCAUUGGAUCAUAGGCCAAGUGGUCUCUUAUCUAGCCUAGGAUAUAAUCUGUCAAAUUGUGACAAGUGUAAUCAUCUCAUAGGAUGAUAGGAUCAAUGGUUAGGAUUAAAUCCCUGUGUAAAUCAGUUAGAGAAGAAUCUCUCUUCUCUCUCCUCUAACGGAUAUAUUGGUAUAGUGGAAAUGGAAGCAUAACAGCUCCUUUAGCAAUAUUGCAGCUCAAUAAUCUCUCCUUUCUUUCCAAAAUCUAAAAUCUCCAGAAAACUAGAACACUAAAACUAUGAACUGUAAUACUUCUAAAGCAUUAGUAUAAUACAAGCUUCGUCCACAACCAAACUUGCAUGGAACAUGGCAUAUACAUAUCAAAACCAGAAUGUCACUUGUUCCCUCAUAUAUAGAAACGUCACCUUAACAUAACACUUACAUAUAGUACAUGCAAGCAGCUGACCCAGUAAACAGCAAAUGAUACUCGAAUAUCAAGCAAUAUCAUCAACUGAGAAAUGAACUCUGGGUGGCCCGGCCACGCUCUCCAGUCCAAAUUUCCAUCUGUGAAACAAUGAUCUAUUGGACCAGGUUCCAGCCGUGUUGCUCCUGACAAAACCGCAUUAAGCUUCACCACUGAAUACGCAGUAUAUUUCUUUCCCUAAAAUUUAGCUAGUUAACAACAAUUAGGACAUGAUUUAAAAAAGUCCAUAAUGUGAAAAUAAGUAAAUCAACCCUCAAUCAGAAGAAUCAGCAAAAGGCAAACAGAUUACAAUUUCAAAGUGGUUUCUUUUUUACCUCGUCAUUAAAUACUCACUCAGUAAAUCAACCCUGUUACAAAAUUGAUGAUACUCCCAACUCUUCCUAACACCUUCCGAAAAACUGAAACUGCCUAGCUCAGCCAAGCCUUUUGGUUUUCCUUAGUAGGUAAUUUCUUGUUUUACCCCAUUCUUAAACCAUUCCAUCUAGCAUAGAUUUUUACUGCUUCAUAUAUUCCUUCAGAGAAUUCUGCAUUACAGUACACACCUUCCGACUUUUAUAUUACCGCACAAAUGUUCAUGCACCAACUGGCAAGCUUGCUCAUCAACACCCACAACAAAACAUACAUUUAAAUUUACGAUCAACUACAUAGAUAGUGAGUUAUAGAACAAAUGAAUCCACAGGUUAUCUGUAUUGUCUUUUUGGUUAAACAUGUUUAACUUCCCACACAAAAUUAAUUUUACUCUAGCAUUUUAGUUUAUGUUAAAAAGCGUAAGAAGUUAAAAUGUUAUGGAAUCUACAUUAUAUAUGUAUAUCUACCACAGAAAUGCUAUAAUGUGGGGUUGUGUGUGAGGGGUUCAAUACCACUAUCCAAUAAUAUAAAGGAUAUUUUGAACUUAAACUUUUUAAUGAUUGGAUGGUUGGAUGGUUGGAGACCAAGUAUAAAUAUCCUAGUUCUUUGUGAAUGUACAAAUCAUCCAAUUUCAAACAAAUUAACUUUAUAUUAUUGUUUCAACUCAUUUAGUUUCAAAGAUUGAAAUUCUGGCAGAUGGAUGCAAUUGGUUUCCUGGCUUCCACAAUUUGCUUCACUAAUGCAAUGACUUUCUCAUCCAAUACCAAAUGUUCUGGGGCUCCAGUUGUACGGCAUACAACAGUGAGGUUAAUUCUCAGUCUCGCAGCUAUGCACAAGUGGUCUUUGAGGCAAUUGAAUGUUAAGAACGCAUUCUUACAUGGGGAGCUUGAAGAAGAAGUUUUUAUGAGGCAACCUCAAGGUUUUGAAGACCCCAAGCAUCCUGAGUUUGUGUGUAAGCUGAAUAAGUCUCUGUAUGGACUUAAGCAAGCUCCACGGGCAUGGAAUGCUAAAUUUACAGGAUAUUUACCAGCUAUAGGGUUCAAAUAAUCUCGUUCUGAUCCCAACUUAUUUGUCAAGCAUGACGGCACUGAUAUUAUAAUUUUAUUAUUAUAUGUUGAUGGUAUCAUCUUGACAGGCUCCAAUGCAAAUUUAGUGCAGACAGUGAUUGAUGAUUUAGGAGCAGUGUUUGAGAUGAAGGACAUGGGUCGCCUUACCUAUUUCCUUGGUCUUCAAGUGUCUUACAAUUCUACAGGUGAUAUUUUUGUCCAUCAGCACAAGUAUGCUAAAGAUCUACUGCAAAAGGGCUGGUCUGAGUAAUUGUAAGGCUUCUCCUACUCCUUGCAAGCCACAUAAUCAAGUCUUAAUGUCUGAAGGAGAACCACUGCAUGAUCCUACAUUUUAUAGAAGUAUUGUUGGUGCCUUACAAUACUUAACUUUCAUAAGACCUGACUUAUCCUAUGCUGUCAAUACUGUGUGUCAGUGUAUGACUGCUCCCACUGAGAUACAUUUCAACCUGGUCAAAAGAAUUUUGAGAUACAUUCAAGGUACCAUGAAUUAUGGAAUUCACUUUAUUCAUGGUCCUUGGAAAUUACAAGCUUAUAGUGAUGUUAACUGGGCGGGGGAUUUAAAUGCUAGGAGGUCAACUACAGGUUUUGUGGUAUUGCUUGGACAUAAUCCUAUCUCAUGGCAGUCUAAGAAGCAAGGGUCUGCAUCCAGAAAUUCUACAGAGGCCGAGUAUAGGGCUUUGGCUAGUACAGCUGCAGAUUUGGGUUGGAUUCGAAAGGUUUUGCUAGACUUGAAAGUGUGCUUGCCUCUACCUCCUACCAUCUUUUGUGAUAAUCUAUCUGCUUUGGCACUUAGUAGUAAUCCUGUGUUUCAUUCACGAAUUAAACACUUGGAUACAGAUUUUCACUUUGUUCGUGAAAGGGUUCAAAGGAAUGAUCUGAUUGUUUAGUAUGUUCCCACUCAAGAGCAAAUCGCAGAUGUAUUUACUAAAGGACUGCAUAGUCCUAUUUUCUUGAGUCACUGUACUAGUAUGCGACUUGGAAAUCCAUAGCAGGAUCCAGAGUUGGGUUUGAGGGGGAAUGAUAACAAUAUUAGUUAGUUUGUUAAGCUGUCACGUGUGCUCACGUGUUGUUAGUUAGUAGUAACUAUAAUUAGUUAAGAGUGUUAAGUCUUGGUUAUUGAGAUAUAACACUAAUGAAACUGCCGUUGUAAUUCAUUAUAUACAGAGCAUAUCAUUUCUUCUUCCUUCUUAGUCUUCUCAAUUCUUAAGCUUCCUUUUCUAAACUGUUAUCAGAUGGAACCCUAUCACACCAGAAUUGUGGCAAAUCUGGUAUAGCCGAUUCAGGUUAUUUUCACUAUAUAUCUUUCAGAAGUAUCUGUAACGGGGCAAAUCUCCAUCAAUCCUCUUCUUUUCAGUUUAUCUUUAUGCCCAUUCAUGCAUGUAUAUAUUAUACGAAGAAGUUUUUGACAUAUGGCAUGUAUUGUGUGUCAAAUGUAUACCGAUUCAUGAAGACAGGUUCAAGAUCACAUACACCAUAUUCACCUUCAUUUCUUUUUGUUUAUUCUGGGUUUCUCCAAUUUGAAUCACAUUAAAAAACAAAUACUGAACAGUGAUAUAUUCAAUAUUGAUCGGCAUCACAAUUUCAUAUUUCUCAUUGCACUACGAAGGAAAAUAAAACUUACCCCACAGAGAAACAGGAUCCUCCUAUCUGAACCAGUUAUGUUACCACCUAGUGCCUUCACAAAAAGCCUAAUGAACUCAGGAUUCAUAUGUAGCCCCAGUAAUUAUAUUACCAUCAACAACAGACGCCAACAUGGUCUCGGGUUCCACCCAAUAAGCACCUGCAGGCUGCAGCAACAAGUACAGGUCUGACAGGUGGGAAGGCCGUUAUAGUAUAGCCGCGCGGCUAUACUCCAUAAGCAGAAUAUUUUAAAAGUACAGCCGCACCGCUAUACUCCAAAAAUUAUAAUAUCGUAAAAGUACAGCCGAUCGGCUAUACGCGAUAAAUAAAAUAUUUCAAAUGGCUAUACUAAAGGAACUUAAACGUNNNNNNNNNNNNNNNNNNNNNNNNNNNNNNNNNNNNNNNNNNNNNNNNNNNNNNNNNNNNNNNNNNNNNNNNNNNNNNNNNNNNNNNNNNNNNNNNNNNNNNNNNNNNNNNNNNNNNNNNNNNNNNNNNNNNNNNNNNNNNNNNNNNNNNNNNNNNNNNNNNNNNNNNNNNNNUAUUUUCACUUAGAGACGAAGGCACUAAUGCAAUUUUGUUUAUUGAAUAUGGUGUACGCAGUGACGUUGGAGCCAAGAAUUUGUUCACGCUGUCUUUUCCCCAGAACUCAAAGCUCAAUACAGGUCGGUUCUCUAGCUCAUAAUGAAUGAGCAAAACUCCUAACAUGUGUUCUUGUUUGAGCUUACUUUAGUCUCGCUGUCCACACAACCUAGAAACUAUGACCUACGGAUUGCUAUUUGUCAAUCUAAUAGAGUGGCUCUAAUCAACAGUAAAACUUAAUUCAUUUUGUCUAUAAUUAAGGCUACCAACCACUGGCUGAUGCAAAAACCUAAACUUGUAAACUUGACAAACUUAUUUCCAGUCCCAACAUACUCCAAAUUUUAGAGGAGGCAACAUAAUCCCAUAUGUGAGAAUUGUAAGCACUUCAAUCUUUGAGACAAAUUUCUUGUUUUGGGUUUACAAAUUCAAGUGAAGUAAGCAUUCAAUCUUCAAUCCAAUUGAGUGUGCUUGAUUACAGAGCAUGGAAAAGACCAAUUGACAGUGCUCAAGUGAUGUAAUGAGGCUAAAGAAUAAAUUUUUAUCAUAUAAUCAUUAAAUAUGUUCACUAAAAGAUGUGUCAUCGUUAUAUGUAAAAAUUUUAGAAAUAUAUAAACUAGCUAGGAUUUACGUGAAUUCGAAUUUGAAUACAUGAAAUAUUAUUACCUACUACAUCAUUUGAUGAACAGAUUUGAUGUUCCUAACAAUUCUAUGCGUACUAGUAAAGUACUUUGUCUUUAAUUUGGAAGUACCCGAAAGCAUAAUGUUUUUCAUAUAUUAUCUGGCAGGAGGCAAUUCAAGAAAAAAAGCCAUCAUUAUUGGAGUCGUAGUUGGAGGUGUAGGUCUUUUAUUCUCAUUGUUGGAGUUUUUCUCUAUUUUAAACUUUCAAGAAAGCCCGAGGCUGCAACAACCACAGAAUUCGAAGUUGCACUUCCUCUUGCAUAUAUACUAUUACAGUCAUGAUUUCUUGGACUACAAGUACAAGGGUUCAAGAGAUUUGUGAUCACUCACCGUUUGAUGUAAAUUCAACGGUUCACUCACUGUUGCACUUCUUUUAAGAAAUUUUUUUGAACCAUUGGAUUAAUAUCUAACGGUGGGUGACCACAAUCUCUUGGACUCCUGUAGUCCAAGAGAUCGGAUUGUAUACUAUAAGUCCUGAUCUCUUAGACUACAAGAGUACAAGAGAUUUGUGGUCACUCACCGUUGGAUAUAAAUUCAACGGUUCACUCAUUAUUGCACUCCUUUUAAGAAACUUUUUUGAACCAUUGGAUUAAUAUCCAACGAUAGGUGACCACAAUCUCUUGGACUCCUGUAGUCCAAGAGAUUUGUGGUCACUCACCGUUGGAUGUAAAUUCAACGGUUCACUCACUCUUGCACUCAUUUUAAGAAACAUUUUUGAACCAUUGGAUUAAUAUCCAACAGUGGGUGACCACAAUCUCUUGGACUCCUGCAGUCCAAGAGAUCGGGACUGUAUACUAUCAAUCCUGAUCUCUUGGACUACAAGGGUCCAAGAGAUUUGUGGUCACUCACCGUUGGAUGUAAUUCAAUUAGCUCAUGCUCUAACCAUGUAUAUAUAUAAACAUAACAAAUUUAAAAAAAUUUGGUAUUAGACAUAAUUAUCUUUACUAAUUAGUAUUCGAGAUAAACAAUAUUUAUGUUUUAGUUUUAAUACAUAGGAAUUGAAUUUUGUUUUGGAUUUGGACAAAGAGGAGGCCCAGAUUCAUUAGCCCACCUUAUAUUAAUCACUAAUUUUAAUUUAAAAACCUGACUCAAAUUCGUUGGUUUACCUUUUUUUUAAGACUGCUGCUAAACGAACCCUAACAUUAACUGAGUACACCCUAUGAUCUAAGUACACUCUGAUAUUUUAAUUUAAAUGUAAAAUUAACUAAGCACACCCUAUAGAACUACCAAAAAUAUCUCUGGUACACCAUAAUAUUUGUAGCAUUAUUUUAUAGUUGAUUUUUAGCUUGAUUUUUUUAAUAGUGUUUAUAAAUCUUUGACUUUUCAUAUGGAUUUAUGCUUCUACUAAAAUUGUUGACACUUUUUUUGCAAUUUCAAGUUCUUGCAAUCACCACCUCUUUCGUUAAUAAUGAUUUUUUUAUGCAUGUUUCAGUUAUAUACUACUAUGCUACUAUGAAAUUUAUUCGUUCUCAACGAAGUUAAAAACAAGCUAAACAAAUAGAGNNNNNNNNNNNNNNNNNNNNNNNNNNNNNNNNNNNNNNNNNNNNNNNNNNNNNNNNNNNNNNNNNNNNNNNNNNNNNNNNNNNNNNNNNNNNNNNNNNNNNNNNNNNNNNNNNNNNNNNNNNNNNNNNNNNNNNNNNNNNNNNNNNNNNNNNNNNNNNNNNNNNNNNNNNNNNNNNNNNNNNNNNNNNNNNNNNNNNNNNNNNNNNNNNNNNNUGUAUGAAGCAUCCGUUCCAAAAUUUCAAAAGUAACCCAACUUGCAAAUCUGCAUAAAAACAUAAGAGAAAAACAAUAAGAAAGGUGCAUGAGUGGCAAACGAAAGUCACUGCAAACUUCAUCAAAUUGGCCCUAGUAGUACUAAUUAAGAUAUUUUUAAUCAUACACGCUCACAAGCCAGAAAAACUAAGUCCUAAAAGAGGGAUGAAGAUGCUGCCACCACAAUUUUCAUUCAUGUUGUUAGUGAACUAGGCAAAAGUAAUAUGCAUAAAUUCUAUUUUUACAGUAUAUAAGUCAAUUCACCAUAAUAUUUUUUUGACAACUUAUUGGAUUGUCAGGAAUUCAAUGAUCAAUCAGGCCUUCACAUAAUCUCCACCGCUGCGCUUCCUUUUGGACCGUGAGAAGAAGCAGAUUUGAGCCCAAGUCUUCUUCUGCUUAGCAGGUUGUGCUUUAACUUCUCUUUUCACGACAAGCUCAAUCAUGUAUUGAACAACAGCCUAAGAUUAUAUUUGCUCCAAACCAUUCUGACUCGCGGAUCACAAAGAUGAGAACCAAAUAAUCUCUUGAGUAGGGUUGAAUACGAUUAGUAGGGUGUACUUAUUAAAAUUAUAUUUGUUUCACAAUUUCAUAUAUCAUUUUUGGUCAUUUUAUAUUAGAGUAAAUCAGUAAUUCAAUAUAUGCUUUUGUAGUAGGGUGUACUCAGUUAAUUUUAGGGUUCGUUUAGCAGCACUCUUUUUUAAUCAUAUCAGAUCUGCUAUCAUCAAUCCAAGAUCAAGAGACCGAUCUGCGAUGGAAUUCUCAACCAUCUUCCUCCUCUACCCAACCCCCCCACAAAUGACACUGUUCGGACCAUCCUCAACACCCCAACACACGUCGCCCUCAAGUCCGAAGAACUUAUAAGAAUGGAGCAGGAAUUGAAAGACUACGAAAUCGAAAUGCGGAAAGCCAAAGAGGAUCUCAACCGUCGGAUUCACGAUGAUCAGGUCGCGAGGGAGAUCAUGAAGAUUCCAUAGGACGAGUGGCAAGAGUCUGGCCAACUCUUCGCCAAACCCUUCGGUGAAGGCUCCUCCUCAUCGUCGUUGACGAAGAGGGUCAAGAGUGAAAGAGUGUUCUAUCAGAUUGGUCAAAAAAUAAUACUUCAUUUAUCUUAAUAUAUAACAAAUAGGAAGGUUAUAUAUACAAAGCCUAGGAAACUAUUCUAGGAAAGUAAUUAUGUUCCUAUAAUCUUGCAUAAUCAAAUAGUUGACUUAGACUAAUUAGGAAUGUACAGCUCAUUGACACUCCCCCUCAAGUUCGAGCAUAUAUGUCGUCAAUGCCCAACUUGCUAAGUGAGCUGUGAAAUACCCUGCCUGUGACUGCUUUGGUAAGGACAUCUGCAAGUGAUCUUCGGAUUUAACAAAUGAUACCUUAAUGAUCUUGCCUCGAGCUUCUCCUUGAUGAAAUGUCUGUCAACUUCAACAUGCUUGGUUCUAUCAUGUUGCACUGGAUUAUGUGCAAUGUCUAUUGCAGCUUUGUUGUCACAAUUCAGUUGCAUGGCAUGUUUGGGUUUGAACCCCAAUUCCUCCAACAAAUUCCUUAUCCAGAGUAGCUCACAUACUCCGUGCGCCAUACCUCGAUAUUCUGCUUCAGCACUUGAUCUUGACACUACUUUCUGUUUUUUACUUCGCCAAGAUACUAGAUUGCCUCCUACAAAGGUAAAGUAUCCAGAUGUAGAUCGCCUGUCAGUAACAGAGCCCGCCCAGUCUGCAUCAGUGUGACCCUCAACAUCUAGAUGACCAUGUCGUGCGAACAUCAAUCCUCUUCCAGGAGAUGACUUCAAGUAUCUCAAAAUUCAGUUUACCGCAUCCAUGUGGGCUUCACUUGGUGCAUGCAUGAACUGACUCACCACACUUACAGCAUAUGCUAUAUCAGAUCUAGUGUGUCCUAGAUAGAUUAACUUACCCACAAGGCGUUGAUAUCUUUCUUUGUUGGUGGGUACUUGAUCAGGAUAUUCACCAAGCUGAUGAUUCAACUCCAUUGGCGUAUCUGCUGGUUUGCUGGCUAACAUUCCAGUGUCAGUCAAAAUGUCAAGGAUAUAUUUCCGUUGUGAUAGAAAUAUUCCUUGUUCUGAACGAGCCACUUCGAUGCCUAGGAAAUACUUCAGAGCACCAAGAUCUUUCAUUUCAAACUCACUUGCCAAGUGGUGCUGCAAUGCUGCCUUUUCCACUAGGUCAUUCCCGGUAACUACCAUGUCAUCAACAUAUACAAUAAGGGCAGUGACUUUACCUUUCUUAUGUUUCAAGAAAAGAGUAUGAUCUGAGUUACUUUGCUUGUAUCCAAAAUCCUUCAUUGAUUUGCUGAACUUUUCAAACCAUGCUCUGGGUGACUGCUUCAAGCUAUAAAGAGACUUUCUCAGUUUACACACCAUGUUGCUAGUAUUGGACCCCAUCUUACAUCCUGGAGGGGAAUCCAUAUAGACUUUUUCUUCUAGGUCGCCGUGCAAGAAGACAUUUUUGACAUCAAACUGGUGUAAUGGCCAGUUUAGGUUUGCUGCCAGAGAAAAAAGUACUUGAAUUGUGUUUAUCUUGGCUACAGGGGCAAAUGUCUCCCUAUAGUCAAUCCCAUAAGUCUGGAGUAUAACCUUUCGCCACCAAUCUUGCUUUGUAUCGUUCAAUGGUGCCAUCUGCCUUGAACUUUACUGUAUAUAUCCAUCUACAACCCCACUGUUCUCUUCCCUUUGGGAAAGGAUAGUCAUCUUUCAAGUGGAAUUCUUCUGGAAGGCCUCCAUUUCAUCAUUCAUUGCUUGAGUCCACUUGGGGAUCUUUAGAGCUUCCUACCCAUUUACUUGGAAUAGAUACAGUGGAUAAUUGACAUACAAAUGAUGCACAUGACGGAGACAACCUAUGUAGGGACACAUGAUUAGCAAUAGGGUAUUUAACUUUUGUUUUUGGGUCCGGGUCAUACUGUUGUCUAGGAAUCCCUCUAGUGGUACGAAUAGGUAACUGAUAACCUGUGUUUCCUGUAUGACUCGACUCAUGUAAAGUACUUAAGUUGGAGUUUAAAUGCUCAGUUACCUGCGGGGAAUCUUCAGGACCUGAUUGGAUGAUUGGUGAUGGUACUGUAGUUGGAGGGAAAUUAUCUGAACCAUCAUCUGGAGUUUCUAGUAACUCUUGAUCUUGUUGCACUACUGUAGCUGGUUGCUCGGAAACUGACUGCUCUAAAAUAGUUUGUUGAAUUUGGAUGCUCUGAGUAUCUUCUGCAAAGAUAGAGCUCUCCCCCUGCAGAGGAUGCUCAGAAACUCCCCCUGAGUAAUAGAACUCACUCUCGUGGAAAGUCGCAUCUGCGGUAACAUGCAUGGUCUGAGUGGGAUGAUGGAAACACUUAUAGCCCUUCUGAGUGCCAGCAUAACCCACAAAGACACAACGCAGUGCACACGGAUCAAGCUUGCCACGCUGAUGUGGAUACACCUGAACAUAAGCAACACAACCAAAGAGACGUGGUUCGAGAUUUGGUGUGGAUGGCAUGGUGAGGAGAGUGGUCAAUGUCUGAAAUGGAGUUUGAUACUGAAGAGUGCUGGAUGGUGUUUUAUUAAUGAGGUAAGCAGCAAAACAAAGAACCUCCCCCCAAAAAUGAUGAGGNNNNNNNNNNNNNNNNNNNNNNNNNNNNNNNNNNNNNNNNNNNNNNNNNNNNNNNNNNNNNNNNNNNNNNNNNNNNNNNNNNNNNNNNNNNNNNNNNNNNNNNNNNNNNNNNNNNNNNNNNUUAAAAAAUUAUGUAGGUCAUGGUUGACUUACUCUCCUCCAUUGUCAGAUCGAAGCGUGGUGAUUUCUGUCAAACUGAGUAGCAACAUAUUGAUAAAAUAACUUGAAUUUGGCAGUGACUUCACUUUUCUGCUUUAAGGAAAAAAUCCAGGUCAUCCGGGUGCAAUCAUCAAUAAACGUCACAAACCACUUAAAACCGCUAAUAGUAGGAACUCGUGAUGGUCCCCAAACAUCAGAAUGGACAAUCAUGAAAGGCAAAGAACUUUUAUUCAAUCUUAAUGGGUAAGAAAUACGAUGGCUUUUGGCCAAAAUGCAAGUUUCACAACGAAAGUCUGAUUCAGCAAACUGGGAAAACAAAUCUGGAAAUAAAAGUUUCAGAUAACCAAAAGAAGCAUGCCCUAAUCAUCUAUGCCAUAGCCAAAUUUUCUUCAUCCUGAUAGACUCAUCUCCUCUCACAUGAUGUGUCUGACUCAAUCUUGUACUGCUGUCUUCUGUCAAGUCCAGAUAAUACAACUUUCCCCUCUUAGUACCACAUCCAAUCACGGUCCUGGUGAGAAGAUCCUGAAAUAGACAAUACAAUGGCCAAAAACACACAGUACAAUUAAGGGAAUCAAUGAUUUGAGGAACAGAUAACAAGUCAUAGUCGAGUGAAGGGACAACUAAGACAUGAUCAAGACUUAAUGAAGAUGUAAGAGAUAAAGACCCUUCUCUCAUAACUUGGGAGGUGGUUCCAUUAGAACUGGUAAUAUGUGUUUGGCUUGAUGGUUUGGUAGAGUGCAACCCAGUAAAACUAGAUGUCAUGUGAUCAGUAGCGCCAGUGUCAAUAAUUCAUGAUCUAUUACAAGUAAGUGAAGAUGUGCAAGAGGUACCUGAGGUGGCCAAGGCCUUGGAGCCAGAUGUACCUGAUGGAGGUUCUGAUGCAGUCUCCUUGGAUGACUGAGCGGAUGCAAAUGAGGCUCUGGUAGAAUCCUUUUUUCGCCCUUUGUGGACCCAUCCUUCUGGAUAACCAAUGAUCUCAUAACAGCCCUUAAUUGUGUGGUUAUCUAAACCACAUUUGGUACACUUCAUUGGAGGCCGGUUACAAGUAGGGUCGACACUAUAGUUGUUCGGCCGAGAUUGUUUGGACCUCGCAGUAGCCAAGGCUGUGGCUUCGGAGGUUACACCAACUUCAGACAUGGUUCCCUGUCGGUUACUUUCUCUUUUAAUAUGUGCAUAUGCGGCCUCCAGUUCGGGUUUUGGCUCCAUCCGCAAAAUCUCUCCUCGGAUUUGAUCGAAAUUAUUGUCCAAACCUGCAAGAAAUAUAUAAACUCGGAGACGAUCAACCUCUUUGCGUCUAGUCUCAAUGUCUUUCGGAUGCUCCAUGGUGCUUGGACUUAAUUGAUCAAGCUCCUGAAAAAUCUCAGUGAGCUCACUAUAAUAUUUGGCAACUGAUGCGCCAGCUUGCUUCAUUAUUAAUGACCGUCUGUGAAGGUCAUAAAUCUUGUCUUCAUCAGCACCAUCUGAAUAGGUUUGCUUGAUUGCGGCCCAGACUUGCUUUGCUGUGUCAUAACGAAUAAAUCGUUUAAUCUGAUUAGGUUGCAUGGCGUCGAACAACCAACUCUUGACUUGGCAAUCCGAUGCACGCCAUUUAUUAAAUGUGGGAUCUGUGUCUGCAGGUUGGGCAAUAUCACCGGUCAAGUGGCCAUGUUUUUCUCACCCAGCUAUCUUCAUCUCUAUGAUUUGAUGCCAUAGAGAAUAAUUAUUCUCAUCCGGUUUGAUUCCUGCGGAGAAGUUGGAGGUGUCACUCUGCAAAGUGACGAUUUAUGUGGUAGUUUUGGAGCCUCCCGACACCAAGGAUUGAUUGGUGUUUACUGACCCGUCAUCGUUGGCCAUGAUAUUGGCUGACAACCAAUGAAAAAAGGACAAAAAAGAAAUAUCAAGUUGAGGAAAAGCAAGUGAACGGUGGACAAAGGCAAUAAGACAAACUGUUUUGCAAUAAGAAAUAUUGGGUUGAAAGGGAAAAAAAGAACAAGGGGAACGGUUUGAAUGGGUCUGUGAGUGGAAAGUGAUUUGCAAUAUUGCAAAACGUGAUUUGACUAGAGGAAAGGUUUGAAUGGGUUUGUAAGAUGGAAUAUGGGUGGUAUUGGUGCUGGGUUUGUGAGAUGGAAUAUUGCUUUUGGUGCUGGUGCUGGUGCUGCGUACUGGAUGGAAUAUUGCAAAACAGUGAUUUGAGAUGGAAUAUGGGCUGGUGCUGGGUCUGUAUGACGGCUGUUGCUGCGGAAGCGAUUAGGGUUAGGGCAAGAGACAGUCAAGAUUGACUGCUCUGAUACCAUAUCAGAUUGGUCAAAAAAUAAUACUUCAUUUAUCUUAAUAUAUAACAAAUAGGAAGGUUAUAUAUACAGAGCCUAGGAAACUAUUUUAGGAAAGUAAUUAUGUUCAUAUAAUCUUGCAUAAUCAAAUAGUUGACUUAGACUAAUUAGGAAUGUACAGCUCAUUGACAUGUUCAGGCUCUACUUCAAGGGUUUGGUGAGCGAGGAAAUGGUUGGAAAUGAGAGAGUGGUGCUGGCUGGGGUUGGGGUUGCUCUAUGCGACUCCAGGGAUAAUUUGGUGUUCGAGGUUUGGAAACCCCUGAUUGGGAAUGGGAUGAGCAAGAAUGGUGCCCUGUUGAAAGCCUUGAUUGAAGGACUUAAUGCUGCUCUUGCUCUGGACUUGAAGCGCAUCACCUUUUUCUGUGAGAAUUUUCCCAUUUUUUUAGUUUGUGAGUUGCUAUCUCUUCUCUGUCUCGUUUCAGUCUAUUGAUGAAAAUUAAUUAGGCUAAUUGUGGGUUUUGCAUUUUAAUAUAACGACAUAUAUGGUUAUGGACGCUGUGGUUUACACUGACCAUGAAAGAGACUCUUGUGAAAGAGGUCUAAAGGAAUGGAACUUAUUAUUAUAUUAGUGUAUACGAUGUUGUAGGUUUUGUUAAUUAAUAUUUUUUUUCUUGGAACAAUAAUGAACUUUCAAUUUUCAGAUAUACUUCAUGAAAUUUGAUAGGGCAAAUCGUAUAUCAUCCAUUGUGGACAAAGAGAUGCAUUCACUUUGAGAAAUUUUACUUGUGUCUUCUCAACAUUUGCUAAAUUAGUUUGCUAUCUUGUAUUUAAAUUGACCAUUAGAGAAAGUCUUGUGAACAAGGUCUAAAAUAAUGGAGUUUAUUAUGACAUUUAUGUGUGCAAUGUUGUAGUACUUGUGUUGAAACCAAGAAUAUUGGAUGUACUAGUCACUGUGCUACGGUCUAUUUACACCCAUGAAUAGAGCUUGUUGAAUUUCUGACAUUAUAUUUUAUGUAUGAAGGUUAAUGGUAAAUGGCAAGCAAAGAACUACCCAAGAGCAAGGGAACUCAAAAUUGGACUUUCGAAAACUGCAUUGCAGUUUCGGAAAUUGCAUUGCAGUUUUCAUUUAAUUACAAUUGAAUUUUUGCUCUUUCCUUGGUCUUCAACCUCACCAAUUUGAAGAGUAAAGGCUACCCAAAUGAGGAAUUGGGGAAAGAGAAAAGUAGAACUACCCAAGAGCAAGAUAACUCAAAAUUGGACUUUUGGAAACUGCAUUGUGGAUUCAGAAACAACAUUGCAGUUUUAGAAACAGCAUUACAGUUUUCGUUUAAUUACAAUUUGAUUUUUGUUCUUUCAUUGGCCUUCAACUUCACCUAUUUGAAGAGUAAAAGCUACCCAAAUGAGGAAUUGAGUGGACAAGAGAAGAUUAAAACUACCCAAGAGCAAGGGAACUCAAAAUUGGACUUUUGGAAACUGCAUUGCAGAUUUGAAAACUGCAUUGCAAUUUCGGAAACUGCAUUGCAGUUUUCAUUUAAUUACAAUUUGAUUUUUAUUCUUUUCUUGGCCUUCAACCUCAUCAAUUUGAAGAGUAGAGGCUACCCAAAUGAGGAAUUGAGUGGGCAAGAGAAGAUAGAACUACCCAAGNNNNNNNNNNNNNNNNNNNNNNNNNNNNNNNNNNNNNNNNNNNNNNNNNNNNNNNNNNNNNNNNNNNNNNNNNNNNNNNNNNNNNNNNNNNNNNNNNNNNNNNNNNNNNNNNNNNNNNNNNNNNNNNNNNNNNNNNNNNNNNNNNNNNNNNNNNNNNNNNNNNNNUAUUUUUAUUGCAGUUUCUGUUUUUAUUUUCAGUUUUGUGGGAUAUGUGUUGAAAUGAUUUUUUUUUUUUUUAAACUGUUGAUUGUUGGUAUAAAUAUUGUAUAAUUGAAUAAAUAUUACAAAAUCAAGUUUGGUGUAGUGGUUUGUGAGUGAGCCUUCCUCCUUUGAGGGUCAAGGUUCAAGUCCCUUCAAUGACACAAAAUAUUUUUUUUUUAAAGGUGAAUAAAGGGCAAUGGAGUUGGUCCCCUACAGACGGUGGCAGGUGGUGGCCGGCGACGGUGGCUUGCAGCGGGAGUCCGGUGGUGGUGGCCGGCGAAGGGUGGCUGGAGGCGGGACUCCGGUGGUGGGAGUCCGGUGGUGGGAGCCCGGUGGUGGGAGCCCGGCGGUGGUGGCCAACGAAGGGUUGCCGGAGGCGGUAGUCUGACGGUGGCCGAAGGCGGGUGACGGCGGUGGUGGCCGGCGAUGGGUGGCUGGCGGUGGUGGCCGGCGAUGGGUGGCUGGCGGUGGUGGCUAUAUAUGGACAUGUGGCAUAGUAUGCUUGCCUUAGAAGGAGUGGCAUUGUGUGCAAUUUUGAUAUUUUUUAAUGAUAUGUUUGUAAAAUUGAGUACUAUAUUUGGUCUUUGGUCUUAUGCUAAUUAGAUGAAAUUGUAUUCUUAUCUUUCAAAUUAGUAAAUUAUAUUAUGUUUUGAAAACUAAAGCUCCCCCUAAAAAUAAGUAAAUUUAAACAAUUGAAGACACGUACGAGCAAUUUUUUUUAAGGGAGCUUUAGGUGAUAUAUUGCGAGUUGCAAGGCCAAGGACCAUUGAAUUACAAAAAUAAAGAUUUGACGGCGGCAACAAAAAACUUCAGUGAAGAAAAAAAACUUGGAGGAGGAGGAUUCGAGGGCAUCUACAGGGUAAAUUAUGUGCUAAAGAGCUCUAAAAUAAUUUAUGUCAGUUCAGUUUAGCACGAUCGAAUAUGGUGUACUCUUUUUUUACAUAAAUAAAGUUUUAAAAAACUGGGAAAAUUGCAUUGUCAAGCUUUUGAUUAUCCAUGCAUAAUGUUCAUUUACAAUUACAUGGUUGGUCAGGGUACUCUAAACAAUGGAAAAGUACGUAGUUGCAGUUAAAAAACUAGCAAUUCUCCAAUCUGACAGGGCAAAGGCGAAUUUCGUAAACGAGGUGAAGCUGAUAUGUAACGUUCAUCACCGGAAUCUCAUUCUUCUUGGAUGUUGUAGCAAAGGACCGUAAUUGCUUCUCAUAUAUGAAUACAUGGCAAACAACAGCCUCUACAGAUUCAUAUUUGGUAAUAAUUUUCGGCUUUUCAGCUCAGCUACCUCUAAAUGCAUGCCUCUCAACUGGAAACAACUAAAUGACAUAAUCCUGGGUACAGCGGGGUCUGGCCUAUUUACAUGAGAAGUUUCAUGAGAUGUAAAAACCAGCAAUGUUGUUUUGGAUGAUAAUUUCCAGCCACCAGAUCUGCCGGAACAUUGUAAGUUAAAGUACUUUCCCACAGGCAUAACCCCUGAUUGAGAUCUAUAUGAUCAUUACUCUUCUACAAUAUUUAUACCGAUAUUGUGUUUUGCCCUACUUAUCUUUCUAUCCGCACACAAAAAGUGUUAUGAAUCUACUACAUACAUCUUGUGUAGCUUGUCACAUUCCAGGAUCGACUCUGCCGUAUCACGAUAUUGUUCGUUUUGAGCCCCCUUCUCUGCCCUCACGGUUUUAUUUCUGAAAACUCACGAGCAACUUUUCAGUGGGUCUCCUAUCCUGGGAUUGCUCUAACCCCCAACUCGCUUAACUUCGAAAUUCCCAUGACUCCGAAGCCAGUGAACUCCCAAAAAACCUCGUACUAGAUAAAAACGAGUAUGUAUAUAUAAGACACAUUAUCCUCUCUCCGUUGAUCGAUAUGGAAUGUUACAUAGCCGAAGAGGAGUACAUCACCAUCAUGGUGAUGNNNNNNNNNNNNNNNNNNNNNNNNNNNNNNNNNNNNNNNNNNNNNNNNNNNNNNNNNNNNNNNNNNNNNNNNNNNNNNNNNNNNNNNNNNNNNNNNNNNNUCAGCACAAGUAUGCUAAAGAUCUACUGCAAAAGGGCUGGUCUGAGUAAUUGUAAGGCUUCUCCUACUCCUUGCAAGCCACAUAAUCAAGUCUUAAUGUCUGAAGGAGAACCACUGCAUGAUCCUACAUUUUAUAGAAGUAUUGUUGGUGCCUUACAAUACUUAACUUUCAUAAGACCUGACUUAUCCUAUGCUGUCAAUACUGUGUGUCAGUGUAUGACUGCUCCCACUGAGAUACAUUUCAACCUGGUCAAAAGAAUUUUGAGAUACAUUCAAGGUACCAUGAAUUAUGGAAUUCACUUUAUUCAUGGUCCUUGGAAAUUACAAGCUUAUAGUGAUGUUAACUGGGCGGGGGAUUUAAAUGCUAGGAGGUCAACUACAGGUUUUGUGGUAUUGCUUGGACAUAAUCCUAUCUCAUGGCAGUCUAAGAAGCAAGGGUCUGCAUCCAGAAAUUCUACAGAGGCCGAGUAUAGGGCUUUGGCUAGUACAGCUGCAGAUUUGGGUUGGAUUCGAAAGGUUUUGCUAGACUUGAAAGUGUGCUUGCCUCUACCUCCUACCAUCUUUUGUGAUAAUCUAUCUGCUUUGGCACUUAGUAGUAAUCCUGUGUUUCAUUCACGAAUUAAACACUUGGAUACAGAUUUUCACUUUGUUCGUGAAAGGGUUCAAAGGAAUGAUCUGAUUGUUUAGUAUGUUCCCACUCAAGAGCAAAUCGCAGAUGUAUUUACUAAAGGACUGCAUAGUCCUAUUUUCUUGAGUCACUGUACUAGUAUGCGACUUGGAAAUCCAUAGCAGGAUCCAGAGUUGGGUUUGAGGGGGAAUGAUAACAAUAUUAGUUAGUUUGUUAAGCUGUCACGUGUGCUCACGUGUUGUUAGUUAGUAGUAACUAUAAUUAGUUAAGAGUGUUAAGUCUUGGUUAUUGAGAUAUAACACUAAUGAAACUGCCGUUGUAAUUCAUUAUAUACAGAGCAUAUCAUUUCUUCUUCCUUCUUAGUCUUCUCAAUUCUUAAGCUUCCUUUUCUAAACUGUUAUCAGAUGGAACCCUAUCACACCAGAAUUGUGGCAAAUCUGGUAUAGCCGAUUCAGGUUAUUUUCACUAUAUAUCUUUCAGAAGUAUCUGUAACGGGGCAAAUCUCCAUCAAUCCUCUUCUUUUCAGUUUAUCUUUAUGCCCAUUCAUGCAUGUAUAUAUUAUACGAAGAAGUUUUUGACAUAUGGCAUGUAUUGUGUGUCAAAUGUAUACCGAUUCACGAAGACAGGUUCAAGAUCACAUACACCAUAUUCACCUUCAUUUCUUUUUGUUUAUUCUGGGUUUCUGCAAUUUGAAUCACAUUAAAAAACAAAUACUGAACAGUGAUAUAUUCAAUAUUGAUCGGCAUCACAAUUUCAUAUUUCAUAUUGCACUACGAAGGAAAAUAAAACUUACCCCACAGAGAAACAGGAUCCCCUUAUCUGAACCAGUUAUGUUACCUCCUAGUGCCUUCACAAAAAGCCUAAUGAACUCAGGAUUCAUAUGUAGCCCCAGUAAUUAUAUUACCAUCAACAACAGACGCCAACAUGGUCUCGGGUUCCACCCAAUAAGCACCUGCAGGCUGCAGCAACAAGUACAGGUCUGACAGCUGGGAAGGCCGUUAUAGUAUAGCCGCGCGGCUAUACUCUAUAACACUUUAAAGGUAUAGCCGCACUAUACUCCAUAGAAUAUCGCAAACAUAUAGCUGCGCGGCUAUACGCCAUAAGCUGAAUAUUUUAAAAGUACAGCCGCACCGCUAUACUCCAAAAAUUAUAAUAUCAUAAAAGUAUAGCCGAUCGGCUAUACGCGAUAAAUAAAAUAUUUCAAAUUGGCUAUACUCGAAAAAUAGAAAACCAAAAAACAUAUUAAAAUAAAGGGGACCAGAAAGACAUAUAUAUAGCAUUUGAAGAUUUGUAAAUUAAACACAGAUCACGAUUCAGUAAACCUAGGUAGCCCAUUAUCAGAUUAUUUUCACUUAGAGACGAAGGCACUAAUGCAAUUUUGUUUAUUUUGGGUUUACAAAUUCAAGUGAAGUAAACAUUCAAUCUUCAAUAUAAUUGAGUGUGCUUGAUUACAGAGCAUGGAAAAUACCAAUUGACGGUGCUCAAGUGAUGUAAUGAGGCUAAAGAAUAAAUUUUUAUCAUAUAAUCAUUAAAUAUGUUCACUAUGUCAUCGUUAUAUGUAAAUUUUUCAGAAAUAUAUAAACUAGCUAGGAUGUACGUGAAUUCGAAUUUGGAUACAUGAAAUAUUAUUACCUACUACAUCAUUUGACGAACAUAUUUGAUGUUCCUAACAAUUCUAUGUGUACUAGUAAAGUACUUUGUCUUUAAUUUGGAAGUAUCCGAAAGCAUAAUUAAUGUUUUUCAUAUAUUAUCUCGCAGGAGGCAAUUCAAGAAAGAAAGCCAUCAUUAUUGGAGUCGUAGUUGGAGGUGUAGGUCUUUUUAUCCUCAUUGUUGGAGUUUUUCUCUAUUUUAAACUUUCAAGAAAGCCCGAGGCUGCCACAACCACAAAAUUCGAAGUUGCACUUCCUCUUGCAUAUAUACUAUUAUUCAAUUAGCUCCUGCUCUAACUAUGUAUAUAAGAAUGUGAAGGCAAAGAGUCCCACAUUUGAAAGUUGUGAAACCUAGCAAGGGCUUAUAAGAAGUUGGGCUACUCCCCCCAUUGCCAAUUGGUUUUGGGCUUAUCAGAGCGGGUUGCCCACGUGUGAAAGCCCAAUCACGACACGUGCUCCACGUCACCCAAAAUGUGUUGUUUACGUGUUAGGCUUGAAAAUUCUCCACACGUGCAGGGACGUGUGAGAAUGUGAAAGUAAAGAGUCUCACAUUGGAAACUUGUGAAACCUUACAAAGACUUAUAAGGAGUUGGGCUACUCCCCCCAUUGCCAAUUGGUUUUUGGGUAAAUUAUAUGCUAAAGUGCUCUAAAAUAAUUUAUUAGUAUGCAUCAUACAUAGAGAUACAAAAACUAGCAAUAUUAUUUUGGAUGAUAGUUUCCAGCCCAAAAUCAAUUUUGGGCUGGCAAGGCUUCUACCAAAUGAUUAGACUCAUCUUAUUAGAACCAGAUCUGCUGGAACAUUGUAAGUUAAAUUACUUUCUCACAGGCAUAACCCUUGAUGGAGAUCUAUAUGAUCAUUACUCUUCUACAAUAUUUAUACCGGUAUUGUGUUUUGCCCUACUUACCGUUCUAUCCGCACACAAAAAGUGUUAUGAAUCUAUUACAUACAUCUUGUGUAGCCGAAGAGGACUAGUAUAUCUCCACCAUCAUGGUGAUGCUCUCUAGUGUUUCUCUCUAUGGUGAAGUGUCUCUCACUUCUGUUUUAGCCUAUCUGGGCAAUGGUGCUCACGGCACCUCCUACUAAGCCUUCUUUAAAUAACCAAAGAAUUUGGUCCAGCAGCUGCAUGCAUGAAAAAACCGUGCAAGUUGUCCUGAGCACCUUCAAAGUCCUCCACCACAAGACACAGAACAUUAAUGCACCGAAAAAGCACAACCACCAGCAUUCGCAAAGAAGCCAGCCGCUCCUCUUUCUCAUGUCCUUGGUGCAGCACAGUGGGGCACACCUGCACACACAUCUCCUGCUGUCAACCGAAGUCCCUCUUUAUGCAUAGCCCAAGUUGGCUUCUCAAAGAACCCAAGCCAAAAAGUAAUAGCAAUAAUACAAAGCCUACUCUCUCUCUCUCUCUCUCUCACGGGUACACAGACCAACAAUGUGGCCAAUAAACGAAGGAAAAUGCUGGCAACCUUAUCUCCAACCUUAUUUUUGGACAUUUUCCCUUUUCCUCAUGACAUAUGUCACAUCCCAUACACUUGAAAACAAUGACAUUAAUACAUUAAACAAACUACCUUUUGUUUUCGAAGUUUACCCUUAUUAAAUGUAUUGUCUUUCAAUUUAUCCAAAAAUUUUUACAACUCUCUUACUACAUUUAAAAAAUUAAAAAAAUUAAAAAAAUUCAGUUUAAAAAAAAAAAAACAUGUUGUUAUAAAACUAGAGGGAGAAAAUGUAGAGAGAAGUGAUAUGCUAAAGACAAAGUUUCACCAUGUUUAUUCUACCUUAAUCUUUGGUAGAACCACCUAUUUAUAGGCUUACAAGAUAGGAGAUUGAAUACCAUCAUUUACAAUAUACCUAUAGGUUACAAGCAUUAAUUACAAAUACUUAGUGCAUAGGUUACAUAAAAUCCAACGGUGGAAUAUUAAGAGGUAUGGUGGUCAUCCACCAACUCAUGCAUUUACAACACUCCCCCUUGGAUGUCCACCAUACAAUGACAUUGUUUCCUCAUUAAAAACCUUGCUUGGAAAACCCUGUGGGACAAAACCAAAGCGAAGGGAAAAAGAGUGAAACUUUCUUCUGAAUCAUUGAUAUGGUGUUGGAUGAGCUUAUAUUGCCUCGUUAAAACCUUGCUAGGAAAAACCCAGUGGGACAAAAACCUAGUCGAAGGGAAAAAGAGUACAACGCGCAUAUGCCUUGAAUGUAGUAGAAUUGGGAUGCUCCCCCUCAUUGAUAUCUCCCCCUGAUUAAUAUCUCUCCUUCUCUGAUUUGAGCAAUACAAGCAACAUUGUCUUCAUACAUGAUCGUCUAUCACACUAUUCAACCUGCUUUUCACUUUUCAAAUGAUUGAAAUCUUUAGGAGUAUCAACAACUAAUUUAGUAGUUAGAAUAUGUUACAACAAUAUCAAAUUUGAAUUCAAAAUACUCAAACUCUUAGUGUUAACUCUUAAUUAAGAAUAUUGUGGUACUUUAUAUCCUUCAAGAGGUUGCUUCAUCUGAUAUAUCUCAAAUAUUUCAUGAGCUUUGAGGAUUUCCAUGUACCAUAUAGUCUUAAUAAAUAUGCAUUUAACACAUACUAUAAGUUUUGCGUUAAAGUAACAACCGCACUUAUAGAAAUGUGGAUGCAUUUACGAUGAGAUUGGAGACUAAAACCACAUGUACCUCUCCCAGGAAACCUUAUGUCAUAUUAGUGAUCUUAUUUCACUUCACAAACACCAAUUCGUAACCUUCAUACUGAACAUUUGUAAUUUGGUGUUUGAGUUAUAGGUUCAAUAUCCAACUCUUCUUAUUUAGUGAUAAAUGGAAUUGCCUAUUUCCAUUUUUGGCCAAUCACUUAACUUGUCGACAUUCAUGAAACGUGAUUUAAUAUAAUCAUAGCCCUUGAUGAUUGUAGUAGUUACUAAUAAACCAAAUGUAUCAUCAAUUUGUGAUCCCACAAUUCUCAUGUGCAUGCGCAUGCAUAAUUUAUAAGCAUCUCAUUACUUUAGGGUACCAAUGCCUCUUCAAGGGCUUAUGUUGUCACUUAUGGGACAAACAUCUCUUUUACAAUAAAUUAUUUAGAAUAUGUGGAUCAUAACCUCCUAUAGAGCGUUAUUUUUUAUAGAGCUUGAAUUUUUCAAAUAAUCUCCAUUUCUAGGGAGUUAAGUUUUUAGAACCUAUAUUUUUGUCAUGCUUCAGGCAUGCAUUAUAUAUAUAGUCACCAUGUUAAUGGAUUGUGAUACGAGAAUAUCAAUCCAUGUUAGCAUAUGUACAACUUAUAUAUGCAUUUUCUUGAUGAGACAAAAGUGGAUUGAUUCAACACUAUUUCACGAUGUUCUUCAGGAACUGUCAUUUCUCCCCCUAACGGCGGGAAAAUUAUCUCAAAAUUUAGGAAAAUAAACUCACCAUCAUUAUCAAUUCAAAUUGACUGGAUUGGAUAAUGUGGGAGUUGUGCUCGUCAGCGUCUUGACAAGAGAUAAAUAUGUAACCACUUUAGUAGGCAUAUUCAACAAAACUGGUGAAGUGAUCCAUAAUUAAAUGUUGUAUAGGCUCACAAAUAUCCCAUUGAAUUAUGGCUCAAAGUCAAUUUUUGACUGAGAUGAUCUUAUGACAACUUUUAUUUGUGAGCGUUCUUUGUAAUGAUAUUGUUGGACAAGACAAUAAUUUGAGUCUUUAAACGAUGUCCUUACAAAUUUAUAAAAAUCUUAUGCAUCAUUGUGGGACAUGGAUUGCCAAGAUAGUCAUGUCACAACAUAAAAGUUAUUCGGUCAAUGAACUUCUAGUUCAUGACAUCAUAAUCUUCAACUAUAAUAGUUGUGUAAUAUUGGGGGCCUCAAGAACUUUUGGUUCAUAACAUCAUAAACUUCCUACCCACAAAAGAAAGUAGGAAGUUUCUCCAAUAGACGCCUCUGGCUAUCAAUAUUGGGGCGGUAAUACAAAACAUUACCAUUGUAAAACGAAAUUAAUUAAUAACCUAACAUAAAUAAAAUAAAAUAUAAUAAAAUAAGUAAAGUGGUAUAAACAAGGAAUAAAAUAAAUCAAUUAAAGAUUAUGAAAUUCCAAGAUAAUCCAGUAUUAAUGUGGAUUCAAUAUGUAGAUAAAACUACAAGUUUAAGAAUUGGAUUUCCAACCAAUUCAGGUUCAUAUAGGCACAAAUAAGUAAUGAACUUUAGGUUCAUAUCAAUCUAUAUUCGAAACUUCGGGUUCGAAUAUGUAGAUCUAAAUAAAUUGAAUUAAUAGUUGUGCUUUGAACUUCAUACUCAAAUCGAUGUAUAUGCACUCGAAACUUCUGGUUCGAGUUCUUGACACAUGUAGGCCUCAUGGAAUUCUGAUUUUGAUUAAUACAAAAUCGAGGAGUUUCAUGUCCUUAUGUGCUCUUUAAAUUCGCGGAACUUCACGCCCUCAAUUAUUUGGAAUCAAAGAACUUCAGGUUCUGAUUCAAUCAAAAGGACUCUAUAUCCUAAUCUAGUUAUAUGAUGAGGAUCACGGAACUUCGGGCCCCUGAUCUUUUGUAUAAUUCAAACUCAUCAUAAUAAUUAAGAUCAUACUUAAAAUUAAAUAAACAAACAAAUAAAAACAAAAACAUGGCAUUAUAUUCAUGUGUAAUAAGAAUAAGAAUUUUUUUUCUUAAACAAGCAUGAUGAAGUCUGAUGGUGAGUACAAAGAAACUCUAUACCAUGUGAUGACUCUAGCUCAUAUAAGAAGAAAGAAAAUUCAGAGAAAGAAAACAUACCAAGAGCAAUGUCGUGCUGAUAACAUGUUAUAAAACUAGAGGGAGAAAAUGUAGAGAGAAGUGAUAUGCUAAAGACAAAGUUUCACCAUGUUUAUUCUACCUUAAUCUUUGGUAGAACCACCUAUUUAUAGGCUUACAAGAUAGGAGAUUGAAUACCAUCAUUUACAAUAUACCUAUAGGUUACAAGCAUUAAUUACAAAUACUUAGUGCAUAGGUUACAUAAAAUCCAACGGUGGAAUAUUAAGAGGUAUGGUGGUCAUCCACCAACUCAUGUAUUUACAACACAUGUCUAUUUUUUUAGAUUGGAAAACGUUUUUUUUAACACAAGAAUGACCUCAAAAAAAAAAAAAAAUCAACGAAAGAAAGAUUGUUUUUUUUAUACGGACAAAAGACAUCCUUCUAAAGAAGUCUGUAGUCAAAGGAAGUUCAUUGAUUGGAUUUUCAAACCAUUAAUUCGGUAAGUUUGAUUAUUGAUUUUUUUUUUCAAGACCAUUAAUUAGUUAAGUCUUAUUUGUUGGAGUCUUUCAGAAAAGAAAAAAACAAACAAACGUUUUUUCUUAUUUAAUUUUUUAAGUCUUAUUUGAAUGUCUCCUUAUUCCCUUUGGAGUCUUAAAAAAAAGACUUUUUCUCAAUUAAUUUUUGAACAAGGCGAUAAGAAAAUUGUAAAAAAUUUAGAUAAGAAAUUUAAAGAAAUAUUAAAAUCAAUACGUUUAAUAAGGGCUGAUUUGAAAAACAAAUGUUAGCUUGUUUGAUGCAUUAAUUGCAUUGUUUUGAGUUUUUAAAAAGUGACACAUAUCAUGAGAAAGAGAGAGAAUGUCCAAAAGAGAAGGUUAGAGAAAAAGUAGCUAUCAAAGCUUUUUCACAAAGUUAGACACACACGCCCACCAAGUUGGAUUCCAAUUGCUUUAGGUGUAGAUCACUCUAGUGCUGGAACCCACUCCAUGUGUGUCUCCAGCCUUUUAACAAAGAUGGCACGUGCCGUCAUUUCCCCAUUUGAAAACCCACGGUAUGACAAAUGAAGAAAGCUAGCAAACAAACAAGGAUAAAGUAGCCUUUACACAAUUAACAAUACAAUUUGGGCCAAUUUUCAACAGUGAAGGCAUCUUAUUGCAUUCUCCGGAGCCUUUCUUUUUCGAAAUAAGGAUAGAUUUUAAUUUAAACGCUAGAUCUGAAAGCAGAUUCAAUGAUUUCCAUAAAAAUCAUAAUCAACAUUACGUAGUUACAAACAUACAAGAUCCAUCCACAAUUGGUACAUAUAGAGCAGAAUCCGAGCAUCAUUGUUCCCUCACAGAUACACACAACACCUUCACAUAUGCUCUUAUUCUUUUAUUGAAUUACACGGAGUUUCUGGCUAUGCUUCUUUUUCUUUUAUUCUCUUAUUCGUUUAUGGAAUUCCAUAUAUUCCUUGGAAGCAGCAGACCCGGUAAAGGGUGCCUAGAAUGAUACUCGAAUAUCAAGCAAUCUCAUCAACUGAGAAAUAAGCUCUGGUUGGCCAUGCCACGCUGCUGCGGUAACCAGAUUUCCAUCAGUGACACAACGAUCUAUUGGAUCCGCUUCCACAAACGUCCCUCCUGACGAAACCACACGAGCCUUAAUCCCUGGGUAUCCAGUACAUUUCUUCCCCUGAAAUAUAGCCAAUUGAACCAAUUAUAUGACAUGCUAAAAAGUGCCUAAUCAGUUAAUAAGUACAUUAACCACUAAUCAAAAGAAACAGAAAAAAUAUCAUCUCCUUUGCGAUUUUAAAGAGUACUCACCUCCCUCUUCCCCAUAGUUAUUUACAAUUGAGAGGUUAAUAGGUCACAACAGAUCAGCUCAACAGAACCAAAAUACAAAGCACUACCACUAACUAUGUUUUUUUCUUUAAGAACCAUACCUGCAGAACACCAGCAGCAACUAAAAUUUCCAGGCCAUGGCAGAUGGAUGCAACUGGUUUCCCGGCUUCCAUAAAUUGUUUCACUAGUACAAUAACAUCCUCCUUUAGUGCCAAAAACUCUGGAGCUUUACCUCCAGGGAGUACAAGAGCGUCAUAACUUGAGGCAUCUAUGGAUUCAAAGUCAGCUGUUAAAACAAAAUUAUGUCCCCGGAUCUCACUGUAGGUUUGGCCCCCUUCAAGAUCACGGAUAGCAGUUGGGCAGGUAUCACCGGCUUUCUUCUUGGGGCAAACCACAUCAACAUGGCAUCCUAGAACUUUGAGGGUCUGAUAAGGCACAGUUACCUCAUAAUCUUCCGCGUAGUUCUACAAAUAUUGGGGAGGGGAGCAAUUAAAUGAUGAUGAUUAGUAACUAACAGUUUAAUCAUUGGCUAUAUUUUGUCCCAUAUUUGUCAUUGCAAUAUAAAAGAAACAGAAAAGAAAGCUUACUCCAAUGAUGAUGAGGACCCUUCUCUCUGAAGCACAUAUUUUGCCUCCCAGUGCCUGAGAAAAAGCCUAAUGAACUCAGGAUUGCCAUAAUAUGUGACCCCAGUAAUUAAAUUAUCAUCAGCAACACACACUGACAAUGUAUCGGGUUCUACCCAGUGAGCACCAGCAGCAACCAAUCCAGGUUUCAUAGUUGAAACCGCGGUGCAUUUGCGACCUUUAACAGCGCCUGCAGGUGCUAAGACCAACAGCCCAUGGCAAAUAGCAGCAAUUGGCUUUCUGCAGUCAGAAAAUUUUCUCGCCAAUUCUACAACGGAUGCCUUCAUAGCAAGAUGUUCAGGAGAUCGUCCUCCUGGUAUAACUAGACCAUCAUAUUUGUCAAUUUCGAUGUCAUCAAAUGUUGCAUUCAGUGUGAAAUUGUGACCACGAGAUUCUUUAUUAGCCUGUAACCAAAAAGGUACACGAAAGAAAACCAAACACAACACACACAUUAAAACAAGAGUAAUGGUUAGGUGAAUUCAAGCUUCUUUGUCUUGCUUGUCUCUCAAACUCAAACUCAAACUCAAACUCAAACUCAUCAGAGGUUGUUUUCCAACAACUGUGUUCAAUAUUAAACAUAUAAAAUAUAUUCCUCUUGUUUACAAAUAAAAAAGAACAGGAAAGACAGGAAAGACAGAAUUUGACCUGGUCAGUGGACUCUACUUGAAUGGUUAUGGCAGUGGCGCAGAUAUCACCAGCUUUCUUGACAGGAGAAACUGCAUCAACAGAGACUCCAAAUGCCUGCAGUGCUUGAAAUGGGACCAUUGCCUCGUAAUCUUCCAUGUAGUCCCCGCACAGUAACAACACCCUCCUCUGCACCUCGCCUUUCGGAUUCCCCAUUUCUUUUCUUAUUUCCUUCUUUAGUUUCUUUCUUCUUUUUCAGAGAGAGAGAGUUUUCAGAGAGAUUUUUCAGAGAGAGAGAGAGAGGGAGAGAGUCUGAAUACAAGAAGGUAGGUUAUAGCUUGAGCUGCUCUGCUUUGCUUACUUAAAUACUCACAAAAGCGUUUUUGGAGGUUUGUGGAGUCAGCUCGAUACGGUCGCACGCAAUUUGAGCAACACAUCGCAGUCAGUUAUCGUGGCAUCUCUCUAUUCGCCGCUUCUUUUCAGUUCGGAUAACUAUUCUAUUAGUUUCGAGCCUAUCACCGUCUCCAUGUUUGAUACGUUUUUUUGUUGUCUUCUUUACCGACCAAGUGAGUCUAAAUUAUUGAAACUUAAGUUUGUUCUCUUCACGGACCAAGGGGGUCUAAAUUAUUGGAGGAAGAUUGAAACUUGAGUUUGUUCUCUUCACGGACCAAGUGAGUCUAAAUUAUUGGAGGAAGAUUGAAACUCGAGUGCAAAGAGACGGAUUUAUUCUCUUGUUGUGAAUACAAGUAAUGGUCUAAAUUAUUAGAGAAGUAUUCUAACUUGAGUGCAAAGAGCACAAACUUAAGUGCAAAAGAGUGGACUCACUGUCUUAUUACGAGUGCAAAUGAUAGUCUAAAUUAUUAGAGAAAUAUUCAAAUUAUAGUGCAAAGAAGCAUACUCACUGUCUUAUUGUGAAUAUUCGAAUAUUCGAGCUCAAUGCUUCCUUUUCGAUUGAAAAAAAAAAGAAAAAAAGAAGCUCAAUGCUUCCAAGCUAAUGUCCCUAUACUAUAGAAAAGCUCUUUAGAGUCGUCAUCCUCUUCUUCUUGCCUUCAUUGUAGCAUGUGUGUGGGCCCAAUAGUAAAGCUCAAUGCUUCCAAGCUAAUGUCCCUAUACUAUAGAUUAUAGAAAAGCUCUUUGGAGUCCUCAUCUUCCUCUUGCCUUCAUUGUAGCACGUGUGUGGCCCAAUAGAAAAGCUAAUGUCCCUAUAUUAUAUGGACUAUGCGGACAGUGAUGGAUUCAAGAUUAUGUGGCCAAGGGGGCUUAGUGUAAAGUUCCGAAAUUUUUCUACAAAGAAAAUAAUGCUAAAAAAAUAUAAAGAUAGUACUAUAAUCCGUCAUUUGAGUUCUUAGUCCAGGGUCUUCCUGAAAAUUAGCUAAUAUCUCAUCUACUUCAAUUGGUCUUGCAUUUGAACUACCUGGGUUAGGCGAAGAAGGACUAUCCGUAGAUAAUUUUCUUUUAAAGAUUCGUUCCAUAAAUCUACAAAUCAAUUAAUUCAAUCAAUCAUUAAUUUUUAUCCAAAUUAUCAUAUGAAUAUGAAAAUUUCAAUAAUCCACUCUCAAUAUUCAAUAUAUCUAAACCCAUAUUAAUCAAUAUUCAAUAUACCAAUACUUACGAAUGAAAGUUCCAGCGACAUCAGGGAAUUUUUCCCUUAUGUAAUUGUCCAAUCAAUAUUCAAAAUAAUCAAUCAAUUCACAUUAUCAAGCAUAAACUCACUCAAUCUACAUUAUCCAUCAAUAUGAUUCAUAUACAUAAAUUUCAUUACAUAAAAAAUAUCAAUAUCAACAAUAUAUAUUAUCACUAUAAGGGUUGGGAGAUUGGGAAUGAAGGGUGGGUUGGAAGAUUGGGACAGGUUAGGGUUUGAAAGGGUGGGAAGAGCUGUGAAAUUGUGAAAGGACCCGCCCCGAAUUUUCUCAAAACCCGAGACGAACCCUUUGGAAUUCCUGACAUCACUCCGAUGCCAGACCCACUUACUAAAAACCGAGACUCCCUGCCGAAAUUUCGGCAGAGUCUCCCCUAUAAAUUGGACAUUUUCCAAAAUUUAUACCUGCAUGAAAAUGCAUUUAAUAUUCCCAACUGGCAGCAUGCACAAUAUAAUUUCAUGCAAAUUCUCAUAAAUGGCCUUCGGCCUUCAAUUAAUUCUCAAACAACUACCAAGCAAUUCAAAUACAAAUUAUGACUAAUAUUUAGUCUGCGGCUGCACCUAAUAACCUUAGGCUGCCUACGUACCCUCCUUGAGAGAUCAAGCCACACGUAGUUCUUCCUUAAAAACCCAAUUCCACACUUGGGCGAUGCCUUAUUUCAUUUCUCUGUAUUUCACAUAUUCUCCCCAUACGCCGGUACAACCAACGCCACGUAUGAGGCCUGUCAACACGCCGGAUAACCUACGCCACGUGCGACCAUGCCAUACUAUCAUAAUAUCUCCCUAUUCGCCGGUACAACCAACGCCACGUAUGGGGCCUGUCCCAAAGCCGGAUAACCUACGCCACGCGGGACCUCAAUAUCAUAUCACAAAUCUCCCCAUACGCCAGUACAACCAACGCCACGUAUGGGGUCUGUCGACACGCCAGAUAACCUACGCCACGUGAGACCUGAACAUCAUAUUACAUAGCUCCCCAUACGCCGGUACAAUCAACACCACGUAUGGGGUCUGUCCCAACGCCGGAUAACCUACGCCACGCAUGGGGUCUGUCCCAACGCCGGAUAACUUCCACUUGGUGGUACAUGUAGUGAAUCCAACGUCCGAGGAGGUACCUACAGCAGUGCGUAUAGCACUCCAAACUGACAUUCUUGACUCUGUUGUACCCUUGUACAACCACAUAUAAUUAUAUUUAUAUAAAUUAAUUCUUAUAUUGUGUAACCCUCCACAAUAGUCUAGCUCCCGAUAAACCCACCCCCCCCCCCCCCCCGGAAGGGGGAGAUUACUCCGGGAGAUUCACGGUCAACCAAGGGUCAAACUACUCUAACCCUGGUCAAACGGACUUGCAGAACCCAUGACCUCCAAUUUCCGAUCCGAAAGUCUCUAUGGGUUCUACCAGGUAUAGGACACUUGUCCUGCGAGUUUGGUUCAGAUCAGACGAUCGGAUUUCUCACGAUCGCAUGAUCUGACAGUUAAUAUAAAAUAUAAACUUUAAAUUAUUAUUCGGAACAUCUGGGGCUCCGAUUCACGAUCCGUGAAUUCCUACACGAUCCUAGAAAUACCUAGAUUAACAUAUAUUAAAUUUGGGACCAUCAGACGGUCCCAACCUAUCGAACCCAGAUAACGCAUAAUAUGCGAUUAUCCGUUCGAUAGUCAAACGACGUCCGAAUUGAGAUCCGCGAAUCCUACGCACUCGUGACAACCUAAGGAUCUCAUCAGAACACAGUGCUAUUUUUCUACAGUGCCCACGCGCCAGCAGCGCGUGGGUGCCCAAAGCGAUAAUGCUUCGCCGGAAAAUCUCAAAACCACGGCUCCAAACUCCUACCCUAGGUAUAACACCCUAUUUGGAGCCACUUUUGUUCUUGGACCUACCCCAAAAAGUGGCCGGAAAUGGCCGAUCACGGCAGCCGAAGUUUCGGCCGAUUUUCAAUUCGAAAAUUGAGUUGGCUACGCUAAGAAUUGAUCUAAUCCUAUCCAACCAUCAGCUAGAGCAGCUCGAGAGGUUCAAAAUCCAUACAUGGGUCGACGGAAUUGGUGGCCGGAGGAGGGAGAUCGGCGGCCGUGAAAAUCGGGCGACAUCCGGGCGAAAAUCGCCAUUUUCUGGCGGCUGGAGCAGCGGCCGAUGUCGGGGGUGGGCUGGGUCGUGACGCCGAGGCCGAGCCGGUUCUUUUGGUACCGGCCCCGUCCGCAGCCGCGGCCGGUGGCUGGAGUUACGAGGAGAGAGAGAGAGAGAGAGAGAGAGAGAGAGAGAGAGCCGACGGGAGAGAGAGAGAGAGAUCGCGGGAGAGAGAGAGAGAGAGAGAUCGUGGGAGAGAGAGAGAGAGAGAGAGAGAGAGAGAAACCAGAUUUUAUAAAAAAUCCCAUUUCGAAAUAUUUACGAUUAUGCCACUGGGCUUCUUUUGACCAUAUCUCUCUCGUUACAACUCCGAUUCGAGCCCACUACGUGUCUAUGAACUCGUCUCAGUACGACCUAUCCAAAAAUACAAGUCACGGUCCAAAACUCUCUGCAGUAGUGUGUAUAGCACUCCAAACUGACAUUCUAGACUCUGUUGUACCCUUGUACAACCACAUAUAAUUAUAUUUAUAUAAAUUAAUUCUAAUAUUGUGUAACCCUCCACAAUAGUCUAGCUCCCAAUAAUCCCCCCCCCCCCCCCACAAGGGUGAGAUUACUCCGGGAGAUUCACGGUCAACCAAGGGUCAAACUACUCUAACCCUAGUCAAACGGACUUGCAGAACCCACGACCUCCAAUUUCCGAUCCGAAAGUCUCUAUGGGUUCUACCAGGUAUAGGACACUUGUCCUGCGAGUUUGGUUCAGAUCAGACGGUCGGAUUUCUCACGAUCGCAUGAUCUGACGGUUAAUAUAAAAUAUAAACUUUAAAUUAUUAUUCGGAACAUCCGGGGCUCCGAUUCACGAUCCGUGAAUUCCUACACGAUCCUAGAAAUACCUAGAUUAACAUAUAUUAAAUUUGGGACCAUCCGACAGUCCCAACCUAUCCAACCCGGAUAACGCAUAAUAUGCGAUUAUCCGUUCGAUAGUCAAACGACGUCCGAAUUGAGAUCCACGAAAUCCUACGCACUCGUGACAACCUAAGGAUCUCAUCGGAACACAGUGCUAUUUUUCUACAGUGCCCACGCGCCGCCGCACACGCCGGCAGCGUGUGGGUGCCCAAAGCGAUAACGCGUCGCCGGAAAAUCUCAAAACCACGGUUUCAAACUCCUACCCUAGGUAUAACACCCUAUUUGGAGCCACUUUUGUUCUUGGACCUACCCCAAAACGUGGCCGGAAAUGGCCGAUCACGGCGGCCGAAGUUUCGGCCGAUUUUCAAUUCGAAAAUUGAGUUGGCUACGCUAAGAAUCGAUCUAAUCCUACCCAACCAUCAGCUAGAGCAGCUCGAGAGGUUCAAAAUCCAUACCUGGGUCGACGGAAUUGGUGGCCGGAGGAGGGAGAUCGGCGACCGUGAAGAUCGGGUGACAUCCGGGCGAAAAUCGCCAUUUUCCAACGGCUGGAGAAAAACCAGAUUUUAUAAAAAAAUCUCAUUUUGAAAUAUUUACGAUUAUGCCACUGGGCUUCUUUUGACCGUAUCUCUCUCAUUACAACUCCGAUUCGAGCCUACUACGUGUCUAUGAACUCGUCUCAGUACGACCUAUCCAAAAAUACAAGUCACGGUCCCAGACUCUCUCCGGUUAAAAAUAUGACUAAAAUACCCUUAAAUAAUUAAAUAAUUAAAUAAUUAAAUAAUUAAAUAAUUAAAUAAGGGUAAAAUUUGGGGUCGGGGUGUUACAAAUUGGGAAUGAAGGGUUUGGAGGCGCUGUGCAUUCGGGUAAGUGAUUCGGUGUUCUUUUUUUUUAUGUUUUUUGUUUUUUUAAACUUGGCCCAAAACGACGUCGUUUUGAAGCCAGGUCAAUUAAAAAAAAUUUGACUGAGCCUUGGACCAAACGACGUAGUUUGGCAAGGCUCGUUUUAGAAAAAAGGGAUGCGCAGCUUGAGCGGGCAAGGCACAGCGCAGCUGCGCAAUAGAAGAAAAAAUGGCAUGGGACUUUUGUCGAGCAGUUGGUGUGCGUACCAGGGGUCAUCCAGCAGCUGUCCAAGGGGGCUUUCAUGGAUUCCCUUGCCAAUUUUCCUGCCUUCCAAGGGGUCAUCGGACCCCUCUUGUCCCAAUGUGCGUCCGCCAAUGCAUGCGGAUAAAUAAAUGUAAUGUUUAUCUCUAACAGAUCAUGCUUUUUGAGCUGUGAUAGUUUUGGAAUAGUGUUCGCGUGCAUUUUACCUCGACUGCCAUGUUGAUUUUCACCAGAGCAGCAAAGCUGCUUGCUUUGUGUUAUGAGGUCUGGUUUUGUCAACAAACUAUAUUGCUUGACCCAGAAGAAAAUGCAAUAUCAUGUGGAUCCUCAUUUCGCAGUUGCAGGAGGAUGGUUGUGAAAAUACAAGAGCUAAUUCUGGAUAACAUGAUAUUUGUGGGAGCGAUUUCUUCCCACAAGAAUAUUCAAUUGAAAGAUUCCUCUUUCAUCUUCGCCACCCCUUUCUCCUUGCAAAAUAGAUCGAAACAAGAGGACCACACCCGUGAGGUGUUGGCCAAAUGCCCUCAGAUGCCUAAGUUAGUUCAAUUGAUUCGUAGAGAAAACAAUAGCUAAAUAGGGUACAAAGAUAUAUAUAUAUAUAUAUAUAUAUAUGUAAGGUGUAAACCGGGUGGCCGAAGCCAUGAGUGGUGGUCGGAGCCUUGUGUAAAAGGGAGAGAGAGUAUGGCGGCUAGGGUUUGUGAGGGAUAAUUUCUGCAGAGUUUCAGUAGGAAUUUAGACGUAGCUCAACCCUUGUGCGUAGCCAUCUAUUUACAGGGGCCUCGGAGGCUAGGGUUUCAGAGGAAUAAUUCCGCAGAUGGAAAGGAAUUAUUCUUCCCUGAUUUGGCGAGAUUGGCUUAAUUAGGGAUUUGAAUGUAGGAAUCAAAUCAAUCCCAAUUAAAUUAGAUAACUCCCAAUUAGGUAAAAUAAUCCCCAAAUGGAAGGAAAUAUUUCACCUAGGGCUUUGCUAGAAUUGGGCUCCCACAAUAUUCAUUCAGGUAAAACUUCGAGGUGUACGGUGAGAGAGAUAGAGACCAAAGGGACUGACGACUAAUAAAUCGUAGUGUCCUUAGCAUAAGUAGUAUAACACAAGCUUCAUCCACAACCAACUUGCAUAGAACAUGGCAUAUACAUAUCAAAACCAGUGUCACUUGUUCCCUCAUAUAUACAAACGUCACCUUAACAUAACACAACAUACAUGCCUUAUUCUUUCACGAAUUACAUAAAGUACAUGCAAGCAGCUGACCCGGUAAACAACAACUAGAAUGAUACUCGAAUAUCAAGCAAUGUCAUCAAUUGAGAAAUGAACUCUGGGUGGCCCGGCCAUGCUGCUCCAGUAACCAAAUUUCCAUCCGUGAAGCAACGAUCUAUUGGAUCAGGUUCCAGGCAUGCUGCUCCCAGCAAAACCACAUUAAGGUUCACCGCUGGAUACGCAGUACAUUUCUUUCUCUAUAAUUUAGCCGGUUAACAACAAUUAGGACACGAUUAAAAAAAGUUCAUAAUGUGAAAAUAAGUAAAUCAACCCUCAAUCAGAAGAAUCAACAAAAGACAAACAUAUUACAACUUCAAGGUGGUUUCUUUUUUACCUCGUCAUUAAAUACUCACUCUGAUAAAACUUUAUAUAAACAGAAAAUAGGCAGUGUCCCUCUUACAAAAUUGAUGACACUCCUAACUCUUCCUAACAACUUCUGAAAAACUGAAACUGCCUAGCUCCGCCAAGCCUUUUGGUUUUCCUUACUAGGUAAUUUCUUCUUUUACCCCAUUCCCGUGAACUUGUCCUCCUUGGCUCAUUGAAUGUUCGUUAUGUCUCCACCCAUACUCAGCCAAACAUUUGAUGUACUUUAAAUCUUUAGUAUUCAAUAAUACUGCAUAACUGUUGAUAUUUACAUAAAUGGUUCAUAAAAUUGAAGUGGAGAAGAAACUAUCUUAAGAGUUGAGAAUGAGUUUGGGUGGCUUGAGUGAAAAAACUUUAUCCAUCAACACAAGGAGAUGGUGAAGGCAUCUUAUUAUGGUGGGAUCAUUUGCAUCCUCCGGAGCCUUUUUUUUUCAAAAUACUGCCAGAUUUUAAUCAUUAAACUAAGAAUGUAAACGCUAGAUCCGAAAGCAGAUUCAAGGAUUUCCAUAAAAAGCAUAAUCAACAUUACGUAGUUAAAAACAUACAAGAUCCAUCCACAAUUGUUACAUAUACAGCAGAAUCAGAGCAUCAUUGUUCCCUCACAGAUGCACACAUCACCUUAACAUAUGCUUUUAUUCUUUUAUUGAAUUACACGGAGUUUCUGACUAUGUUUCUUUUUCUUUUUUUACUCUUAUUCGUUUAUGGAAUAACAUAUAUUACUUGGAAGCAGCUGAACUGGUUAAGUUUGCCUAAAAUGAUACUCGAAUAUCAAGCAAUGUCAUCAACUGAGAAAUAAGCUCUGGUUGGCCAUGCCACGCUGCUGCGGUAACCAGAUUUCCAUCAGUGACACAACGAUCUAUUGGAUUCGCUUCCGCAAACGUCCCCCCUGACACAACCACAUGAGCCUUAAUCCCUGGGUAUCCAGUAAAUUUCUUCCCCUGAAAUAUAGCCAAUUAAACCAAUUAUGUCAUGCUAAAAAGUGCCUAAUCAAGAAAUAAGUACAUUAACCACUUAUCAAAAGAAACAGAAAAAAUAUUAUCUCGUUUGCGAUUUUAAAGAGUACUCACCUCCUUCUUCCCAAUAGUUAUUUACAAUUGAGAGGUUAAUAGGUCACAACAGAUCAGCUCAACAGAACCGAAAUACAAAGCACUAGAUGUAACCUUUUUUACUUCCUUUUCAAGUUCAAUCGAUAAAGUAUUUCAAUCUGUUUUACUUUAUCUUUAAUAAGUAGCAUUAAAACUGGAAGCAUUAUAUUAAUGUUUUAGUGACAAACGUUUAACCACUAAAAUGCAGGUAGGAUAUAUGUUUUUUCUUUAAGACCAUACCUGCAGAACACCAGCAGCAACUAAAAUUUCCAGGCCAUGGCAGAUGGAUGCAAUUGGUUUCCUGGCUUCCAUAAAUUGUUUCGCUAGUACAAUAACAUCCUCAUUUAGUGCCAAAACCUCUGGAUCUUUUCCUCCAGGGAGUACAAGAGCGUCGUAACUUGAGGCAUCUACGGAUUCAAAGUCAGCUGUUAAAACAAAAUUUUGUCCCUGCGUUUCACUGCAGGUUUGGGCCCCUUCAAGAUCACGGAUAGCAGUUGGGCAGGGAUCACCGGCUUUCUUCUUGGGGCAAACCACAUCAACAUGGCAUCCUAGAACUUUAAGGGUCUGAUAAGGCACAGUUACCUCAUAAUCUUCCACGUAGUCCUACAAAUAUUACAAAUAUUGGGGAGGGGAGCAAUUAAAUGAUAAUGAUUAGUAUCUAACAGUUUGAUCAUUGGCUAGAAGCCUAAAACCAUGAACUUGUCGUGGCGAAACUGGUAAAGCCGACUCGGGCUUUCUCCCCUUUCUCUUUUAAUAAUAUUAAGGUUGGUUGUCACUUGAACUUGAGCAUACUAUUUUGUCCUAUAUAUGUCAUUGCAAUAUUAAAGAAAAAGAAAAGAAACCUUACUCCACAGAUGAUGAGGACCCUUCUCCCAGAACCAGAUAUGUUGCCUCCUAGUGCCUUGAGAAAAAGCCCAAUGAACUCAGGAUUG
rnacentral:lncRNA from 1 species